UGGGAAUUGCUUUCGGGCAUUUUUGGUGCAUGACCAGUUAAAUGAACGGCGAUCAGUACUGGUCAUCUCAGGAUCUAGGGUGCAAGAUGGAGGUAUGGAUCGAGAUGAAUUUUACUUUUGUUGUUCUAAAUUCUCGAUUGGUUUGCUGCACACGCACGAUACCAUAUCAUUUUUUUCUUCAGGGUGUUGACUCGAGGUGCUAGAAUGACUUUGUGAGAUUUGGUUUCAAAGGCAGUGAUCCAGCUUCACAAGUCCGACGACCAUGGUUGCUUUGUGGCGCCGUCGCGUUCCCCGACAUCUCCAUGCCACUGCCCCCAUCUCCCUUUUCGCAAUGGUGGGGCUCAUCAGAUACUACCGAGUAUCUCAGCAAGUUCAAAUAAUUUGAACAUGCAAAAAUGUUGUGUUCGAGAAGGUCAAGUGUGUUAUGUGCAUCACCUCGCCCCCACUAAAUCUUCUGCAUUUUUUGUGUAUUCUUCAAAAGUUCAGGUCAUCAUGAGUUGCUUCGAUUGAGCUACUACUAUGAAAAAGUUCACCUCAGAGGCAGGUCUAUGCGUGCAAACCGGGAAGGACGACGAACCACGCCUGGUGUUGCUACCAUCGUGAACAGAUGGAGGAAGAAGGUCACCAUAGAAGCAAUGAGAAGGUCACCAUAGAGGUAGGGAGAAGGUCACAUAAGGUGCAUGAAUAUUGUCAGAGUGCAGGAACGGGUGUGUGAUCUUUGUGCUGUUUUGGGGGUGCAAAUUAACAUGGGUAUGUGAUCUCACAUCCUGUGUAUUCUUGAGAUGGCCUACCUUAGCCUCAAAACCAUAUGGCCUAUAAGUAUGAUAGUCCCAAUGCUACGGUCACGUUUAAAGAAAAUUAGAUAUAUACAUGUACAGAACCUACAACAACUUUAUGGGGAGUUGAUGGAUUAUUCAAUGGUUGUUGCUGCCACUACUGAUUUUUUCUUGAGAUGGUCUUCAUCACCGUUCAAAAUAAUACAAAUGCUUCUUGGUUGCAUCUAGUUCCAUCGCUCCACCUCAACACUGAUUCCUUUAGCUAGAUCUUGCUUGUAAUUUUGUAUUCUUUCUUUUCUUUUCUUUUCUGGAAAGCAUUAGCUCUUGAAAUCCAGAUCUGAUGAUGUAGCUUUGGCUAUUCCUGAAAACGCGUAGAAAAAUGUACAUGCUCUGUAGGUUAAAAUUUUGGCUCUAAUUUAUGUUUUUGCGAAGGUCAAAAUGUUGUGUUCGAGAAGGUCGAGUGUGUUAUCUCAGCAAGCUCAAAUAAAAAUUAAACAUGCAAGGUAAAACAUCUGAGAGUUGCGAUUUUUUAGAACUUGAAGUGACAAACAAAUUUCACAAGAGCACAAAACAAAAUUUAAGUCUAGAAAAACCACUUCAAAAAGAACGCAAAAGAAUGUUCUCUUUGUUAUCGAUUGCAAAAUGAAAAAUUAAUGAAAGGGGGAAUGCAGUUUACGCAUUUUCUAAAAGAACUAAGAAGUUCAAAUUUUAAAAAUAGAGAAGUUCAAAAAUCAUAAAAAAUGACUUUCCUUGUUUCUAAAAUUAAAAAAACUCUGGAAGUGGAAAUUGAAAUAAUGGACAAUUCAAUAUUUAUUACAAAACUAUGAUAUUGUCUUUACUGAAAGAAAUAAAUCAAGAAGUACAAAUUACAAAAAUGGAGAAGUUUCAUAUUUAUGACAAAACUCAGAUUUUCCUUGUUACCAAAAAAUAAAAUGAAGAAGUUCAAAUUAAAAAAAGGAGAAGUUCGAUGGAUAUAGAAAAACUCAAAUUCUUUCCGUUUCUUGGAAAAAUAAAAGUAUGAAAUAUAAUUAAAAAAAAUGUUUGAUGCUUAUUUAAAAACAUAUUUUUUUAAGAAUAAGACUAAGAAGUUCAAAUUAAAAUAAAAGAGAAGUCCAAAGAUUAUGAAAAACUCAGAUUUUCGCGUUACUAAAGUAUAAAAUGAAGAAGUUCAAAAUAAAAAAAAGACCAACUAAAAAAAGUUUAAAAAUAGAUUUUCUCCAUUUAUAAAAAAACUAGAAGUUCAAACAAAAAUAAUGAAGUGGUUCGAUGUUUAAUUAGAAACUAAGAUUUUACCAUUAUUAAAAUACUCAAAUAUCCCAUGGUAUUGAAGAAUCAACCGUGAAGUUCAAAUUUCAUAAAAAAGAUUAAGAAAUAAAUCCAAGAAGUCCAUAUUAAAAUGAUAGAGAAGUUCGAUGAUUAUAGAAAACUCAUAUUUUCCUCAUUAUUAAAUAAUAGAAACAAGAAGUUCAAAAAUAAAAUAACAAGAAGUUCAACUUUUAAAAAUAGAGCGCUUCAAAAUUUCAUAAAAAGAUUAAGAAAUAAAACCAGGAAGUCCAUAUUAAAAAGAUGGAGAAGUACGAUGAUUAUAGAAAACUCAGAUUUUCCUCGUUAUUAAACAAUGAAAACAAGAAGUUGAAAAAUAAAUAACAAGAAGUUCAACUAUUAAAAAUAGAGCGCUUCAAAAUUUCAUAAAAAGGAUUAAGAAAAUCAGAUUAAAAAUUCACAAAAAAACUCAUAUAUUUUCAUGUAUCCGAGAGAAGAUCAGAUUGAUAACUGUCAGAAGUUCACGUACUACACGGUGUGCAUUUUGUAUUAAAAAGAAUAAAAAAGCAAAGACUAAAAGUUUGUUGAUAUAAGUUCAAGUCCUCCGUUGGAGAAAUUUUAAAAAAUAUUGUGAGAGAGGUUUAUACAAAAGAAAUACCAUUUGUGUAAAACUUGACGAAUGGAUGAGAAAAUUACAAAUGAAAAAUACGUCACAGAAGUUCAACGUAAAAACAACAGGAAGUUCACCUACUACACUGAAUGAAUAUCAGAUGAAAAACUUUUAAAAUCGCCGCGAGUAUGAAAAAAUGAUUAACACGGGAAAGUUGCGUGUUUACAGCAGCUUUCCACUGGUAUAUCACUUGCUCAAUUCUGGUGAGUGGAUGGAGAGCUACGAGCAGUGGACUGAGAGCUACGAGCAAAAAAACACGUGAAAAACAGAGUGAAGUUCAAGUAGACAUGCCGAGAAGUUUAGGUUCUUCACGCGGUGCAUUUUCGAAGAAUCUGUUUCGCGAUAAAGGCAGAACGAAUGAUCUCGCCAUUUUCAAAAUUACUUGAAAAUGGUCAGGAUUCAGAGAAAACCAUCAACAUGAAAAAGUUUCGCAUUUUCCGUAGCUUUUCAGCGGUAUAUCAUUUGCCCCAUUCCGAUAAAUUUUGUAGAAAUUACGGCAAAAAUACGUUUUUAACCAUUUUCAAAACUGACAUAAAACCGUAAUGAAUUAGGAGAAACAAUAUAUACAAAAAGUUUCACAUUUCUUCAAGCUUUCCAAUGCCAUAUCAUUUGCUGCAUUUGGACGUACGGUUCAAAAAUUAGCUCGAAAAUACGAACUCGGUGGAACUUGUACAAUUUUCUAAAUUACUUUUAAACCAUUCAAAAUUAGAAAACACUUUUAACAUAAAAAAGUAGCGCAUUUUCAUAAGCUUUCCAACGCCAUAUUAUUUGCCUCAAUUGGAGUUGCCGUUUAGAAAUGGCAUCGAAAAUACGAACUUGGGUGUUCGGUUUGUGAAAUUUUGCGAUUUUCCGAAUUACUCUUUAACCGUAGGGAAUUAGAGAAAACUUUCAACAUGUGGAAGGAGCGGUUUUGCAGCAGCUUUCCAACGCCAUAUUAUUUGCCUCAUUCCGAUAAACGGUUUAAAAAUGCGAUCGAAAAUACGAUUCACGUUUUUUAUAUAAAGAAAAAACGGUUUUCAAAACUGCUCUUAAACCGCUUACAUUUUGCCAAAAAUUUAACUUGGGUCAUGAUACUGAUGUCCAUAGCUAUCCAACGGUAUAUCGCAAGCCCCAUUUGGACACCUUUUAGCUGAAGUUCAACCUAGUACUCGGGGAAGGUCAGGCGCGUUACUCGAGAAGUUCAUGUUGUGAUCAGAAUAUUAUAUGUUGGUCGCCCCUGCCCCCUUCAACACGUACUAUACACCUAGUAACACAUCCCGAAAAGAAUUAAUCCUCCUUGUUCGUCAAACGUACCUCUCUCUCUCUCACUGGGUCAAAGUGAUGGACGAUGAACCCGCGGGCCCAACACAGAAGCGAAGUGUACGUCACACACGAGUGAUCAUUCUAUAUAGGACUACGUACCAGCGUCUGCAUGUGGCCCAAAGAGGUGUUUGUGUGAUGUUUGAAUACGCAAUGCAUAACUUUAAUGUGGCACCACAUAUAUAGGAAACCAAAAGGUCCCCACAGAGAGCGCGAGGUUCAUGAUGUGUGGUAUGUGCUAUAUGUACACCCCCAUUUGAUGUGUGGUAUAUAUGUACUUCUACUAUAUAGCACAAACCAAAAAAAUAAGCAUUCCUUGAUGGUCAAAUUAACCUCUCUCUCCUUGGGUCAAAGUGAUGGAGGACAACCUCACAUGCCCACGGAUGGAAGCGCCACGCGCGAGUGAAUUCCUAUAGGGCAACCACCGCCUACAUGGUAUUGCGUGAUGUUUGAAUACCAAUAUAAUGUACAACUUUGAUGUGGCACAUGCCUCGGGAACCGGAAAGUCCCCACAUGGAGCGAGGUUAUGACACACAUAUAUAUAUAUAGUAUUCAUGUUGCCCCCUCUUUGACAUGUACAUCCUCCUACCAUGCAUAUACGUAACACAAAUCAAAAAACAACCAUCCUUGUUGGUCAAAUUAACCUCUCUCUCUCUCUCUCUCUCUCUCUCUCUCUCUCUCUCUCCCUCUCGUUGUACAUUCAACUGGUCAACGACGACCUCGUUGGCCCACACAGAGAGUCACACGCGAGUGAGUGUCAUAGGACAAAACCACCGCGUGCAUGUGCCCGUGUGUUGUGUGAUGUUUGAAUACCCAAUGCACAACUUUGAUGUGGCACAUGCUUCGCAAACCGUAAACGCACUACACCACGAUAUGUAGCCCCCUCACUUCAAGCCGGUGGGAGGGUGUGUACGCACAUGCUCAAACUUUGAUAUGGAAUCUCACCAUGAUCCAAACCACACACAUGCCAAGAUGAAUCCACCUUUUGGUCAAAUGCCUCUCGUUGUUGGUCGAAACUAAAAACCUUUGCGGGCUAACGAAUGGGCACGUCGCUGAUAACCGCACGGGGAAGAGUGUCCGAGAGGACCACCAAUGCAUGCAUGUGGCCCGAACAUGUAUGUAUGAAAGGCUUCUGUAAUGCUUUAAACAACAAAUUCAUGACUUUGAUGUGGCAUAUAUGACUCACAAAAUGAUCAAUAAUCCCACACAGAGGUUCACGACUCGUAGUGNNNNNNNNNNNNNNNNNNNNNNNNNNNNNNNNNNNNNNNNNNNNNNNNNNNNNNNNNNNNNNNNNNNNNNNNNNNNNNNNNNNNNNNNNNNNNNNNNNNNNNNNNNNNNNNNNNNNNNNNNNNNNNNNNNNNNNNNNNNNNNNNNNNNNNNNNNNNNNNNNNNNNNNNNNNNNNNNNNNNNNNNNNNNNNNNNNNNNNNNNNNNNNNNNNNNNNNNNNNNNNNNNNNNNNNNNNNNNNNNNNNNNNNNNNNNNNNNNNNNNNNNNNNNNNNNNNNCCCGCACCACCAUAGCCACUCUGAGGCAUGUCAAACUAUUUUUGCAAUGAACAUGUAACCAAAGGAGUGUCAUGUUAAAAUUUUAAAAAAAAUAGACGUCAUUUGACCGUUUUUAUACAUUGAUUGAUUUCCUAGGGAUUUAAUGUGCAAAAAUCAAAUUUGAGCUAAGUGUGCACCAAAAUGGAUUGCAAAAUCAUAUGUGUCCCUGGGUGCAUGUUUCCCCGUGCAAGAGAUUUCAAAACAUUGAGAAUAUAGAUUUUUAAAAUUUAGUAAAUCCAAAACUUAGUUGAAAUUCAUGAAACUUAUCGUGGUGUCAUAUAUGGACACCAAUAGACUGUGAUAUUGUUUUUUUCAUCAAAUUUGAGACCCAUUUUGAUAUAAUCUUAUUACAAAUGGGAGAUUAUUAAAAACUGGCAACCAAUAUCUCAUAUGGAUUAUUUGUUCGGACCUUGUGCGUUAGACUGUGCCGUGCUUCCAUUAAGUAGUAAAGCGGUACAUUAAUAAACCAAAAAGUAUAUGUGCUGCCACGCGCCCCGUGUGCCGUGCGAGCAGGCGUGAGUUGAUAGGACGCAUGCGAGUAGUCCGUCGUGCAGGCAGACCGGGAGGUGUGCGUGCAGGUGUGCGUAUUGAUGAGAGGCGUUUUAGCUGUGCAGUGUCACCGGGAGGCGUGCGAGUAGCUGUGUGAAAUGAUGGUAGGAAUGGCAGAAGUCCACCGCGCAGGCUCACCGGGAGGCGAGACAGCCUUUGACCGCCACCCGCCUCGCUCCCAUUGGUCCGUAUUAAUUGUGUUCCCAAGCCACCGGCCAUAAUAGGAGGCUGCACCCCCGGUCCACAGUGGUCACCAACGUCUGGACUCUGGAGUGUAUGAGGAUUUUGCCAAAGUGCACCAUAGGAUGGAGUGCCGACGCCGGGGCUGGUGAAGCACCCGUGCAACGCGUGAAGCUGGGCACAAAGGUUGCCAUCGCCGCCGACGAGGUCUUGCGCGGGCAGUAGCAAGACCUUGACUUCGUUGGCGCCGUCGUGCCCCCCAGCCAGAGCCGGAGGUCAACAACAACUCCGGCAACGACUGUGACUCUGACGGAAAACUGGUUAGUCAUCUAUAUACCCAUUUGUAUGGCAAACAUAUAUUGUGUUUUCUCUGGUUACUCCCCCCCCUCUCUAAUUUUUUUGGAAUACAAAUCCUAUGGUUAUGUUCUCUCAGUCCAUGAAAUCAGAGUAAUUAAGAUCCGUUAGAUGCACGUAGUGUAUUGAUGCAGCAAACAAAGCUUCAGCCUGAUAAGCUCAAACCCAAAUCAUAGAAGUGCGUCUUCAUAGGAUACUCAAAAGAAACUAUUGGGUACACCUUCUACCAUAUAUCCGAAGGCAAGAUCUUUGUUGCUGAGAAUGGAUCCUUUCUGAAGAAGGAGUUUCUCUCGAAAGAAGUGAGUGGGAGGAAAGUAGAACUUGAUGAGGUAAUUGUACCUUCUCUCGAAUGGGAAAGUAGCUCAUCACAGAAAACCGUUCCCGUGAUCCCUACACCGACUAGAGAGGAAGCUAAUGAUAAUGAUCAUGAAACUUUAGAUCAAGUUACUACCGAACCUCGUAGGUCCACCAGAGCAUGUUCCACACCAGAGUGGUACGGUAAUCCUAUUCUGGAAGUCGUGUUACUAGACCAUGACAAACCUACAAACUAUGAAGAAGCGAUGAUGAGCCCAGAUUCCGAUAAAUGGCUUGAGGCCAUGAAAUCUGAGAUAGGAUCCAUCUAUGAGAACGAAGUGUGGACUUUGGUUGACUUGCCCGAUGAUCGGCAAGCCAUAGAAAUAAAUGGAUCUUCAAGAAGAAGACUGACGCUGAUGGUAAUAUUACUGUCUACAAAUCUCUACUUGUCAUAAAAGGUUUUUGAAAAGUUCAAGGAGUUGAUUGAUGCGGCUUGAAGCUACGUCGGUAUUUCCCCAAAGAGGAAGGGAUGAUGCAGCACAGCGGCGGUAGGUAUUUCCCUCAAUGAUGAGACUAAGGUUAUCAAACCAGUAGAAGAACCACAACGUAAACAGCCCCUAUACACAAAUAACAAAUACUCACAACCCGACGUGUAAAAGGGGUUGUCAAUCCCUUUCAGGUAGCGGCGCCUCAAGUUAGGCAAGCGGACGUGAAAUAAACUGUACCAGAUUGCUAGAUCGAACGCCAAAUAAAAUAAAUAAGAAUAAAAUGUAGUAAGGUAUUUUUUGUAUUUUUCUUUUAAUAGAUCUGAAAAUAAAAGCAAAGGAAAAGUAGAUCACAAAGGCAAAUAAUAUGAGAAAGACACCCGAGGGCCGUAGGUUUCACUAGUGGCUUCUCUCGAGAAAAAUAGCAAACAGUGGGUAAAAAAUUUACUGUUGGGCAAUUGAUAGAACUUCAAAUAAUCAUGACGAUAUCCAGGCAAUGAUCAUUACAUAGGCAUCAUGUCCAAGAUUAGUAGAUGGACUCCUGCCUGCAUCUACUACUAUUACUCCACACAUCGACCGCUAUCCAGCAUGCAUCUAGUGUAUUAAGUUCAUGGGGAAAUGGAGUAAUGCAAUAAGAACGAUGACAUGAUGUAGACAAGAUCUAUCUAUGUAGAGAUAGACCCCAUCGUUUUAUCCUUAGUAGCAACAAUACAUACGUGUCAGUUCCCCUUCUGUCACUGGGAUCAAGCACCAUAAGAUCGAACCCACUACAAAGCACCUCUUCCCACUGCAAGAUAAAUAGAACAAGUUGGACAAACAAAACCCAAAUAUCAGAGAAGAAAUACGAGGCUAUAAGAAAUCAGUCAUAUAAGAGAUCAAAGAAACUCAAAUAACUUUCAUGGAUAUAAAAAGAUAGAUCUGAUCAUAAACUCAAAGUUCAUCUGAUCCCAACAAACACACCACAAAAAGAGUUACAUCAUAUGGAUCUCCAAGAGACCAUUGUAUUGAGAAUCAAACGAGAGAGAGGAAGUCAUCUAGCUACUAACUUCGGACCCGAAGGUCUACAAAGAACUACUCACGCAUCAUCGGAGAGACACCAAUGGAAGUGGUGAACCCCUCCGUGAUGAUGUCUAGAUUGGAUUUGGUGGUUCUAGACUCGGCGGUGGCUGGAAUUGAUUUUCGUCGACUCCCCUAGGGUUUCUGAAAUAUUGGGGUAUUUGUAGAGCAAAGAGGUUGUCUGGGGGCAUCCGAGGUGGGCACAACACACCAGGGCGCGCCUGGGCCUCCUGGCACGCCCUGGUGGGUUGUGCUCCCCUCAGAGCACCCCCGAGGCGCUUCCUUGGCCCAUUGGGUGUCUUAUGGUCCAUAAAAAAUCUUCGUGAAGUUUCGUUGCAUUUGGACUCCGUUUGGUACCAAUUUCCUGCGAUGUAAAAAAUAUGCUAAAAAUAGCAACUAGCACUUGGCACUAUGUCAAUAGGUUAGUACCAAAAAAUGAUAUAAAAUGACUAUAAAAUGAUUAUAAAACAUCCAAGAUUGAUAAUAUAACAACAUGGAACAAUCAAAAUUAUACAUACGUGGAGACGUAUCAGCAUCCCCAAGCUUAACUCCUGCUCGUCCUUGAGUAGGUAAGUGAUAAAAAUAGAAUUUUUUGAUUUGGAAAGCUGCCUAACAUGUCAUAUCAUAUCAUUUUAUUUAUAGCAUGGACAUUUGGACUUUUAUAUUGUUCAAAGCAAUAGUCUAGUUUUGACAUGAUAACUUAAAUACUCAAGCAUAUCAACAAGCAACCAUGUCUUUCAAAAUAUCAAUGCCAAAAUAAGCUAUCCCUAGCCCAUCAUGCUCAAUCAUUGAUCCAUUCAUGAAACACACUCGCAUAUUAACUACACCCAAUACUCAAGUACGAUCAUAGUGCCUCCUAGUUGGUGCUUUAUAAGAGAAGAUGGAGACUCAAAUUCAAAAUAAAAAUUGCAUAAAGUAAAUAAAGGCCCUUCGCAGAGGGAAGUAGGGAUUUGUAGAGGUGCUAGAGCUCAAAGCGAAAAUUGAGAGAUAAAAACAUUUUGAGGGGCAUACUUUUCCCACCAACGAAAAUGACUUAGAGUUCCCAACACUUUCCAUGCUAGAUAUAUCAUAGGCGGUUCCCAAACAGAAAUUAAAGUUUAUUUCUUUUUCCACCAUACUUUCACUUUCCAUGGCUAACCGUAUCUGUAACAUCCCAAAUUUUAAAUUUGAAAUGUUAUACAUAGAUCAUUCUUGCAUAUCAUAUUUUAUUUGCAUUUCGUCUCGCGAUCCUCGAAAUCCUAAGCAACUCAAGGACCCUCGAAGAGAGUUGGGGAUUUUCCCGGUUUACAAAUUUGAUUUUUAUCAAAUUUUGAAAUGAGGAUUUUGGUUUUAAUUAUUUUUCUCCCCGGAAAUAUUUCAUACUAAAAUAUAUGAGAGGAGAUAAUAUGACCUCUCCAAGAUAAUUGAAAUAUUGGAGGAAAAAUAUUAAAAUCAAAUAUUUGUUUUAUUUGGAUUUGAUUGCAAUUUUUUUGCAUUAGAAAAAUUGAAUGUUUUUCAAAAUUGCAUUUUAGGGCCAAGAAAAUGUGCAUCUCGUUCUAAAUAUUUUAUUUAGGCGGUGAAAAUUUAUUUUGGCAUUUUUAGAUUUUUAUUUAUUUUUCUAGGAUUUGAUUUCCAUCGGCAGAAUUAUUUAAAAAAAACUUCCCGCGCCCGACUGGGCCUAAGGCCCAGCCGAGCCAGGCCGCCGCCGACUCAGACUUGGAGUCCGAGCCGGACUCCUCUCCGCCGUCGUGCCUUGCCCCCUCCUGCAAGAUGCCGCCCCCGCCCCUUUAUAUACCGCCACCCCCGCCGCCCAAACCCCCACACAACCGCCCCCCGCAGCCGCCGUCGUCGCUUGCCGCCGCCACCGCCAAGCCCCGCCGCCCCGUGAGCCGUCGCCGCCACCGCCAAGCCCCGCCGCCCCGUGAGCCGUCGCCGCCACCGCCUCGCCGGAGCCCUCGCCGGAGGUACCGCGCCGGUUCUGAGCUCCCGGUUUUUUUUAAAUAAUUCGUUUUUUUUCGUUUUUUUCGGAUCGCCGGUUUUUUUUCGGUUCUUCUAUUUAGCGGACGUUCAUCCGUACGUUCAUUUUAACGAACGGUUCUUUGCCUGUUAGUUACAGCUAACGAAUGCUCGUUCGUUAGUCUGUUCGUCAGUUUUCUUUUAUCGGAUUUAUCUGCAAUUAUUCUCGAUCACGAUUUCUGAUCCGAUCUUAGUUUCUAUUUAUCUAUACGCUCGUUAGUCGGAAUCAGGCGAUUCAAGCGCCUAGAUCUUCGUCUCGAGACCCUCUUUCUAUUUAAUCAACUUGAACAAGUUUUUGCUACUCUAAAAUUUGAUGUAGGUCCAGAUUAGUAAACGGAUCUUGUUUCUUUCGCCGUUUGAGUUUUGUUGCUCCGUUUGAUUUGAUUCUUUUUGCUAACCGGAGUUCUUAAAAUUGAACUUUCUGGUCGACCUCUUUUAUUUGAGUUUUUCUUGUGCAUUCCUUGCUUAUUGCUUAUGUAUGUUAUUGUUUGUUUGCGAUAGAACACCCGGAGUGCGAAGCGUGCUACUACGAGUCUCUAGGUUUUGCAGAUCGUCAGCAAGGCAAGUAACACUUUGAUCAUAUCCCUUUAUCACCCAGUUUUUCUGCAUUAGUACCAAUCCUCAAACAUUGCAUGAUUAGGAUGUCAUUAACUUGUGGGUUGGGAAGUAGUUGAUGAGGUAGAACCUAUUGCCAUGUUACAUUCAAAUCCUUGGGAGUUACUUCUACGCGUUGCUUAUAUUGCUAUGCUAUGCUCGUAAAUGUGGUUUGGGUGAGUGAAAUCCAUGAUAGAUGUGAGAUUGAUAAUUAAUGGUUCAACUUAAGGUGGCAACUUAAAUACACAUCUGGGUGGAUUGAGGCACUUGGAGUACCCAGUGUUGCCUGUAUUUUUGGAAAUCCCGGAGUAACCGUGUGAUCUCCCUAUGGACCGCCACCCAGACUCAAAGGGAACUGAGAUUAUUCAUGCUAGAAACAUUCGUGUGCAGCCACAAGCUAUUAUGGGCUCUAGCAUAGUUGAGUAAGUUACGUGAAGCUCUUGAAGAGGCAGAUCAGCAGGUAGUGGGAUGUAGGUUUGCUAUGGUCUGUCCGGAGUAGAGAGUUAAUGUUUUUGAAAGACUGUGUCUCGGUCAUCCGUUUCUCAAACACCAUGUAGUGCGAGAAAUCCAACGGAGGAGAUCGAGUCUUGUGGGGAAAAGUGCGCAAACCUCUGCAGAGUGUAUAAACUAAUCAUGGUUAGCCGUGUCCCCGAUUAUGGACAAAUCUUGAGUAUCUAGUACUUGGGUUAUCACAUGUAUCUCAUCACUCUUAAUUAAUACUGUUGGGUUGUUAACCACUUUAAUUGGGAUUGAGUUGGAGGAACCUUCUCAAUGUUUGUUCAACUACCAUGAUAGUUAAAUUAAAAUAUAUUCCUUUGUUGUAGGGAAAAUUGGCUUUUCGCAAAAACUAUAACCAUAGAGCUUUCCACCAGCCAAAUAUGCAUGUAGUGAUAGCAUUAUUCUAUUCUUGCUCUACCGUGUUACUUUGCCAGCAUAUUCCAUGUGCUAACCCGUUUUCGGGCUGCAACGUUUUAUGUUGCAGACUUUUCAGACGAGGAGUAAGGUUCGUUAGGUCGUUGCCGUGCAGCUCAGCUAUGCCGUUGGAGUUGAUGGACUCACUUUAUCUUCCAGGCCUUCCGCUAUUAUCGCAUUAGGUGGCCUUAAGCCAUAUUAUUAUAAUAAGUUCUCUCUUGAGACAUUCGAUGUAAUAAGUGUGUGAUUGCCACUCUGUUAUAAAUCCUUCGAGUACUGUGUGUGUCAGCAUUACCGAUCCAGGGAUGACACUGAAGCACAGAGACUUGACCAUCUGAGGUCGGGUCGCUACAGUAUCCACGGGUGCCUUCCAUACCAACACUUUCUAAGGAAUUUACUAUUUGACAACAUAAAAUAAAUUCAUUUCUCAUUUCGGGACUGGGCAUCCCUAAUACCUUUGCCUUACUCUCGUGCAAUGACAAGUGAAUAAACACUCAUCCUGAGAAUAACACAUCUAGCAUGGAAAAUAUUAGCCACCCCUCACCGCCUUGUUAGCGGUACGAGCACACAAAAGAGAAAUUUAUUUUGAAUAUUAGAGAUGGCACAUACAAAUUUGCUUAGAACGACAAAAGAAUACCGCAUAUAGGUAGGUAUAGUGGAUCAUGUGGCAAAACUGGUUUAAAGUUUUUGGAUGCACAAGUAGUGAUCAUACUUAGUGCAAAAUGAAGGCUAGCAAAAGAUUGAGAAGCGACCAACCAAGAAGCCAAUAAUCUCAUAAGCGAGCAUUAAGCAUAAUUAACACCGAAUAAUGCACCAAAAGUAGGAUAUAGUUUCAUUGCAUCAUUAUUGACUUUCGUGCUUGCAUAGGAAAUCACAAACCUUAACACCAAUAUUCUUACUAAAGCACAAUUACUCAUCAAGAUGACUCACAUAUCACAUCAUCAUAUCUCAAAACUAUUACUAAUAAUCAAGUUUAUUUUGUCCAAUAAUCUUCAUGAAAGUUUUUAUUAUAUCCUUCUUGGAUAUCUAUCACUUUGGGACUAAUUUUCAUGUGUUGCUUUUGAUAAGCUCAAACAAAUAUAAGUGAAGAUCAUGACCAUAAUAUUUCUUUCUAUCAAAUUAAUUUAAGUGAAGCAAGAGAGAAUUUCUUAAAAAAUUACUAACUCUCAAAUAAAUCUAAGUGAAGCAAGAGAGAAUUUCUUCAAAAAUACUAAAGCACACCGUGCUCAAAAAGAUCUAAGUGAAGCACUAGAGCAAGUCCAUAGCUUAUAAAAAUUUAAGUGAAGCCUAGAGAGCAAUUCUAAUAAGUCAUGACAUAAUUUUGGCUCUCUCAAAUAGGUGUGUCCAGCAAGGAAUCAAGACUUAACACACAAAAAAAACAAGAAAAUACUCAUAUCAUACAAGACGCUCCAAGCAAAACACAUAGUAUGUGAUGAAUAAAAAUAUAGCUUCGAGUAAAGUAUCGAUGGUCGUUAGAAGAAAGAGGGGAUGCCACUCGGGGCAUCCCCAAACUUAGUUGCUUGCUCUCUUUUGUAUAUUAGCUUGGGAUGCCGGGGAAUACCCAAGCUUAGUCUCUUCUUACUCCUUAUUCCUUCAUCCAUCGUAUGAUAACCCAAAACUGGAAAACUUCAAUCACACAAAACUCAACAAACCUUUGUGAGAUCCGUUAGUAUAAGAAAGAAAGUCAGUACUAUAAGUACCAUAGAAAACCAAUUCAUAUUUUGUUCUUGCAUUAUAUCUACUGUAUUCCAACUUUUCUAUGGCAAAAAAUCAUCAAAUAAAACCAUAGAAUCAUCAAAACAAACACACCACGCAAAGAAAACAGAAUCUGUCAAAAACAGAAUAGUCUGUAGCAAUCUGGAUAUUUCGAAUACUUCUGUAAAUCCAAAAACUCUGACAAAUUAGGACGACCUGGGAAAUUUGUAUAUUAGUCUACUGCAAAAGGAAUUGGUAUUUUAUUUCUCUCUGGUUAAAAAUGACAAUUAUUUUCGCGUGCGCAAAAGUUUCUGUUUUUCAGCAAGAUUAAACAACUAUCACCCAAGAAGAUCCUAAAGGCUUUACUUGGCACAAACACUAAUUAAAACACAAAAAAACACAAUCAUAACAGUAGCAUAAUUGUGCAAACACUCAAGAAAAGAAAGAAAAAAGCAAAAAUAAAUUGUAUUCAUUGGGUUGCCUCCCAACAAGCGCUAUAGUUUUACACCCUUAGCUAGGCAUAAAGCAAGGAUCUAAGUUUUUUCAUCCGUAGUUUUGGCAAUUUUUGUAAGUGUUUUCUCAAACCCGGGAGGCUCUUUACGCUUCCCUAAAUUGUCUAGAAAAGAAACCAUCUUUAGAUCCAAAAUAUCCAAUCGCUUGAUGCAAAGAGUAAUCAAGGUAUUCAUGCGAUUGAUACUACCAUUGAGAUGUUUGAGGGGUUCAUUAUAUUUUUGUAAUUCAACCAUAUGUUUAUGCAAAUCACCAAGUUUAUCUAACAUUUGAAGUCCCUCUGUGUGAAAGAAAACCCUUCUUUUGAGGCGAAACCCCCAAAAUUCCUUCUAAAAUUUCAUAGACGACAUUGGCAUCAAGCUCAAUAAAAUUCCCUUUGGCGGCGAAAUCUAAGAGUUGUCUAUGAUGCAAAGCCAAUCCUAUGUAAAAAUUACGAAGCAAGAUCUUAGCAUCCCCCUUUAAAUUGUAAAUACGAUAGGAUUCCAUAAGCCUAUACCAAGCAUCUUUCAAAUUUUCUCCUUGUCUUUGCUUGAAGUAUAGGACUUCAAAGUCUGGUGACAAAGGAGGAGUAGACACGCUAGCCAUCAGGACUAGUAAGCAAGAGAACGGCAAACGAAAAAGAGGGGCGAAUAAAACGGCAUUUUUUUGUGAAGUGGGGGAGAGGAAAACUAGAGGCAAAUUGCAAAUAAUGUAAAUUGCGAGGAGAUGAGAUUUGUGAUUAGGAACCUGGUAUAUGUUGAAGAUCCUCCCCGGCAACGGCGCUAGAAAUUCCUUUUGAUGCGGCUUGAAGCUACGUCGGUAUUUCCCCAAAGAGGAAAGGAUGAUGUAGCACAGCGGCGGUAGGUAUUUCCCUCAGUGAUGAGACCAAGGUUAUUGAACCAGUUGGAGAACCAAGCAACACAACGUAAACAGCCCCUGCACACAAAUAACAAAUACUCGCAACCCGACGUGUAAAAGGAGUUGUCAAUCCCCUUCGGGUAGCGGGGCCCCAAGAUAGGCAAACGGAUGUGAAAUAAAUUGUAGUAAAUUGAUAGAUCGAAUGCCAAAUAAAAUAAAUAAGAAUAAAAAGCAGCAAGGUAUUUUUCUAUUUUUGGUUUAAUAUAUCUGAAAAUAAAAACAAAGGAAAAGUAGAUCACAAAGGCAAAUAAUAUGAGAAAGAGACCCGGGGGCCGUAGGUUUCACUAGUGGCUUCUCUCGAGAAAAAUAGCAAACGGUGGGUAAACAAAUUACUAUUGGGCAAUUGAUAGAACUUCAAAUAAACAUGAUGAUAUCCAGGCAAUGAUCAUUACAUAGGCAUCACGUCCAAGAUUAGUAGACCGACUCCUGCCUAGAUCUACUACUAUUACUCCACACAUCGACCGCUAUCCAGCAUGCAUAUAGUGUAUUAAGUUCAAGGGGAAAUGGCGUAAUGCAAUAAGAACAAUGACAUGAUGUAGACAAGAUCUAUCUAUGUAGAGAUAGACCCCAUCGUUUUAUCCCUUGUAGCAAUGAUACAUACGUGUCGGUUCCCCUUCUUUCACUGGGAUCAAGCACCGUAAGAUCGAACCCACUACAAAGCACCUCUUCCCAUUGCAAGAUAAAUAGAUCAAGUUGGCCAAAUAAAACCCAAAUAUCAGAGAAUACAUGCGAGGCUAUAAGCAAUCAUGCAUAUAAGAGAUCAAAGAAACUCAAAUAACAUUCAUGGGUAUAAAAAGAUAGAUCUGAUCAUAAACUCAAAGUUCAUUCGAUCCCAACAAACACACCGCAAAAAGAGUUACAUCAUAUGGAUCUCCAAGAGACCAUUGUAUUGAGAAUCAAACAAGAGAGAGGAAGCCAUAUAACUACUAACUACGGACCCGAAGGUCUACAAAGAACUACUCACGCAUCAUCGGAGAGCCACCAAUGGAAGUGGUGAACCCCUCCAUGAUGGUAUCAAGAUUGGAUCUAGUGGUUCUGGACACAGCAACAGCUGGAAUUGCUUUUCGUCGACUCCCUUGGGGUUUCUGGAAUAUUGGGGGUAUUUAUAGAGCAAAGAGGCAGUCCCGGGGGCACCCGAGGUGGGCACAAUCCACCAAGGCGCGCCUGGGCCUCCUGGAGCACCCUGGUGGGUUGUGCUCCCCUCGGAGCACCCCGAGGCGCUGCCUUGGCCAUUGGGUGUCUUCUGGUCCAUAAAAAAUCUCUGUGAAGUUUCGUUGCAUUUGGACUCCGUUUGGUAUUGAUUUCCUGUGAUGUAAAAUGAUAUAAAAUGAUUUUAAAACAUCCAAGAUUGAUAAUAUAAUAGCAUGGAACAAUAAAAAAUUAUAGAUACAUUGGAGACAUAUCAUUGACUACGAUGAGACUUUCUCACCCAUAGCGAUGCUUAAGUCUGUCUGAAUCAUGUUAGCAAUUGCCGCAUUUUUUUAUUAUGAAAUCUGGCAAAUGGACGUCAAAAAUGUAUUCCUUAAUGGAGUUCUUAAAUAAGAGUUGUAUAUGAUGCAACCAUAAGGUUUUGUCGAUCCUAAAGGUGCUAACAAAGUGUGCAAGCUCCAGCGAUCCAUUUAUGGACUGGUGCAAGCAUCUCGGAGUUGGAAUUUAUGCUUUGAUGAGGUGAUCAAAGCAUAUGGUUUUAUACAGACUUUCAGAGAAGCCUGUAUUUACAAAAAAUUGAGUGGGAGCUCUGUACAUUUCUAAUAUUAUAUGUGGAUGACAUAUUGUUGAUUGGAAAUGAUAUAGAAUUUCUGGAUAGCAUAAAAGGAAACUUGAAUAAGAGUUUUUCAAUGAAAGACCUCGGUGAAGCUGCUUAUAUAUUGGGCAUCGAUAUCUAUAGAGAUAGAUCAAGACGCUUAAUUGGACUUUCACAAAGCACAUACCUUGAUAAAGUUUUGAGGAAGUUCAAAAUGGAUCAGUCAAAGAAAGGGUUCUUGCCUGUGUUACAAGGUGUGAAGUUGAGUCAGACUCAAUGCCCGACCACUGUAGAAAAUAGAGAGAAAAUGAAAGUCAUUACCUAUGCCUCGGCCAUAGGUUCUAUCAUCUAUGUUAUGUUGUGUACCAGACCUGUGUGUGCCUUGCUAUAAGUCUACCAGGGAGGUACCAAAGUAAUCCAGGAGUGUAUCACUAGACAACGGUCAAGAACGUCCUAAAGUACCUGAAAAGUACUAAGGAUAUGUUUCUAUUUUAUGGAGGUGACAAAGAGCUCAUCAUAAAUGGUUACGUCGAUGCUAGCUUUGACAUUGAUCCGGAUGACUCUAAGUCACAAACCGGAUACGUAUUUAUAUUGAAUGGUGGAGCUGUCAGUUGGUGCAGUUCCAAGCAGAGCGUCGUGGCGGGAUCAAUGUGUGAAGCAGAGUACAUAGCUGCUUCGGAAGCAGGAAAUGAAGGAGUUCAUAUCUGAUCUAGGUGUAAUACCUAGUGCAUCAGGUCCAAUGAAAAUCUUUUGUGACAUACUGGAGCAAUUGCCUUGGCGAAGGAAUCCAGAUUUCACAAAAGAACCAAACACAUCAAGAGACGCUUCAACUCCAUCUGUGAUCAAGUCAAGGAGGGAGACAUAGAUAUUUUCAAAAUACAUACGGAUCUAAAUGUAGCAGACCCGCGGACUAAGCUUCUUCCAUGAACAAAACAUGAUCAGCACCAAGACUCCAUGGGUGUUAGAAUCAUUACAAUGUAAUCUAGAUUAUUGACUCUAGUGCAAGUGGGAGACUGAAGGAAAUAUGCCCUAGAGGCAAUAAUAAAGUUGUUAUUUUAUAUCUCCUUAUAUCAUGAUAAAUGUUUAUUAUUCAUGCUAGAAUUGUAUUAACCGGAAACUUGAUACAUGUGUGGAUACAUAGACAAAACACCAUGUCCCUAGUAAGCCUCUACUAGACUAGCUCGUUAAUCAAAGAUGGUUAAGUUUCCUAACCAUAGACAUGUGUUGUCAUUUGAUGAACGGGAUCACAUCAUUAGGAUAAUGAUGUGAUGGACAAGACCCAUCCAUUAGCUUAGCAUAUUGAUCGUUCAGUUUUAUUGCUACUGCUUUCUUCAUGUCAAAUACAUAUUCGUUUGACUAUGAGAUUAUGCAACUCCCGGAUACUGGAGGAAUAUCAAACGUCACAACGUAAUUGGGUGAUUAUAAAGAUGGCUACAGGUAUCUCCGAAGGUGUUUGUUGGGUUGGCAUAGAUCGAGAUUAGGAUUUGUCACUCCAGUGUUUGAGAGGUAUCUCUGGGCCCUCUCAGUAAUACACAUCAUAAGAAUUCUUGCAAGCAAAGUGACUAAUGAGUUAGUUGCGGGAUGAUGUAUUACAGAACGAGUAAAGAGACUUGCCGGUAAUGAUAUUGAACUAGGUAUGAAGAUACCGACAAUCGAAUCUCGGGCAAGUAACAUAGCGAUGACAAAGGGAAUAACGUAUGUUGUCAUUACAGUUUGACCGAUAAAGAUCUUCGUAGAAUAUGUAGGAACCAACAUGAGCAUCCAGGUUUCGCUAUUGGUUAUUGACUUGAGAGGUGUCUCGGUCACGUCUACAUAGUUCUCGAACCCGUAGGGUCUGCACGCUUAACGUUCGAUAAUGAUUUUGUAUUAUAUGAGUUACGUGACUUGGUGACCGAAUGUUGUUCGGAGUCUCGGAUGAGAUCACGGACAUGAAGAGGAGUCUCGGAGUGGUCAAGAGGUAAAUAUUUAUAUAUAGGACGAUAGUAUUCGGACACCAACAGUGUUCUGGAGGGUACCUGGUCCAUAUCGGGUCACCGGAAGGGGUUCCGGGCACCCCCUGGCAAAGAUAUGGGCCAAGAGGGGAAACACAGCAGCCAGUAGGGGCUGCUAUGCCCCCCAUAUGGGACACACCAGAGGACAAUGGAAAGACGGGAAGAGAGAAGGAAGGUGAGGGAUUCGGCCUCCCCCUUCCUUCUCUCCUCCCUCCUCUUUCCUUCCCCCUCCGGUGAAAAAGGAAAGAGGGAUUGAAUUGGGGAGGAACCCCAAGUAGGAUUCGGCCUACUUGGGGCUCCCUCCUUGGCUGCUCCCUCUCCCUCCCACCUAUAUAUAUGAAGGGGGAGGCGCCUAGAACAGAACAACAACAUUUGUUAGCCGUGUGCGGCGCCUCCCUCCACAGAUUACACCCUAUAUUCUUGUAGUGCUUAGGCGAAGCCCUGCGGAUCCCUUCACCAUCACCGUCACCACAUCGUCGUGCUGACGGAACUCAUCUACUUCCUUGACAGUUUGCUGGAUCAAGAGUUCGAGGGACGUCAUCGAGCUGAACGUGUGUUGAACUCGGAGGUGCCGUACGUUCGGUGCUUGAUCGGUCGGAACGAGAAGAAGUUUGGCUACAUCAACCGUGUUGUCAAACGCUUCCGCUUUCGGUCUAUGAGGGUACGUGGUCACACUCUCCCCCUCUCGUUGCUAUGCAUCUCCUAGAUAGAUCUUGCGUGAGCGUAGGAAAUUUUUGAAAUUGCAUGCUAUGUUUCCCAACAUCUGUUGCAUUCCCUAAUAGCAAACAGUUCAUCGGAGCGAACUGUAUGUCGUAUAUUGCACACACAUUGAUAUGGCUGCCCGUUUCUGUUGUUCUAUCUAAUCACAAACAGUUCGUAUGGAUCAACCGUAUGCCCUGCGUCACACACGUAACUAAAAUCUGAACCGUGUUUGAUGUCUCCGCCAUCGCAAGUGUUUUGCAUCUUUUUUGACGGGGUUUUUGCAUCCCCGUUUGCAAUUAAUGCAUCGCACACAGUUUUGUCAAAGGGUCUCUGAUCCUAGUGCCACGUUAGCAGCAUCCUGUAGUAGUGAUCAUACGCCUGGGAAGACGGCCUGGUCACUGACCGAUGAAAACAAUCGGACCCAAAAAGGCGCCUCAAAUCGACCUCAAACACCCGGGCUGACCGACACUCUUCAUAUUCACCCCAAAUAUGGGGUCGAUACGAGGUGACCCGGGCAUGACCAGGCGCAUCCACCACAUCGAAUCCGGUCCACGCUGGCCCACCGGACCCCUGAUGACCCACGAGUAUAGGGAAUCACAACAAUCUUCUAGGGUAAUAUUUCACCCAAAUUUAUUGAUUCGACACAAGGGAAGCCAAAGAAUAUUUAUAAGCCUUAGCAGUCGAGUUGUCAAUUCAAUCACACCUGAGAAGUUGUUUCUCCGCAGGAAAAUAUUAGUAGCACAGUAAUAUUAUAGUUUUGAUAGCAAUAGUAACAGUAGCAGUAAUGGUAACAGUUUCCUAGCAAUUGGAACAACGACAACGAUAGUGAUUCAAGCAAUACAAUAUUGUGAGAAAGCGUAGGCGUGGAGUGGCGAUGGAUAUUUGGAUGACAUUCAUCAUGUAAUAGUUAGAGCGAUGCACAAUAUCUCCAAUUCAUCAAUCAUAUGUACGCAUGUAUUUCAUAUAUAGUCAUAUGUAUUAAGGUGCUCCUUUUAAUAGAGAACCGGAAGAAAGCAUUAACACAUAGUGAAUACAUGAACUCCUCAAAUUACAGUCGUCCCCGAAGAGUAUCGCAAUUAUUGUCACCUUGGGGUCUACGGUUCAGAACAAUAACAGGUGCAUAUAACUUGCAGAUAUGAUCAAUAACUCAAAUAUAUUCAUGAAAACAUAAUAGGUUCAGAUCUGAAAUAAUGGCACUCGGUCUUUAGUGACAAGAAUUAAGCAUAGCAAAGUCAUAACAAUAUUAAUCUCAUAGCAUGGUGGAUACUAGGAAUCAAGCCCUUACAAAUUGACUCGAUUACAUGACAAGUCUCAUCCAUCUCCAUCUACCACCAGUAUGUCUAUGAUGAAAUUACUCACUCCUGGUGGUGAGCAUCAUGAGGUUGUUGAUGACGACGCCGAAUCCCCCUCUCCGUAGCCCCAAACGGACUUCGGAUCAGCCCUCCCAAUAAAGAACAGUAGGUGGUGGCUCCAUAUUGUAAAACACAAUAAUUCUUUCUCUCUGGAUUUGUUCUUGGGAAGACGAUACUUAUAGGCUUGGAUGUAGGGCAAAGGAGCCACAUGGGCCCGACAAGCUCAGCCGGCACGCCCCGGGGGGACACCCCCUGAGCUGGUGGCUCUUUGGUGGCCCCUCUCUGAUAAUUGUUUGCGCAAAUAUAUUUUUAUAUAUUCUAAAAUAAUUCUUUGUAAAUUUUGUCCGAUCCCGAAUUUUUUUAUUUCUGCAUAAAAAAUAACACCAAGGUAGUUCUGCUGAAAACAACGUCGGUCCGAGUUAAUUUCAUUCAGAUCAUGCAAAUUAGUGUCCAAAACAAAAGCAUAAGUCUUGGAAGAAGUCGAUACGUUGGAGACAUAUCAAUUCCACAUAUAUUUGUCCCCAUCCGCUCCCCAGACCAAACCCUAGCCACUCCACUCCGCCAACCAAGCUCCCGCCCGGCGAUCUCCGGCCUUCUUCGGCAUGGAGAGCAGCGGAUCUGAGUCCUACACCUCCAGACUUGUCGACCUCGAGCUCAUCCCACGCGGCCCCGAGGAGGAGAUGAUCGUCCGCUUGCGCUCCGCCGCUCCCGAGAGGAGGCCGCCCGACGACAGCGCUCGGAGCCCUUUUGUCAGGAACCCAUUGUGUUCGCCGAAAUGGCGCAUUGAUCCGCCGCGAGGUGUGUCGCCGCUGCCUCACCAGAGGCAGUGCGGUCUGUCUAGCGUCCGAAUGCGGUGGCGGACGCGCAACCCCUUCGUUGGCGCGCCAGGCAGGAGGUGAACGCAUGGGCGUCGUCCAACGCAAACAUAGUGCGGUGUGCCCUCGUGCGAGGUAGCGGGCACGGGAGAUGGUUGUAGCCCUCACAACGGUGGAUGUUGGCGAGGUGGAGUCGUAUUCUCCGACGCCCCGUACGGUGGACCAGUCCGGGCACCGCAACCGCGUCGGGUGGAUAUCGUCGGCUCAUCCCAGGAUGGAUCCAUCAUCGAUCUCACGUCCACCAGCACCGCAUGGGAAACGGUGACGCCUUGAGUCCCGUUAGCCGGUCCAUGUCCCAUGUCCUAUUCUACCUCGCCGGUGACCGAACUAACACUCUGAGAGGCGCGGCAAAGUCGGGCGAAUUCCGCUUAAAAUUGGAUUUACGCUGCAUGCAAUAAUAUGGACUUGAGGUUUCUAAUUUGAGGUAUCCGGUUGUAUAUCGAUUAUUUGAGGCGUGAACGGCCAGUGUCCACGGACACGCCCGUGUUUAAGGGGUCGGAUUUGUUCUAUCCGGGUGUAGAUGCUCUAAUUGAAUGAGCUCAAGGUACUCGCUUCAUCCUGAUCCUCCCGGUGGAUCAUCUGCUUUACUCAAAGUUUUCUUUAACAUAGUACAAUAGUAGACACUCAAAGUUUUCUUGUUGGGAGCCCAAUGAUAAUUAAUUAUAUGUGUGUAAAAUAUAGCCAUUGUAAUUCGAAUGUCGUGAGGUUUGAAGAUAACUUGAAUCACGUCACCUCAUGGGAUUCAAACUACCCGCCAAAAAAAAAACAAGUUAUCUUCAAACAGUAUUUUUUUUUCACAAAGCUCGCAGCCAGGUCUACGUUCUCUGCCACAAGUAGGGAACAAAAUACUACGAGCUUGUAGUUUGGCCGUAUGUCCAUACGCAAGUUGCAAUCAAACGCGAGUAAAGUAGUCCAGCGAGUAGGUGAGGAAAGGUUAGUAUUAACGAACGUGAUGCUUACCGGAAGGAGAUGUAAUCUGGCCUUUUCUGGGAAACAUAUUUAAUACUACUUGAGAAGGAUGACUUCCAUACUUGCUAUUAAAAUAAAAUGCGUUUUAGGUGUGAAGUUGCUUUCGCACGUACUCAUGCGAGCUUGUUGUUAACCUAAAAAUAACAAUCUUCUAUAGAAGGAAAUCACAUAAUAUAUUUCUUAAGGUCUUGAGUAUCAGCGGCUGCUGCAGAUCAGUUUAUAACAACCUCCAUAUCUUAUGAAUACUUACAUCAAUGCUAUCAAUAUAAAAAGAAGAUCAUAUUUCUGAAACUUGAUUUUGAGAAAGCAUUUGAUAUGUUCAGCCAUGACACAAUUAUUGAGAUCUUAAAGGCCAAAAGCUUGAUUCUAAUUGGAUAUCAUGGAUUAAGCAAAUUUACAGCACUAGCUUUUCUUCAGUCCUCCUAACUGGGUCCCUGGCAAACAGUUCCUCUACAAACAAGGUGUUAGACAAGGAGACCCACUCUCCCAUUUGAUAUUUGUACUCGAUGUUGACCUGUUACAAAUCAUGAUGAAUGAGGCAAUGUGAAACUCAUUUAUUAAAGCUCCUCUUACAAAUUCUUAGAGCCCAAAUUUCCUAAUUAUGCAAUAUGUUGAUGACACUAUUCUGGUUCUCCCACCUGAGGCUACCAACUCAUGCACGUCAAGAACCUCCUACUGCAUUUUUCUGCUUUCACUGGACAGAAAGUUAAUUAUGGGAAAUCUACUAUGAUUGCAAUUAACACCCCUGAUCACAAAAUGUCAUCGCUCUCUGGCAUACUUGGGUGUAAGAUUGGAUCAUUGCCAUAACACUACCUGGGGCUUCCCCUUAGUCUGAUGAGACCCAAACUGGUGGACUAUUUUCCUCUUCUGAGAAGAAUUGAAACACGACUCCAAUGUUGUUCCACUUUACUCUCCUAUGGAGAUAAGCUCACUCUCAUUAAAUCAGUUUUAUCAAGCAUGUCGAUUUUCUUCAUGAGCACACUGAGAUUACCUAAAUCUGUGAUCCAUCAAAUCAACAAGUACUUAAAACAUUGUUUUUGGAGAAAAUAUGGAUAUGAAGAGACAAUUGUUACCCUGAUCUCAUUGGAUAAAGACAGCCAACCCAAAUCUCAUGGUGGACUAGGGGUACCGAAUAUUGAGACUCAUAACCAGACCCUUCUUAUGAAAUUCCUCCAUAAGUUCCUCAACAAAAGUGAUAGACCUUGGGUGCAGAUUAUUCGGGAAGCCGAUUACUCCACUCAGAACCCUGGUACUAAUAUGGUUGACUCUUUUUGGUGGAGGGACAUACUGAAAGUCCUACCCACUUUCAAGCACUUUGCUAUCUGCAAACCUGGCGGUGGAGAAACACUUCCGUUCUAGCAGGACACUUGGGGCCAGAGACUCCUACACCUCCAAUAUCCCGAGUUGCUUUCGUUCACCAACAACCCGGAUGUCACACUCCAGCAAAGCUCUGCAACCGGAGAAUCUUGAGGAUCUCUUCCACAGGCCAUUGUCACAGACUGCUCAUCAACAAUUCAUUGAGAUUCAGAACAUAACCACCAAUCUGCCAGUCAGCACUCACAGAGACUCAUGAAUUAUACAUAGGCACUUCAUAUUCCUCUAUGAAAAUGUAUAAAAGCAUUGUUAACCCCUCUAAUAACCACCAUCUCUUCAAGCUCCUAUGGAAAGAAUCCUCUAUGCUCAGACCCAAAAUCUUCUUCUGGCUUUUUCUCUAUGACAGAGUCAACACAGGAAACAUGCUCUAGUGAAAGUCUACUUACCUUCCAUCAUACAAUUGUGUCCUAUGCAGUGAUCAGACGGCUCAGACUUCCAUGCAUCUUUUCUGGGAUUGCAACUUUGCACUCAACAGCUAGAGUUCUAUCAUACCCAAUAAAAAAGAGGCCUCUCAAGCUAUGAUGAAAUCACUUUGGCCAUCUCAAUGUUGCCAAAGGAGUUAGCGCUGGAUAUCAUUAUCAUGGGAUGCUGGAGUAUUUGGAUGGUGAGGAAUGAUAAGAUUUUCAGACAUAUCCCGGCACAUCCACUUCGCUAGAAUUUCUAUAUGAAGGAGGGACUCUCUUAUUCUAUCUUGAGAUCCAAACCAGUCAAGGCCAAUAAGCUAAUGUCCUGCAUUAGUAACAACUUGUAAUUUAUUAUGACCUCCUUUGAGAGAGCUGGCGUUGGGUAAUUGAUGUAAUUUUUGGACUUUAUUUAUAUAUAUAUUAAUGAAAAUUAGCGUACGGUCGGAGUGCUAAAAAAAGUGUCGCUGAUUUAGUACAAAUUAUAUUAAAUCAGCGACACUUAUUUUGGGACGAAGGUAGUCAGCUGGAGAUGAGAGUUGAAAUACAAAAUUUUGUGAGAUAUAUUCAGUAAACAAUUGGAUCCAUGUGCCCUACAUCACAAUAAGAGUCAUAAUCCAGAUCAGAGCUAUAAAGAAUUUUGGAAAGAGUACAUGGAAAUUCAAAUCGGAGUUUGGGCUCACAUGCUCCUAAGUGAAUAGUAAAAAAAUGAUAAACAUAAGUAGAGAAACUUAACUUUUAAGACAACGAAUAGGUUUGCCACUUCUAACCAAGUGUAAAUUUUCAUGAAGUAAGUUCAUAUGUAGUUUGAGCAAAAACAAAGUGCUAAAAAAGGUCAUUUAGAGCACUGAAUUUUGGAUUUUACUAGACAACACAUGUAUAUUUUUUCUUCAAGAAAGAUGCAUGUACUACAUUUGUAUUCACAUAACAAUUUUUAUACUCCCUCCGUAAUUUAAUAUAAGACAUUUUUUGCACUAUGGCGGUGUCAAAAAAAACUUUUUAUAUUAAGUUACAGAGGGAGUCGUAUUUUGAUUUUGUUUAAUAUUUUAAAUUUUAGUAUUCAAAAGUGCGAGCAUAUGAGACCGAGCUCCAAAUGGCCUCCACCCAAAUCACUCAGCCUUUUUCCUUUUCUUUCGAUGUACAAUUGCUCAUGUUUUGAAAUAAAUGGAAUACAAGUCCACAUGACGAUCAACUCUCUAUCGAGUAAAUAGCAUAAAGCUAUCACAAUGGCAGUUAGGGUUCCGAAAAAACACCUAGUUAUUUUCUUUCGCGCAUACCUACCGUUUAGAGUCUAAUUUCCACAUGAAAUAGUGGUGGCCGUAUGGGUUCAAAUUGAUCCUGAUUAUAACAGGGGUGGCCCACCCGUCAGGUCCAGUGGGCAAAAGGAGAGACGAAAGGGGGUUAAUGACCGUUCGGCACUCUCGGUUCCGUCGGAGCAUUAUGAACGUUUUUCUUCACGGAAAUUUACAGUAUGUAAACAUUCAACCAUGUUUGUUGCAAUUUUUAAAAUUUUGUUUACUAUCUUUUUUUUAUUUUACUAUCCAGGAGGGUGCAUUUGAACCCGGAAGCUGAAACUGCACAUGCUCGUUGCAGCCUAUUCUGCAGUCAAAGUAGCAAUCAUCCGAAUGCGGCAACUUCCUCUCACCGUAGUACGUAUUAUUGGCGUCACUCAGCGCAGUCCAUUCAAGGCUAUCGUUGUCCCUGGUUUGCCGUCUCUGCCCAUAGCAGCGUGCUUCACGCCCUGCGUGUCACCCGACCCGAUCUCGUCUCCGGAGCGUGGAGACUGCAGGUGGCAAACGCAUGAUGACUCGACGACCUUCACCCUUUUUUUAUCAUCAGUCUGCGCUCUGGGUUAGCUAGAGAGGGCUUGCGAGGAAAUGGCCGGAGACACACGAGUUGCAUGUGCGUCGGCUGCAGCUUGAUUUAUCUCUUGGUCAUGUCAGCGCAGCCGUGGAUCCAGCUGCUGCACAUGGAUGGACCUCUGUUCGCGGGCUGCGUCCUUCGUCCCCUUAUCAUUUCAGCAUUUUUUAGUACCUCGCGGAAGAAAGAGGGUUGACCGACCAAUCAGUUUCGUUUAACGGGUGGUGGUUUACAUAUGUGUCAUAUAAUAAACGUUUUAUUGUUUACCUGUCUCCCAUCAGUGUCGGCGCGGGUCUGCCGGCCAUGGAGGCACAAUGGACCUGCCAUUGCCCGUUAGAAGAUUUCUGCUCUGCUUUUAGGUGAUUUUUAGGGUCGGUUAAAGUUCGUGUCUUUUCUAGGAAGGUGAGACGAUGACGGCUUUCUAAAGAUGAAAUAAGAUCCUCUCAUCUUGUCUGAUGCGUCUAGCAUUGUUGCGAAGUGUGUGGAGGUGCAUCUCCGACGGAUCUCGUGGAUUCGGUCGGUAUUAGUCCUUCAUUCGGCGUGUGUCUAUAGGUUGGAUCCUUUCAAUCUACGCUUAUCUUCAUCGUCAACAGUUGAUGUUUUGGUGUGAUGGUCUUUUGGGGUCUUAUCACGAUAACUUCUCAAUUGUGCACUACAAUAAGGUUUGUCCGGCUUCGAUGAUGGAGGGGCGAUGACGAUGACGCGUCUUGGGCUUGCUAUAGUGAUUGUAGUGAUCGCGACGGUCUACAGACAUAGAAGUAAGUUUUGUUGCUUGUGAUGUUCUUUGUACCACUGCGAUAGUUGAUGAAUGGAUCAAAAUUUUCCAGAAAAACACAUUAUGUUAUUUAUUUCCAAAAAAAUAUAAAAUGCCGUAAAAGUGUGCCACACAUGUAUGAAAUAUGGGAGUGCAUAGCAUAAAACUGCCGAUUUCAAGGUUAGAGUCCGAAAUUCCACCUUGUUUUGACAAAACACUACCACUUCAAAGUUAAUGCGCUUAAAAAACACGGAUGGCCGAUUUGCUGAAAACUAACCAUGAUUAUGACAAAUGUGGCCCAUGUGUAAGUGCUAACAUGGCACAAAAGCUAACUAUGUUUAUCUGACCGUUAUAUUGGAUGUUAUGACAGGUAGGACCUACAUGUCCCCCUUUCUUCUCUCGUCCACAACAUCAACCAGGGGAGCUCCCGACCCCCCCCCCUCCCCAUCGGAGGUCGACAAAAUGCAAGGAAGGUGUUGGGCCCAAAUGCAAGGUUUGUAGCAAGCCACAAUUUUUCUCAAAUGACCUCAAGGAUUAUUGAACCAACAGGGGCUUAGGAAUCACAACCAAUUAUCAGCACUUGCAUACACAAAUGCGAAACUUCCUCGUCCCCUACAUGCAGCAGUACAAUGAUGGUGUCUCUCUCUUUACGUCUAUGUCGGCCCGACUAUCGACACCACCACACCCACAAGUUCCCAUGACUACACCGGCCUCUACUUCGACUCCGAGCUGGGACCAAGCUGUUUUUCUAUAGGCCAUAAACAACUUUGCUGCACAAGGAAACUCAGGUACGGAUUGGAUUUUCGAUUCUGGUGCUUCUCGUCAUAUGUCUGCAUCGAGUAAUUUGUUUUCUUCUUGCACACCUUCAUCUUUUCCCUCUAUUAGUCUCGGUGAUGGAUCUUUCUUUCCUAUUUACUGUGUCGGUCAGGCUCAAAUCCAAUCCCCAACUAAGGCUUUGCUUCUUCGUGAUGUUCUUUUAGCUCCUGCCUUUAUUAAAAAUCUUAUUUCUGUUCGCCAAAUCACCACUGAUAAUCUUGUUUCUGUUGAGUUUGACCCCUUUGGUUUGUCUGUGAAAGACUACCGGACCAAGGUCGAGAUCGCACGAUUCAAUAGCUCCGGUGAUUUAUAUUCUUUCCAUGGUGUUCCAGCCACUGCUCCUCCAACAUCUAUGGUGGCCUCUGUUGAUAUGUGACACCAACGUCUCGGCCAUCCCAAUAAAAAUGUGUUAUCCACACUUCUUAGUGAAUUUUCAAUACCUCAUAAUAAAGACUUUCAUAAUUCUUCUAUGUGUCAGUCAUGUCAAUUGGGCAAACAUGUUUGCCUUCCCUUUAGUUCCUCUCAAUCCUCUAGUACUUUUCCUUUUGAAUUAUUUCAUUGUGAUCUCUGGACAUCACCAAUAGAAAGUAUCUAGUUUUAAGUAUUAUCUCGUGAUUCUUGAUGAUUUUACUCAUUAUGUUUGGACUUUUCCUUUACGCAACAAAUCCGAUGUUCAUAAUAUAUUCCUUAACUUUCAGCGAUAUGUCUCGAUCCACUUUUUCCUUCCUAUAAGAUUCAUACAAUGUGAUAAUGAUAGUGAAUUUGACAACUUUAAAAAUCAAAAUUUCUUUCUACAAUAUGGAAUUCUCUUGCGUUUCUCAUGUACUUAUACCUUCCCUCAAAACGGCAAAGCCGAGCGUUCUCUUCGUACUCUUAAUGACAUUAUUCGCACUCUGCUUGUUCAAUCUUCUAUGCCUUCGAUGUUCUGGGCAGAGGCACUCCACACGGCCACAUAUUUACUCAAUAUUCGUUCAUCUAAAGUUAACCCACAAACUACUCCUUACUUCUCUUUAUUUCUCUCUCAUCCAAAUUACUCCGACGUUCGCGUCUUCGAUUGUCUUUGUUUCCCAAACUCCUACUCCACUUCUCCUAACAAACUUUCCACACGCUCUAUCCCGUGUGUCCAUCUAGGUUUUUGUGACGAGCACAAGGGUUAUCAUUGUCUAGAUCUUGUUAGUGGUCGUGUUCAUGUGUCUCGUCAUAUAACAUUUGCUGAAAACAUUUUUACCUUUUCCGAGCAUCAACAAUUAGAUCCCAACUCAUCCACGCCGUCCACUAGUCCCUCUCCUCGGAAUCAUCUUCCCUUCUUUCACCCGCUGACCUAUCCAGCGAAACCAGCCGCAGUAGCGGAUCCUGCCCCCGCCACUUCUGUCACCACCUCUGUCCUGGCAGAGGAAAACACGUUACACUCUGACGCGGCAGACCUCCUGCCGCCGCAGUCUUCACCGCCAUCUCCCGCGUCCGCUUCCUCCGUUGUGUCGGACGCGUUCACCAUAUCUUCCCCCACCCCUCCUGCUCAUGCUAUUCCCGUUUCAGCUCCUACUAACGAUCAUACCAUGUGCACACGUGCCAAGUCCGGGUUUCGUUUACCUGCAAAAGAUCGUCUUAAUCUUCAUGCAUCUUUAUCUCCUUCCUCUCUACCCAAAUCUUACAAAUCAGCUCUCCUAGAUCUUGAUUGGGCCGUAGCUAUGAAAGAUGGAUAUGAUGCCCUCCUGCAGAAUAACACGUGGCAGUUAGUUCCUCAUCCUUCCAAUACAAAUAUCGUUUCGGGAAAAUGGGUUUUUCGCCAUAAAUUUAAUUCUGAUGGGAGUCUUGCACGUUAUAAGGCUCUAUGGGUGUGCCGUGAUCACUCUCAGCAACACGGUAUCGAUUAUGAUGUGACUUUCUCUCCAGUUGUCAAGCCCAACACUAUUCGCAGUCCUUAGCAUCGUCAUCUCUUCUUCCUGGCCAAUUCAUCAACUAGAUGUCAAAAUUGCUUUUCUUCAUGGCUCUUUCCAAGAAACAGUCUAUUGUCAACAACCUCUUGGCUUCGAACAUUCCUCAUAUCCUAAUCAUGUUUGUCUUCUUUAAAAAUCUCUUUAUGGUCUUAAAUAAGCACCACGUGUCUGGUUCCAACGCUUUUCUACUUAUGUUCAAACCAUUGGUUUUACCCCCUUCCCGUUCUGACACUUCUCUAUUUACCUUUCAUCACAACACCAACACUGCUUACCUUCUUUUAUAUGUUGAUGAUAUUAUCCUCACAACUUCCUCACAAUAAUUUUUAAAUCAUAUUAUCUCUCUUCUUCGCCACGAAUUUUCUAUGACAGAUUUAGGUCUUGUUCAUCACUUUUUAGGUAUUGUUGUUAUCCGUGACUCUUCUGGUCUUUUCUUGUCUCAACGGCAGUACACUCUGGAUCUUCUUUCUCGUGCUGGUAUGCUUGAUUGUCAAACUUCUCAUACCCUGUUGAUACAGGUUCCAAACUCUCUGCCGACGGUGAUCCUUUCUCUGAUCCUUCUCUUUAUCAUAGUCUUACCGGUGCACUUCGGUAUCUCACUCUCACUCGCCCUAAAAUUUCUUUUGUUGUUCAACAAGCUUGUUUAUACAUGCAUGAUCCUCGUGUUUCACACUACAAUCAUGUCAAACGUAUUCUUCGAUAUCUCAAAGGCACACUAAACUUAGGUCUUCAUAUCAACAAAUCCUCUCCCACCUCCUUGACAGCUUACUCUGAUGCAGACUAGGCUGAUUGUCCAGAUACUCGUAGGUCCACAUCCGGAUUUUGUGUUUUUCUUGAUAACAAUUUGGUUUCUUGGUCUUCAAAAAGGCAGGUUACGGUCUCCCUCUCGUCUGCUGAAGUUGAGUACCGCGAUGUGGCUCAUGAAGUUGCUGAUACGGUUUGGUUGCGCCAGUUGUUGUCGAAGCUGCACCGUCCUAUUCAGCAAGCUACCAUUGUUUACUGUGAUAAUAUUUCAGCUAUCUACAUGUCAGGGAAUCUGGUUCAACACCGUCGCACCAAGCAUAUUGAGAUCGACAUUCAUUUUGUUCGAGAGAAGGGGCUCUCGGUCAAGUUCGCGUUCUCCACGUGCCUACUUCUACUCAGUUCACUGAUAUCUUUACUAAAGCCCUCGCGACUACUCCGUUUCAAGAUAUUCGUUUCAGUCUCAACGUCGUAGAGCCUACCGUUGACACUGCGGGGAUGUUAGAAUACAACUUGUAAUAGGGUUAGGACUCCUACUCAGUUUGUAAUAGGGCUAGGUCAGAUUCGGCUUGGCUUUUAUAUAUACCUCUUGUACCUACACAAUAUUGCAUCAACAAUUAUUCAAUACAAUUCUACAUAAAUAAAUAAAAGGAACAUACAUUUCAGACCUUCAACCAACCACUAAUUAUCUCAAAAAUAAUCAACACGAUCAUCGCUAGUAAAAUCGUGACGUUCGUGUUGAGCGUUUGCUUGGCCGGGGGGCUGGCAUCAGUCGAUCUUUUGUCAUGAUGUCAAGGACAUGUUUCUUUGGGGACCUAUAGCGACAUCUUAAUUCGGCAUAUCCCCUCCCAUGUGCCAAAAAAGCUUAUGUACUGUAGAAGAGAUGCAUGAAUAGGAGAAUCUAGAGAAUCGGAUGCCAUGCCGUUUUAAAUGCUAGAGAAAUUUAAGACAUAGACAACACAAGUUUCCUUUCUUUCGAGAUUCCAUGCAACUCAUACUCUAUAAAUUUUCAAUCGUCUCAGUCUCUUGAUCAGGAACUAACCCAAAGGGCCACUGCACAUGGAGAUAAUCUGUGAAACCAAGAUCGAAGAGACCUUACCAGAUUUUAUGCGUGGAUGGUGUCGGCGCCGCCUCCUCGCAGCGCCGCUCUUCUUCUUCUACCUCGAGCUGCCUCGCACAACUCUCUCUUCUUUUUUCUAUGGUUUCUCUCAAGAACACCUGAACGCACACUACACACACAGGUAGACCAAGGAACAGACCAUCCGCUAGCUUUGCCGAGAGGCUCCGUCCUUGAUUAAUACAGUGGCUACAUGUUGCUGCUCUAGCCCUCACGGCCUUUCCUUUCAUUAACUCAAAGUGCAACAUAUAUACACAGGGGACUCGACCCACGCACGUACUAGCCAGCCACAUCUCUGGGAAACUAAUCCCACGUACGCACGUCCACCUUCACCUCCUGGAGUCGCUCGCUGCUGCGGAUAACUCGGCCGGCCAACCGUCCACUACACAAACAGACGCAACUAGCAUGCACCCGAUGACUGAAUCACUCAGUCCAUGCCAAUCAACUAACCUAUCUUUUAGCUAGCUCACCAACUAACCUAUGCAUGCAGCUAACGACUAGCUCACCCAAUUCUCUUGGUCAUCCAGAGUGGUCUCCAGCUCCUCGUGCGACUCGCCGCAUCACACGACGAUGCCGUAUCACACAGCACGGCAGCCUCUCGCCGCCAUCGGCAUCCCACCUUGCUUGUCGCAUCGCACGGCAGCCCGACAUCUCGCCUUCUCUGUGCACUCAACUAAAGUCUUGAUGACUAGCUACUCCCUAGAUCACCUAAGUUACAUGCAUGACGAAAAACCAAACUAAAAUGCUGAUACAAUAAUAUCAAGAUUAGUCCUAACAGAUGGUCCACAUCCCUCCAACGUUAUUCGAGCAAUAUAAUCGGCCUACCACUGUGAAGCGUCAACUCAUCAAGAUUCCAAAGGGCAAAGCAAAGCAAAUCAAAUGACUAGACAAUGACGAAUUGGAGAACACAUAGGUAGCUAGGGUGGGGAAUAACGAGCACAAGCGCGACAGUUGUUGGCUUUUGCCGCGUCACCAGCAACGGUGAAGGUUUGACGCACCUGGAUCGCGACAGCCCGGCCGUCGCCUUUCUCUCCGGCCCGUUGCCGUUGCCGUCCGGCGCGCGCGUCGGACUCCAUGGACGUGGCAUAGCAUAUAUACUUGUCCUUCUUUAUGUGUUUUCCCUGGACGGAGAUCGAAUCGAUCCAAUCAUGUGCUUGUUUGCUGUUUCAUGAAUCAUGAUAACUAAUCUGAGGUGCUAAAUGCCGCCGUAUGCAUGCAUGCAUGUGAUAAUGUAUGGUGGGAGAUGAUAGAGGAGACUUUUGGGUCCAGCAUCUACGUUUUAUCCUAAUAAUCGUAGUGGGGUUCCAAAGCUCAAAUGCAAUAGAACCAGCCAGUUGUUACACCUUGUGUGAUAGUGGCCCUCCGGUGCUUGGGAUUUUCCUGGGCUCACUUUUCUGUAGAUCACAUAUAUAUGGUUCGAAAAUGUUUUCGCUACUUUAGAGGUCAUUGUAUUUGCAAGGGGUCCAUUACUAAGGUUCUUCGGGCUAGCAUUAGGUUCUGAGCUCGAAUCAGAUUGGACUCUGGACCUCCAAAAUACGACUAACUCGAUGGUGCUCCGUACGAUUGAUGCAGGAAUUUUUCAUCUUUAUUUUGAGUUCAAUUGAUGCGGGAAUCGGUUGCAAUAUAAUUCAAAUGAGAUCUUGAUUGUAUAUGGAACAUGAAUAUUUGAAUUCAUAAUAUGGUAACUAAAACUAAAAAUACAUAUGAUUUAUUGUAUUUAAUUACUUAUUGUUGUAAAACAUUUAUUCAAUAUAAGUAGAACAGUGGAGUGGAAAGUCUUUUUUCAUGCAUAGUUGCAAGUAGAGGUGUGGCUUCUUUAUGCAUAGUUGUACGUUGAAGUGACAUGUUUACAUGUUGAGGGAAGUAUAUGUUGAUUGAUGUCACCUAUUAAUUAUAGAAUUAGGUCUCGUUUAAAACGACGAAAAGGUGGAGGAAUUUUCAAUGGUUCCAAUUGGUUGGUUCUAUGGGAUUUGAGCCUAGAUUGCAGUUUGCUGCAAAAUUGUUCAUACAUGUCACUACUUAACUAAUUGAGUGAUCCAAUUAAUAAGCUGAGACAAACUUUACUGGAAAAAGGGUGACUAGAACCAUUAUAUGGGACAUCUGUGCGGGUGAGAAAUGAUAGAGGAGACUUUUGGGUCAAGCAUCUACGUUUUAUCCUAAAUCGUAGUGGAGUUCCAAAGCUCAAAUGCGAUAGAACCAACCAGUUGUUACACAUUGUGUGAUAGUGGUGUCCAGUGUUUGGGAUUUUUUUCAGUUUUUUUGUAAAUCACAUAUGUAUGGUUCAAAAAGGUUUUGCUACUUUAUGGUUCAAAAAGGUUCAAAAGGGGGGGGGGCAACAGCUAAAAAAAUUCUCAUCUAAGCCCUCAGAAUUUUUGUUUCUUCACAAGUUGGUUCCAUGUUGGGGGGACCUACAUAGCUUCGCCUUUGAUACUCCGUACAGUUGAUGCAGGAAUUUUCAUUUGGGUGUGUCUAGGGCACAUCUAGAUGUACUCUAAUUAUUGCACAUCUAAAUGAGUGAAUCAAGCAUAAAGAGAAAAAGAAAAAAAAAGAAAAAAAUAUUCACACGAAUCUCAAUGUAAGAUCAGUGACAUAGGACUUAGAUGUGCAAUACUUAUGGCACAUCUAGAUGUGCUUUAGCAAAACAGUUUUUAUUUUUAUUUUGAGUUCAAUUGAUGCAGGAAUUGGUUGCAAUAUAUGUUGGAAAUAUGAGCAAUUUACCAAAUAAUUUUAUUAACAGAAAUACUAGAUAAAGCAUGACUAAUAUAGUAGAGAUAAAACAAGUCAUGUGUUCUGAUAGAGAGAAGGUAAAUAGCUUCUGCAUAUAUGAACCGUAGUCUAUCAUAUCUAAAGCAGACAGUAUAGCAAGUAGCAUAUAUGAAGUAGAACCUAUCAUGUGUAGGAUAAGGACUAGAACAAGGAACUGUGGCAGAACCUUUAACAGAAAAGACAAGAACACGUACGGGACAGCAGCAACAGAAGCGCUGGACUUGGGGUCGGUGUCCUCGCCUGCCAUGUCGUCGAGGAGGUCGUGGACGUCGGGGAAGAAGUCGUCGUCGGGGAAGUAGUCGUCGGCGACCGGAUCGUCCGUGAUGAAGCAGCCAGUAGUCGCGCUGAGCGCUCCCCAAAAACCUUAUCACCCUUCUCCCGUACAGGACUCAAAAGGUGCGGUUUCAGAGGCCUAAUGUCCCGACCUGCGGUGCACGCCGCAAGACGGGAUGGGGAAGAACGUAGCAGCAGCACAGUGGUCGGAACUUUGUGGCGAGAGGAAGAGGAGUGUAACGCCCUCGGUGCGGCUAUAUCUCCCACGUGUCGAAGCACGACUUAGAGGCAUAACCGCAUUGAAAGCAAUGUUGCAAGUGAGGUAAUCUUCACACAACCUAUGUAAUACAUAAGGGAAAGAGAUACAUAGUUGGCUUACAAUCGCCACUUCACACAAUUACAUGAAUAAAGCAUUACAACAUCCGAAACAAUCAAAGUUUGACUACGGAACCAAAAUAAACAACAAUUCUGGUAAAUCCCCAUAUGCAUAUUUUAGGUUCGGUACUGUUCUUCCCUAAACACAAUUUUAGAGUUGUUAAACAUGCAAAGUGAUGCCACCAUGUUAAACUAGGCAAAAUUCUACCCCAUUUACAUAUAAAGUUUAUUAAAUUCGGAGCUACGGUUAAAUAGUUAUGAAUUAAAUCAUUUUAGCAUGGCAUAGGAGCAAAUUUAGCCAAACGGCAUUUUAAACAUUUUAAACAUAGAUGAAAGUUGCAUAUUAUGAAACUAGACACAAUUUUAAGCAUUUUCCAUAUAUAAGUUAUUUACAUGUGAUGCACGGUUUGAGAGUUAGAAUAUGCAUGGAGCUUAGGGGUCAUUCUGUAAAACUGCAGUGUUCUGAACAAUUAGGAAAAUCAUAGCGCACAGCAAAAAAAAACAUAUAUGGACUGAAUCUGAGCUAUCGGGCCAAACAGGAUCAGGCUGGAGGAGUUUCUCACAUCGGGCCAAGGCCUGGCUGGAAGAAGAGGAGGAAAAGGGCCGGCCCAGGGGACGGAGUUGACCGGUCCACGCGCGCUGGGACGAGGUCAACACGGGCGAGCGAGGCAGAGGCUCGAGCAGGCGACCACCUGCUCGAUGCAGAUGAUGCAGAGGCCGCGGCGGCGCGCACAGGAGGUCGGGGAUGGACGGGUUCAUGGCGGAGGCGGCAAGAUCCAGCGGUCCUCGGCCGAAUCUGGCGCGGAACGACGGGGAGGACCUGCGUGGGAGCUCCAUGAGGGAAGUGGCAACUGCUAUUACCUGAAGAAAAAAGGGAGAGAGAGAUUCAGGGAGGGAACAGGGAAGGAGAAGGACGAGAAGGAAGCAGAGGGACGCGAUGGUCCUGCUGGUCUGGUGCUGCUCCAGUCCGACAGAGCUUCACGGCAGCGACGCGAAAGCAGAGGUCUCCGGCGCGGGAGGCUAGCGAGGGAGGAGAGCAGCGGAUUGGUGGUCUCCCGGUGAACUUGGUCGCAGGGGCAUCCGUGUCCGAGUCCAGCAGCAGGGUCGAGGUUGGGGCGCACGAGGGGAAGCUUCGAAGAAGGAGGAGGUCGGGCAGCGACUAGCGACCGGGCGCGCGAGCUCGAAGCAAAGGCUGCUCGGGGCCGCGCUGCUGCUGCAGUGAGGGAGGAGCACGGCGUUGGGACCUCCGAUGACUGCUGCUGAUGUUUGAGUGGCCGGCCACCGGCGAGGCAGAGGCACGCGAGGCUGUGGCCUCGAUCCAUCCUGGAUCAGGCGCCGGCUGGCUGUGGGGAAGAGUGAGGAAAGAGGAGGCGGGGAUGUGGAUGAGGCUGGCGAUGGGAGAUGCAGGUGGAUGGACAGAUCGAUUGAAAACAUAGGGGAUUGGCCGGUGUUGAAAGCAAGGAGAGUGGCGGCGGAUGGGAUGGAUGGAAGGGACAAACUGCCUAGGAUCUAGGGUUGGUCUAGGUUUAUAUAGUGAGUGGGUUAGAUUAGGGGCUAAAUCGUCCCUUCAAUCGCAAUCGGACGAUCGCGAAUAAAUAGGUUAGGGUGCCCAAAUAAGAAAACGGUGAUAUUUUGUAGAUGUUUGGGGAUGUUCCGGAUCGAACAGUGACGACUGUCCGGGUCGGGUCCGGGACCAAUUUCGGACGCACGCGGGAGGAGGGCCGCGGGCUGACGGGAGAGGUUAGGUUGGGCCUGGCGGUAGGUAGUGGACUGUGCAGAAGACCUCAGGCUGAGAAAAGGGAAGAGAGAAGGCCCGGCGACUGUUUCCGGAGACCAAAAACGUCCGACGUUUGACCGGCUAUAAUGCCGCUAUAGUUUAACGGUUGGGCAAUCAAACGAGCUCCGAAUGCGAUGAAACUUGGCAGGCGAUCUACUAACAACAUAACAACACCACAUGCCAACUUUCAACCCAUUCUGAGAACAUUUUACGGCCACUUAUAAAAUACUAUUUUGGACAUGCCGCAGGCGCGUGCAAGUGUGUCUGGGCUCAGAACGGACAACGGAGAGAACGAGGAGGCCGGGACGGAUGCAAGUUUUGAAAACAUGAUGAUGUAAUGUGGAUGAUGACAUGGCAAGAUGCAGCACGCAAGCAAAAGACAAGGCAACAACAGCGAAUAACUGGAGGACACCUGGCACAACGGUUUCGGGGCAUCACAACACUCCACCACUACGAGAGGAUCUCGACCCGAGAUCCUAGGGAUGGCACCGGAGGGAAAACGGAAGAGGAAGAGGAGAGGUAAAGCUAAGUUGCUUCUUUGACAAGCGAGUGAGACCAAAGAACCUUGAAAAGGUUGGACAAAUUAGAAGAAAGAAUACAACAAAGAAGAACAAUGUUGAAAGCACUCCGGUUAAAAGAGAUGAAAGACUUGAUAAAAUGAAAAAACUUGAGCAGCUGGCACACACUCCGGUUAAAUGGAUAGGCAUGAAAAGAACAUGAUCUUUGACAAAACAAGAUGAUGGGUUUAAAAGAGCAACAUGACAAUGCGUCCGAAAGAGAGAAAUAGAAGAUAGAUCAUUGAGAUAAAAGAAUGUAGAAGAAAAUGCCAACUUCUGCUACAAAAGAGCUUGAAAAGGUAUCCUUAGGAGAAGGGUCGAACGGAUUUGUUGGAAAAACAACAACGAAAAGAAUAAUCUUGAUAUGGUCUUAUGGAAUACAUCUCAAAUUAUGAGGUGACAACCUGCCACUCGUGGGAAAAGAAUUGGAUAGAUAUGAACAAAUUGACGAGAAAGUAUAUCGCACCGGAAAGGAUAAAUGAAGAAAUUGGAUCAUUUAUACGCACCAUAGAUAGCAACAAUCCUUAGGGAAAGCUUUAGGUGAAAUAUAACCCAAGGUAACUCCAAUGACGAGAUUGAUGGAUUUAAAAUACCUCAUUCUUAAUAACAUGUGAAUCAUGAAACAUGAACUCAAAUUAUCAAGAAUGACAUAAUACCACCUCCAAUGAUACGGAAGAAAGAAUUGCACUCCGGAUAGCAAGAUGAAGAAAACUUGAGCCUCUUAGCAAAGAAUGUCGAUGAACACUUUGAGAAGGAAUUAAAUCCUUGAUGAAUCCAUCAUGUAGAACCUUCAUGAAGAACUCCGGUAACAAAAAGGAUGAUGGAGAUGAAAGGAAAAGGCGGUUGAAAAACACAAGGUUAAGCCUUGCAAUGCUUAGAUGGAUCUUCGCAAUGAAAUAAUUGAGAAAACUUGGAACUCCGGGAAAAGAAUAGAUAAAGCAUCUCGAACCGAGAAUUUGAUGAGCCUCCGGAAUAAAGAAUUAAUCAUUUGGGUGAAUCAAGAAUAAGAAUUAUGUUAUGUGUAUCCUUCACCAAUUAAAUUGAUGACAAUCAACGGAUUUGGCACACUACUUAUUCUUGUCGAAAGGAUUGAGAUAGAUAUAGCAUGACUUGAGAACGUCUUCACAAGUUACCGGUAGGAUUGAGAAGAACGAAUGAAUAUAUACGAUAACGAAUGACGAGAACUCUUGCACGAACCACCGUUAGGAUUGAAAAAUGAAAGUGGCAAGGACACAAAUCACCGGAAAGAAUUGGAAAAUGAAAGACGAUACUUGAGGGGAUUUGAUACAUGAGGACGACUAGAUCUCGAACUUACUAGAGAAUAUUUGAAUGAAGCACCGGUAAGAUUUAGAGAAUGAUAACUGAAAGCUGAGAAUGAAUAAUCCUGAAAUGAUGGGCUCCGAAGAAUCAAACUGAAAAGACUCCUGAAUUGCUCCGGGAGGAUGAAAAAAAUUCUAACAAUCAAAACAAUUAUGAGAGUAUGGCAUCAAGCUAGAAUCACGAAUCUUUGAGAGAACGGAUAAGAUAUAGAGGAAACAUUUCUUAGGUCUUCAAAUGUUGAUAAUGACGAUGAGAAGCACCACCAAAAAUUGUAGAGGCACUCCAGAAUUAAGAUUGGAAAGGCUGAACCAACGAUGAAAAGAAUUUGACAGAUCUUGGAGAAAGACAUUUGACUGAUGACAUUUCAUUCUUACGUCAAACUUCGAAAAGAAUUUGGGAGUAACUCCAGGAAAAAUUAGAAGAGUCAGGUAAGAUCCUGGGAAAAGACCUGUGGGUUAGGGCCCACUCAAAAGAAACACCGUAGAAUGAUUUAAAAGAGAGAAUGCACCGGUAAGAUUAAAUGGCUAGAAUGAGAUAACAACCUCGAAAGAGCUUGAAAGGAUUACGAAAGCAGAGUGGAAACACGAAUCUUUGAGAUAUCUUGAACACUCCGGAACAAUUGAAUGGCAAGCGGGGAAGAUUAAGAGGUGCACCGGCACAAGUAAGCAUUGUAACGAGGAAAAGAUAUGAUCAACAAAGCUUGACUUGAAACCACUAGAGAAGAAAAGAACGACGAAUGAUGAGCUUGAAGCUCCAUUAGAAUCUUCAUGAGAAUCACCGGAUAAGAACAUUAACGUAAAAGAAUGGAGAGACUUCUCAUCAAUGAGAUGAUACUUGAUUAAGAAAUCUGAGUCUUCGAAUAAAAAACAAGGGUGGGUGGGCGGAAAACAAAGGCAUCUUGGGACAGAUAAAAUGAGCACCGUUGAUAAGAACUGAUAAUUGAUCUUGCGGAUGUUGAAAUGAUCGGAUCCACUUGAAGAGAAAACACACCGGUUGAAAAAGAAUUAACAUGACAAUCUCGGUUAUCAACAAGGAUUAGUAUUCACAUAGAAAUAUGAGAACACCGCUUAGGGAAGGUAUGGAAUCAACACUUGACUUCGAAGCAACUCGAAUACCACAACUCAAAACAAAACAAAGGAUUGGCUUGCAGAAUAAGCCGAAACAAACAUAUGAUAGAGAUUUCAUCCGAAGUUUUCGUGGUGGGGCCUACACGGGCUCGAUCGUACAUCACCAUCAUGUACAAGGCAGUGCACAUGACAUACGAAGCGUCCCCGAGUCGGCAUAGCCAAGGACUCUUUAAGACACAACGAGACCACUGUAAAACCAACUGUGGAUAGGCAGACCACUAGACGUCGAACCCCAAUUUCAUAUCAUACAUCUGUCGGAAAGAUAUCCUAAGAUCUACUUGAAUUCCCACUUAUAAACUCCCGAAACUUCCCGAUUAUGCAAUCAGGUGUUGGGGAUAUAGGGGAAGCAUAAUAUCUCACCCAAACUAACAAAUCAUACAUCCAGCUGUAUCCAUCCUUCAACACAUAACCAAGAAACCUUCGGAAAUCUUCUACCUCAACCUUCGAAAAGCAUCCGUUAUACGAGUUAUGGCAAUACUCCCGAACUCCCGCCCCAGUACUGGGUGGCGUCGAGGUUAUCUCACCAACAACUGCAUAAAAGAGAUUUUCGAUGUCGGGGAAACUAAACUCAGGUAUUCCAGAACUACAACGAUAAAAUUGUGACGACAACACCUCGGAGCUCAACUCCCCGGGACACUGCCACAACCCCUAAAUGUCAGGAGGCACCAAGAACAAUGUUCUCGUUACAAAACCAUCGGAACAAUUCCAAGAUACCCGCGUCAUCCUAAUUUUUUUUUUGUGAAAUUUGAGAAGAGAAGAGUCAAAACUCUACGUCAGGAUGCCUUACCAGAGCGAUGAAGGGACUGAGGAGUAAAAAGAAUUCCUAACUCUCUGAUAUAUAUAAUCCUAAAUGACUCAAAACAUUUUUCUAGACUCAACAACGUCAGCUAAUUCGAUCAAGCAGGGGGGGCUCCUAAGGUCGGGGAAGGCUCUGAUUACCAACUUGUAACGCCCUCGAUGCGGCUAUAUCUCCCACGUGUCGAAGCAUGACUUAGAGGCAUAACCACAUUGAAAGCAAUGUUGCAAGUGAGGUAAUCUUCACACAACCCAUGUAAUACAUAAGGGAAAGAGAUACAUAGUUGGCUUACAAUCGCCACUUCACACAAUUACAUGAAUAAAGCAUUACAACAUCCGAAACAAUCAAGGUCCGACUACGGAACCAAAAUAAAAGAAGAACCCCAAAUGCGACAAGGUCCCCGAUCGACCCCAACUGGGCUCCACUACUGAUCAACUAGAACGAAACAACACAAAGGACAAGAUCUUCAUCGAGCUCCUCCUGAGCUUGGUUGCAUCAUCUGCACGGACUCAUCUGCACCUGCAAGCUAGUUUUGGAAGUAUCUGUGAGCCACGGGGACUCAGCAAUCUCGCACCCUCGCGAUCAAGACUAUUUAAGCUUAUGGGUAAGGUAAAGGUAUGAUGUGGAGCUACAGCAAGUGACUAGCAUAUAUGGUGGCUAACAAACGCAAAUGAGAGCGAGAAGAGAAGGAAAAAGCACGGUCGAACAACUAUGAUCAAGAAGUGAUCCUAGAACAACCUACGUCAAGCAUAACUCCAACACCAUGUUCACUUCCCGAACUCCACCGAGAAGAGACCAUCACGACUACACACGCAGUUGAUGUAUUUUAAUCUAGGUCAACUUCAGGUUUUCUACAACCGGACGUUAACAAAUUCCCAUCUGCCCAUAACCGUGGGCACGCCUUUCGAAAGUUCAAAUCCCUGCAGGGGAGUCCCAACUUAGCCCAUGACAAGCUCUCACGGUCAACGAAGGAUAUUCCUUCUAGCGGGAAGACCCGAUCAGACUCAGAAUCCCGGUUACAAGACAUUUCGACAGGUAAAACAAGACCAGCAAAGCCGCCCGAUGCACCGACAAAUCCCGAUAGGAGCUGCACAUAUCUCAUUCUCAGGGCACACCGGAUAGGUCAAGCUACGAGUAAAACCAACCCUCGAGUUGCCCCGAGGUGGCCCCGCAGGCUGCCCGUUUUGGACCAACACUCAGAGGAGCACUGGCCCGGGGGGUUUAAAAUAAAGAUGACCCUUGAGUCCGCGAAACCCAAGGGAAAAGAGGCUACGUGGUGAAUGGUAAAACCAAUGUUGGGCAUUGCUGGAGGAGUUUUAUUCAAGGCGAACUGUCAAGGGGUUCCCAUUAUCACCCAACCGCGUAAGGAACGCAAAAUCCGGGAACAUAACACCGAUAUGACGGAAACUAGGGGGGCAAGAGUGGAACAAAACACCAAGCAUAAGGCCGAGCCUUCCACCCUUUACCAAGUAUAUAGAUGCAUUAAUUAAAUAAGAUAUAUUGUGAUAUCCCAACAAGUAAACAUGUUCCAACAAGGAACAACAUCUCCAUGUUCCAACAAGGAACAAAACUUCAAUCUUCACCUGCAACUAACAACGCUAUAAGAGGGGCUGAGCAGAGCGGUAACAUAGCCAAACAACGGUUUGCUAGGACAAGGUGGGUUAGAGGCUUGGCUCAACAAUAUGGGAGGCAUGAUAAGCAAGUGGUAGGUAUCGCAGCAUAGGCAUAGCAAAAGAGCGAGCAUCUAGCAAGCAAAGAUAGAAGUGAUUUCGAGGGUAUGGUCAUCUUGCCUGAAAUCCCGCAAGGAAGAAAAACGAGUCCAUGAAGAAGGCAAACGGACGAAAUCGAACGGUUCCUCACAAACGCGACAUUACCGGAUUACCGAGAAGAAGCAACACCAGAAAGAAGCAAACCACAUAGUAAACAACCAUCACAUAAACAUGGCAUGAUGCACAAUCAAGUAUGAUGCAUGUCCGGUUUAAUGAAGCAUGGCAUGGCAAAGUGCACAAACAAUCCUACAAAUUAAGUGGAGCUCAAUAUGCAACUCCGCUGCAUAUUGACGAAACACCACAUUCAAGUUAUUUAGUUCUCUCUCGUUUAUGUACCCAACAAGAUUAAAUGUUGAUUAACAUGGGAAGGGGUGAAGCCAAACAAAACUACCUAUCUAGGCAAGUUUAAAUGAGGCCGGAAACAACAAACAACAAUUCCGGUAAAUCCCCAUAUGCAUAUUUUAGGUUUGGUACUGUUCUACCCUAAACACAAUUUUAGAGUUGUUAAACAUGCAAAGUGAUGCCACCAUGUUAAACUAGGCAAAAUUCUACCCCAUUUACAUAUAAAGUUUAUUAAAUUUGGAGCUACGGUUAAAUAGUUAUGAAAUAAAUCAUUUUAGCAUGGCAUAGGAGCAAAUUUAGCCAAACGGCAUUUUAAACAUUUUAAACAUAGAUGAAAGUUGCAUAUUAUGAAACUAGACACAAUUUUAAGCAUUUUCCAUAUAUAAGUUAUUUACAUGUGAUGUACGGUUUGAGAGUUACAAUAUGCAUGGAGCUUAGGGGUCAUUCGGUAAAACUGCAGUUUUCUGAACAAUUAGGAAAAUCGCAGCGCACAGCAAAAAAACAUAUAUGGACCGAAUCUGAGCUAUCGGGCCAAACAGGAUCAGGCUGGAGGAGUUUCUCACAUCGGGCCAAGGCCUGGCUGGAAGAAGAGGAGGAGAAGGGCCGGCCCAGGGGACGGAGUUGACCGGUCCACGCGCGCUCGGACGAGGUCAACACGGGCGAGCGAGGCAGAGGCUCGAGCAGGCGACCACCUGCUCGAUGCAGAUGAUGCAGAGGCCGCGGCGGCGCGCACAGGAGGUCGGGGAUGGACGGGUUCAUGGCGGAGGCGGCGAGAUCCAGCGGUCCUCGGCCGGAUCUGGCGCGGAACGACGGGGAGGACCUGUGUGGGAGCUCCAUGAGGGAAGUGGAAACUGCUAUUACUUGAAUAAAAAAGGGAGAGAGAGAUUCAGGGAGGGAACGGGGAAGGAGAAGGACGAGAACGAAGCAGAGGGACGCGACGGUCCUGCUGGUCUGGUGCUGCUCCAGUCUGACAGAGCUUCACGGCAGCGACGCGAAAGCAGAGGUCUCCAGCGCGGGAGGCUAGCGAGUCCAGCAGCGGCUUGGUGGUCUCCCGGUGAACUUGGUCGCAGGGGCAUCCGGGUCCGAGUCCAGCAGCAGGGUCGAGGACGGGGCGCACGAGGGGAAGCUUCGAAGAAGGAGGAGCUCGGGCAGCGACUUGCGACCGGGCGCGCGAGCUCGAAGCAAAGGCUGCUCGGGGCCGCGCUGCUGCUGCGGUGAGGGAGGAGCACGGCGUUGGGACCUCCGAUGACUGCUGCUGAUGUUUGAGUGGCCGGCCACCGGCGAGGCAGAGGCACGCGAGGCCGUGGCCUCGAUCCAUCCUGGAUCGGGCGUCGGCUGGCUGCGGGGAAGACUGAGGAAAGAGGAGGUGGGGAUGUGGAUGAGGCUGGUGAUGGGAGAUGCAGGUGGAUGGACAGAUCGAUUGAAAACAGAGGGGAUUGGCCGGCGUUGAAAGCAAGGAGAGUGGCGGCGGAUGGGAUCGAUGGAAGGGACAAACUGCCUAGGAUCUAGGGUUGGUCUAGGUUUAUAUAGUGAGUGGGUUAGACUAGGGGCUAAAUCGUCCCUCCGAUCGCAAUCGGACAAUCAUGAAUAAAUAGGUUAGGGUGUCCAAAUAAGAAAACGGUGAUAUUUUGUAGAUGUUUGGGGAUGUUCCGGAUCCAACGGUGACGACUGUCCGGGUCGGGUCCGGAACCGAUUUCGGACGCGCGCGGGAGGAGGGCUGCAGGCUGACGGGAGAGGUUAGGUUGGGCUGGUGGUAGGUAGUGGACUGUGCAGAAGGCCUCAGGCUGAGCAAAGGGAAGAUAGAAGGCCCGGCGACUAUUUCCGAAGACCGAAAACGCCCGACGUUUGACCGGCUAUAAUGCCGCUAUAGUUUAACGGUUGGGCAAUCAAAUGAGCUCCGAAUGCGAUGAAACUUGGCAGGCGAUCUACUAACAACAUAACAACACCACAUGCCAACUUUCAACCCAUUCCGAGAACAUUUUCCGGCCACUUAUAAAAUACUAUUUCGGACAUGCCGUGGGCGCGUGCAAGUGUGUCUGGGCUCAGAACGGACAACGGAGAGAACGGGGAGGCCGGGACGGAUGCAAGUUUUGAAAACAUGAUGAUGCAAUGCGGAUGAUGACAUGGCAAGAUGCAGCACAGAAGCAAAAGACAAGGCAACAACAGCGAAUAACUAGAGGACACCUGGCACAACGGUCUCGGGGCGUCACAAGGAGCUUCUGUUGUGUCUCUCUGGAGAGGAGCGACCUCUCUUAUAUAGGCACAGGAGAAGGACGCGAAGAGGCUGCGGCAGGAGGUGAAGCAAUGAAGGGAGACGAAGCGAACAGGCAGCGGCCGAAGAGGCGCGCCGUUCGAAUUCUGUGUCCACUAGAGAAAACGUUUCAACUCCCACGUGACCUUUCGUAUACCCGUCGUGCAUGGCAAAAAUUUAGAUAUCGGCUCGGCUCAUUCCCGCGGCGCGUCGUGACGAGGCGAGGCGUGGCGUGGCGAGGCGGGCGGCGGAGGAGGAGCGCGCGUGGAUAUCCCUCUUGUUCUCAUGCUCGUACAAGUGGGGAAAGAACUUCCCUUAUAAGGAGGUCCAACUCCCACUAAACUAGCAAUGUGGGACUAAACUUUAGUAGUAUCCCUUGCCUUGCACAAAUGGGCUAAGUGGGCCUCUAGGAUUUAUUAGGAAUUUCUGAAAUAGUUAUUGGGCUGCCCAAAAUAGACUAAAUUCCAGCAAUCCCCCACCAGAUCCCAGAGGCACACAGAAAUUUGCCUUUGGUUCCAGAACACUGUUUUAUAUACCGGUACUGCAGUGGAGACUGUUAAGUUGAAUUUCCACCUAGAACUCUAUGCUACACUAGUAAGCAACCUGAACAGUGGACUAGGCCUUGAACUGCAAGUUUUCUGCGAAUCUAGCUUCACAUAAAGCCUUGACCGAUACGUGGCUACCGUGGAUCUUCCUCGUGGGUGGAGCUUAUGCGUCAUACUCCGUGACCUUUCAUGAGUUUACUAGAGAGAACCCUACUCUCAUAGAUUGCAACGUUUGACAAUCAGACUCAUAUAGGUGUGUUCUUCAAAAGAUGUUCUGCAGGAUAACAUCUCUGCUUAAAUAAGCCACUUAGAACACAUUAAGAUAUACAUCAACCUGCCAUGCAGAUUAGGAGAGUAUUGCAUCUUCAUGGAGUGGUAUUGUGAAUAGUAAGGAUACUCUCCUCUCAGUUGACCAACAGCUUGUCUUCCACAUCUAAUUCACGGGAUCUCCGAUCAUAAAGAAUAGGUUACCACUGUGAACAACUCAUAUUGUGGGUCUCAUACCCAUCUCCCUCGAUGCAUUAUCUAUCACAUUACGUGAUAGACCCUUGGUAAAAGGAUCUGCCAGAUUUUUAGAUGUUUGGAUAUAAUCCAACGCAAUAACUCCAGAGUUUUUCAUUUUCCUGACAGACUUUAACCUUCUCUGAACGUGUCUUGAUGACUUCAUGUUAUCCUUUGAGCUGCUCACUUUCGUGAUCACAGUUUGAUUGUCGCAGUUCAUAAGGACACCCGGUACAGGUUUCUCAACAACCGGCAAGUCAUUCAAGAGCCGGCGAAGCCAAUCUGCUUCAACCGUAGCUGUAUCUAGUGCUGUGAGUUCUGCUUCCAUUGUUGACCUCGUUAAGAUGGUCUGCUUGCAAGACUUCCAAGAAACAGCGCCACCUCCAUGAGUGAAUACAUAACCGCUCGUGGCCUUUAUCUCAUCAGCAUCUGAGAUCCAGUUUGAGUCACUAUACCCUUCAAGCACCUUUGGAUGCUUGGUGUAGUGAAUUCCAUAAUUUGCAGUGCCUUUCAAAUAACGCAAAACUCUUUCUAGAGCUUUCCAAUGCACAUCUCCUGGUUUUGAAACAAACCGUCUCAGUUUGCUAACAGCAAAAGAGAUGUCAGGUCUUGUAGCACUGGCUAAGUACAUAAGCGAGACAAUAAUAUGAGAAUACUUCAAUUGGUCUUUAGCAAUUCUUUGAUUCUUUCGAAGCAACACACUAGCAUCAUAUGGUGUUGGAGAGGGCUUGCAGUCACUAUAGCCAAAGCGACUCAAGAUCUUUUCCACAUAGUGAGAUUGAAGCAAUGUAAUCCCACCAUCAUCGUCUCUCAACAACUUGAUGUUCAGAAUGACAUCAGCCACUCCUAAAUCCUUCAUCUCAAAACAACAAGAUAGGAAAUCCUUGACCUCCUUAAUAACAUUCAGAUUGGUUCCCAAAAUCAGUAUGUCAUCAACUUACAAGCACAGGAUAACUCCCUCGCCCCCACCAUGGCGAUAGUACACACAUUUGUCAACUUCGUUCACAACAAAGCCUGCAGCUGUUAAAGUUCUUUCAAACUUCUCAUGCCACUGUUUGGGUGCUUGCUUAAGUCCGUACAAAGACUUCAGCAACUUGCACACUUUCCCUUCCUGACCAUCUAGUACAAACCCAUCUGGUUGUUCCAUAUAAAUUUCCUCGUCCAUCUCUCCAUUUAGGAAAGCAGUCUUAACAUCCAUUUGAUGAACGAGAAGACCAUGCGAGGCAGCUAGUGAAAGUAGAACUCGAAUAGUGGUCAGUCGAGCCACAGGUGAGUAAGUAUCAAAGAAGUCUUCACCUUCCUUUUGGGUAUAACCCUUAGCCACGAGCUGAGCCUUGUACUUUUCAAUAGUACCAUCAGGCCUAAGCUUCUUAUUGAAUACCCAUUUGCAUCCUAUAGGUUUGCACCCAUAAGGGCGAUCAGUUAUCUCCCAAGUUUCAUUCGCCAAGAUGGAAUCCAUCUCUCUAUGAACCACUUCCUUCCAGUAGUCAGCAUCUUCAGAUGCAUAGGCCUCUGAAAUAGAACUAGGAGUGUCAUCUAUGAGGUACACAAGAAAAUCAUCACCAAAGGACUUUGCAGUCCUCUGUCUCUUUCUCCUAAUAGGAACUUCAUUGUUCUCCUCCACAGGACUUUCAAAGUGCUCCAUCGAAAUUGUAGGUUCGGUAAUUGUAACUGGUUCCUGAUUCGAUGAACUAGGCAUCUCCUGAUUAGAUGAGGUAGCCAUAUCCUUCAUGGGAAAGAUAUCUCCAAAGAAAGUCGCAUCAUUCGACUCCAUGAUCGUAUCGACAUGCAUGUCAGGUACCUCAGAUUUUACAACCAAGAAUCUAUAGCCAAUGCUAUGAAAAGCAUAUCCCAGGAAAACACAAUCCACAGUCUUUGGUCCAAGCUUCCGCUUCUUUGAAAUUGGAGCAUUGACUUUCGCCAAACAACCCCAUGUUCGCAGAUAAGAGAGUUUUAACCUUUUCUUCUCCCAUUCCUCGAAUGUAGUUAUCUCUUUGUUCUUUGUGGGGACUCGGUUCAGGACAUGACAUGCUGUCAAUAUCGCCUCCCCCCACCAUGCCUUGGAGAGACCCGAUGUGUCUAACAUGGCGUUAACCAAAUCAGUUAGAGUACGGUUCUUUCUUUCGUCCACCCCAUUUGACUGAGGUGAGUAGGGAGGCGUCCCCUCAUGGAUUAUACCAUGUUCCGCACAAAAAAACAUCAAACUCAUUGGAAAAAUACUCUCCACCACGGUCGGACCUAAGCCUCUUGAUUUUCCGAUCAAGUUGGUUUUUCACUUCAGCUUUAUAGAUCUUGAAAAAGUUCAAAGCCUCAUCCUUAGAUUUCAGAAGAUACACACGGCAGUAUCUAGUGGAGUCAUCAAUUAACGUCAUGAAAUAUUUCUUUCCACCUUUUGUCAACACACCAUUCAUUUCACAUAGAUCUAAAUGUAUGAGCUCUAGUGGUGCAAGAUUUCUUAUUUCCGCAGUCGUGUGAGACUUACGAGGUUGCUUAGCUUGCACACACACUUGACACUUAAAUCCAUUGACGGUGGUGAAAUUAGGGAUUAAGUUCAACUUCGCUAGUCGCGACAUGCAACCAAAGUUGACAUGACAAAGACGUGAAUGCCACACAUUGGAUUCACUAUUGUUGCAAAUAUGAUUAACAACUUUAUUGCAAACUCUAAUAAGGAUAAACGAAACAAGCCUCCUGACUCAUAGCCUUUACCAACAAAGGUUCCAUACUUGGAUAUUACAAAUUUACUCGACUCAAAGACAAGUUUGUAGCCAUCUCUAUACAGAAGAGAUCCGCUAACAAGAUUUUUAUUGACGGAGGGGACAUAAUGCACGUUCUUCAGCCGCACGAUCUUCCCCGAAGUAAACUUCAGAUCGACCGUGCCAACACCACGAACAGAAGCACUUGAACCGUUGCCCAUCAGCAUGGUUGAAGUCCCUGCGGUCUGAUAAGACGAAAACAUGGAAAUAUCACCGCAUACAUGCACAUUAGCACCCGUGUCAAUCAACCAGUCAGGAGAAUGACAUACUGAAAGAAUAGUGGGAAAUAUACCAUACCCAGCAUCCUUCAUGUCAGUGUCUCCAAUGACAACAUUAGCGGUCUUGCCGCCUUUCCCAGGAUGACGCUUGUCAUAGCGAUUAGGGCAACUAGGAGCCCAAUGAUCAGGAUCCCCACACACAUGACAAGCACCUUUCUUCUUGCCAUUCUUCUUCUUGAAGUUCGUGUGUUGCACAGUCUUGUUCUUCCCAUCAAACUUUGCUUUUUCAUCAAACUUGCCCUUGUUCUUGAACUUGUGGGGCUGGAAGUUCUGCUUCUGUAGCACAUUGGCUAGAUCCUCCCUCAACACCUCGAGCACGUGUGUCCUUUGCUCUCGCCUUUUCUUCCACAUCAAGAGUGCCAAUGAGAUCCGGGACGGAAAACUCCUGCCUCUUAUGCUUCAGCAAGGUAGCAAAGUUCCUCCAUGAAGGGGGAAGCUUAGUGAUGAUACCUCCGGCAACAAACUUGUCUGGUAGCAUACAACUGAAGUGCUCAAGUUCUCUAGCAAAUGACUGUAUCUCAUGAGCUUGCUCAACCACGGAGCGCUCUUCAGUCAUCCUGUAAUCAUAGAAUUGCUCCAUGAUGUACAGCUCAGUGCCAGCAUCCGAGACCCCAAACUUGACCUCGAGUGCAUCCCACAUAUCUUUUCCAUUAUCAAUUGACGCAUAAGCAUCAACUAUGUUCUCACCAAGAACACUCAAGAGAGCAGCCUUAAACAGAGUAUCCAUUUUCUGAAAAGCUUGUGCCUGUUGAGCAUCAAGCUCUCCUUCAGGUUUGCCGAGAGUGGCGUCAUAGCAACUCAUGGUUUGAAACCACAAGACUGCUCUCACGCGCCACCUCUUAUAGUGGAUACCCUCAAACAUAGGAGGUCUCAUGGAAGCAGCAAAACCACUUAGGGUAAAUUGCCUAUAAUAAGGUUUUUGGAUUGUUGGAAAUAUGAGCAAUUUACCAAAUGAUUUUAUUAACAGAAAUACUAGAUAAAGCAUGACUAAUAUAGUAGAGAUAAAACAAGUCAUGCAUUCUGACAGAGAGAAGGUAAAUAGCUUCUGCAUAUAUGAACCGUAGCCUAUCAUAUCUAAAGCAGACAGUAUAGCAAGUAGCAUAUAUGAAGUAGAACCUAUCAUGUGUAGGACAAGGACUAGAACAAGGAACUGUGGCAGAACCUUUAACAGGAAAGACAAGAACACGUACGGGACAGCAGCAGUAGAAGCGCUGGACUUGGGGUCGGUGUCCUCGCCUACCAUGUCGACGAGGAGGUCGUGGACGUCGGGGAAGAAGUCGUCGGCGACCGGAUCGUCCGUGAUGAAGCAGCCAGUAGUCGCGCUGAGCGCUCCCCAAAAACCUUAUCACCCUUCUCCCGUACAGGACUCAAAAGGUGCGGUUUCGGAGGCCUACUGUCCCGACCUGCGGUGCACGCCGCAAGACGGGAUGGGGAAGAACGUAGCAGCAGCACAGUGGUCGGAACUUUGUGGCGAGAGGAAGAUGAGCUUCUGUUGUGUCUCUCUGGAGAGGAGCGACCUCUCUUAUAUAGGCACAGGAGAAGGACGCGAAGAGGCUGCGGCAGGAGGUGAAGCAACGAAGGGAGAUGAAGCGAACAGGCAGCGGCCGAAGAGGUGCGCCGUUCGAAUUCAGUGUCCACUACAGAAAACGUUUCAACUCCCACAACCCGCGGCGCGUCGUGACGAGGCGUGGCGAGGCGGGCGGCGGAGGAGGAGCGCGCGUGGAUAUCCCUCUUGUUCUCAUACUCGUAUAAGUGGGGAAAGAACCUCCCUUAUAAGGAGGUCCAACUCCCACUAAACUAGCAAUGUGGGACUAAACUUUAGUAGUAUCCCUUGCCUUGUACAAAUGGGCUAAGUGGGCCUCUAGGAUUUAUUAGGAAUUUCUGAAAUAGUUAUUGGGCUGCCCAAAAUAGACUAAAUUCAGCAAUAUAACCCAAUGAGAUCUUGGUUAUAUGGAAUAUGAAUGUUUGGAUUCAUAAUAUUUAUUUAAUAUAAGUAGAGUGGAAAGUUUCUUUUUCAUGCAUAGUUGCAGGGUUUUUUUUUUACGGAAUGCAUAGUUGCAAGUUGAGGUGUGCUUUUUUCUAUGCAUAGUUGUAUGUUGAGGAGACAUGUUUACAUGUUGAGGGAGAUAUAUGUUGGUCGGUAUCAGCUAUUAACUAAAUAUUAGGUCUCGUUUGAAACGACGAAGAAGUGGAGGAAUUUUUAAGGGUUCCAAUUGGUUGGUUCCAUCGGAUUUGAGCUUAGAUUGCAGUUCAUUGGAAAAUUGCUCAUACAUGUCACCAGCAACUAAUUGAGUGGUCCAACUAAUAAGCUGAGACAAACUUUACUGGAGAAAGGGCGACUGCAAUCUUUAUAUAGGACAUCUGUGCGGGUGAGGUUUGUGCCUCUGUUAUGCUAUGAUUGUGUUCCUGACAGAUAGAUGCAACAAUCGCGAAUGAAAAGAAAUGUAGAAUGCAAAGUAGAUCUGAUUCCAGUGAUGACAGAAAACAAAGAGCUAGCCCUUCUAUAUACACAUACAUGUAGUAUCUAUCAAUUGAAGGCCACUAAUCGUCUAUUUUUAUCUCAAAAAUAUAGAACUCCCGCUGUAAAAAAAUAUUUCUUUACAGAGACCAUUGACGGAAAAGCUAGGCAGGGUACAGGAAAAGGGUUUCCUAGUCCUAAACUAGCCGAUGCCCACUAGCAAGUUUAAGUGAGUGACAAAUUUCGUACUGUCAAACUGGGGUUAACUGUAAAGGAACCAAUGCUAAGCAUCCCUGAUGCACCCAUCAUCCUGCACGCCGAAAGGCUUCAUUCUGCUUGCCGGAGAAUAAAUAUGUGUGACGCUAAUCACCAGAUGUGUAGCAUCUAGUAAUGCAUUCAGGAACCUAAUGCUAGAGUGUCUCUCUUUUCUUUUCUUUUCUUUUCUUUUUUAGCAAGGGAUAAGAGUUUACUUUUGUGAGAGGUUUUGAGAAUAUGUGCAUAUUUUUACUGCAGAUGAAAUAUAUGGAAAUUACACCCGGGCUUGUUACCUUUUAAAUUUCAGGGAUUCUGGGUUGUGUUCCUUGAUUACUAAGCAAACAAAAUAUGGUCCCUACGAAUGAAAGAAUGAAUGAAUCCACCCAAGUGAUGUUUCUCCGAGACCCACAUGAGAGUACAUAUGACCGCGUACCUAGAUCCAAUUGGGCGUGACGCUGCUAUCUAGUCUAGAGGCGCGAGUUUGAGCUGACAGUCAUAUAUCAGCAGCCGGCAGCCACCUAGUUUUGUUGACAUCUGACCCUGUUUGUAUCAGAUUAAGGUGGAUUUACAAACCCCACUGGGCAUUACCGGCCACGUCAGGGCAUGUACAAUGGUUCCAUCUUAGCAGUGCCAUGUAGAAUAAAUAAUAAGGUGGAGAAAAGAAAAACAAAAAAAGGCUUUGCCUUCUUUUAUUUAAAAGAUAAUCUCUUAAAGCAUUUUCAGCCGCGUCCCCAACAGGUCCCUCAGGCAACUUUUUACGCGCCGGCGCCCAAAAAACCCCAAUCGCGCCCCCAAGACGUCGAAAUCUUUCGGCUCGGCCCGUUUUUGGGCCCGGCGAUCGCAGGCCGAACCCGGCGCACUGGGGGCGCUCGGGGGCUUCGACACAAGGGAAAAACAUGCCUGGCCCACACUGUCAGGCGAGAAGUCAAGCCAUUCGUCCAGAUUCGCCUCCCAACCCCCACGCGCUCGGCCGCCACCCUACUGAUCCCGUCGCCGCCCACCGCCCAUCACUACUAGAUAGGCCAUUCCCCGCCGGAAAAGAGAGGAGGUUUCGCCGCGGCAGCCUCUCCACCACCAUCCGGGCGAUUUUUCCGACGUUCCGGCCACGCAGGGCGGUGUACCGGCGGGUGUGCGCCCACCAAGCCCGCAAGGUGUUCGGCGAUUUGCCUGCUCGGCGAUGGACUUGGACGACGAGGAGGCGCUCACCACGCUGCUGGAGGAGGAAGCUGAUGCCGACGUCCAGGAAGAGGAACAUCUCAUGGUCCUCGUCUCCCUCGCCGGCCUGCUCGCGAGCAAUGAAAAGCCGCGACGAGGUGGCUCGGCGCCGGGGCAGAUGAAAGCAAAGAACCGGCAUCGUCUGGAAGGCUACUGCAUGCUCUGCUCCGACUACUUCGCCGACGCUCCACUGCACGGCGACAAAGUAUUUCGGCGCCGUUAUUGGAUGAGCCGAAAGCUUUUUCUCGGGAUUGUGAAUUCCAUUCAAGAGUUCGACAGCUACUUCAAGUGCAAGAAGGAUUGCACCGGCAAACUUGGAUUCACCUCAAUCCAGAAGUGCACGACAGCGACGAGGAUGCUUGCAUACGGAGCUCUCGGUGAUUCACUCGGCGACUAUGGGCCCAUGGCCGAGUCCACGACCAUUGAGUGUUUCUACAAGUUCUGCAGGGCGGUGGUGACAGUGUUUGGACCGCAAUACUUGCGGACACCCAAUGCGGAAAACACUGCUCGGGUCCUAGCACAGAAUGCAGCAAGAGGAUUUCCUGGAAUGCUUAGAAGCAUCGACUGCAUGCAUUGGAAAUGGAAGAACUGUCCAUUUGCUUGGCAGGGGAUGUACAAAGGCGCCAAAGGCGAUUGUAGUGUGGUACUUGAGGCGGUGGCCACACAGGACCUCUGGAUUUGGCACUCCUUCUUUGGUAUGCCAGAAACUCACAAUGACAUCAACAUGCUGCAGUGCUCCCCUGUCUUUGCCAAGCUUGUUGAAGGCCAUUCUCCUCCGGUGAACUUCGAGGUCAAUGGGCGGCACUAUAACAAGGAGUACUACCUAGCUGAUGGCAUCUAUCCGAGAUGGUCUACAUUUGUGGAGACAAUCUCAAACGUUGUGCCAGGAGGCAAGAAGUCUCACUUUGCUAAGGUUCAGGAGGCUUGCAGGAAGGAUGUCGAGCGGGCAUUUGGUGUGUUCCUGUGACACCCUGAUAGUUAAGCUACAGUAAACCUUUGCUAAUCAUGCCAUGUCAUUAUAAUUAAACUUUUCCAAACCUCGCUUGUUUCAAAUUGAGAUCAAAUUUAAAUUCAAAAAAUAAGUCAAAUUAUAAUUUCAUAAAAACAGUGAAUUAAAAAUGUUCAUUGCAUUACAAUUAAUCACUAAGUAAUUUUCAUAUAAGAAGAAAGAUCUUUAGAAGUAAUUAGAUGCUCCUAACCUAUUUAAAACGGGGUUAACAACACCAAAUACGGCCUUUUCAAAAUUAACAAAAGGCUAGACAUUUUCCAGUUGACCCCAAACUUUGUGGACAUCCCCAUAAUAUUGCAGAGUAUUUAUGAGACAAGUCUCAUAUUUAUCAAAACACUUUCUAGUAUUAAUAUAGAGUAAAAAACGGAAAGAAAAAUAUAAAACAGGAGAAAGGAAAAAUGAAUAAAAACUAAAACUUAAACAAAGAAAAAACACUAGACCCCCCAAGUGGGCCGACUGGCCCAGUUGGCCGAAACCGGCCUAGCUGGCCGGCCCAGCCGCCCACCCCGAGCGCCCUAACCCUAGCGUGCCGCUCUACUCCUCUCGCACCACCCCACCCCCCNNNNNNNNNNNNNNNNNNNNNNNNNNNNNNNNNNNNNNNNNNNNNNNNNNNNNNNNNNNNNNNNNNNNNNNNNNNNNNNNNNNNNNNNNNNNNNNNNNNNNNNNNNNNNNNNNNNNNNNNNNNNNNNNNNNNNNNNNNNNNNNNNNNNNNNNNNNNNNNNNNNNNNNNNNNNNNNNNNNNNNNNNNNNNNNNNNNNNNNNNNNNNNNNNNNNNNNNNNNNNNNNNNNNNNNNNNNNNNNNNNNNNNNNNNNNNNNNNNNNNNNNNNNNNNNNNNNNNNNNNNNNNNNNNNNNNNNNNNNNNNNNNNNNNNNNNNNNNNNNNNNNNNNNNNNNNNNNNNNNNNNNNNNNNNNNNNNNNNNNNNNNNNNNNNNNNNNNNNNNNNNNNNNNNNNNNNNNNNNNNNNNNNNNNNNNNNNNNNNNNNNNNNNNNNNNNNNNNNNNNNNNNNNNNNNNNNNNNNNNNNNNNNNNNCCACGCGCGCCCACCGUCGCCCCGCACACGCUGGCCCUUAUGCCCGCGCGCGCCCAGCACGCGCCUCCCCCUUUGCGCCCGUGCGUGCCCAGCACGCGCCUCUCCCUUUGUGCCCGCCGCCUACGCCGGCUCUUGCCGUUGCUAGCGCCGCUCGCCGUCCGCCUCUGCUAGUCCAUGCGGCCGUCACCGCGCCUGCCACCGCGCCUGCCCCCUGCAGCGCCAGCCGGUCGCGCUACAUCGCGCGUGCGCCCGUUCGUGCUCGUGCCAUGCUCCUCUGCCUGCGCGCUCGGUUGUUGCGUGCUGCCAUUGCUGCUGCAGAGCCCACCCGCUCGUCCCUCCGUUGCCGGCGCGGAAAUUCCGGCAAGAUCCCGUGCCAUCGCCGCCGUACCUGUGGACGCCGGCGCGUAGCGCUUCGAACCGGCCUCUGUGCCGCUGGCUAGCAGGCCCUGGUCAUUAUAUUAGGGCGCUAACCCACUAAUUACCACUAACCUGAACACUUAGUGGCACUAACAGAUGGGCCUAGGGUCUUUAAACGCUAACAAAAGGAAUACACUACGGUCACUGACAGUGGGGCCCCACCCCCUGAGAACGUUAACAUAAUAAUAAUAAUAAUAAUGAAGAUUUAAAAUAAAAAUAAUAAUUAAAUUAAUUAAUUAGUCAAAUGAAUUAAUUAACUUAAUUAAUCAUGUUAAUUAAACUGAGACAAUGACAAACGGGCCCCGUGUGCCAGGGUUGACCUAGUCAACCUGUGGACCUGCUGACAUCAUGAUGAUGUCACGCAAACACAAUAAUUGCAUUUUCUAAUUAAUUUAAAUCUUUUAAUUCCAAAAUUGAUUUUAAUCCUUUUAAAAUUAAUAUAAAAUAAACCAUAGCUCAGAUGGAAAAACUUUGUACAUGAAAGUUGCUCAAAAUGACGAGACGAACCCGGAUACGCAGCCCGUUCGUCCGCUACGCAUCCCUAGCAUAGCAAACACGCAACUUUCCCCCUUCGGUUCAUCUGUCCGAAAACGCAAAACACCGGGAAUACUUUCCGGAUGUUUUCCCCCUUCACCGGUACCACCUCGUACCGCGUUAGGGCACACCUAGCAUCACGCUUUGUCAUGUCAUGCAUCGUCAUGCAUUUGUUUGCAUUAUAUUUAUUGUUUCUUCCCCCUCUUCUCUCGCUAGACACCGAGACCGACGCCGCUGCUACCCAGUACGACUACGGUGUUGACGACCCCUCUCUCUUGCCAGAGCAACCAGGCAAGCCCCCCCCCCUUGAUCACCAGAUAUCGCCUACUCUACUCUCUAUACUGCUUGCAUUAGAGUAGUGUAGCAUGUUACUGCUUCCAGUUAAUCCUAUCCUGAUGCAUAGCCUGUCCUUGCUACUACUGUUCUUACCUUUACCUGCAAUCCUAAUGCUUAGUAUAGGAUGCUAGUUUACCAUCAGUGGCCCUACAUUCUUGUCUGUCUUCCAUGCUAUACUAUCGGGUCGUGAUCACUUGGGAGGUGGUCAUGGGUAUAUACUUAUACAUAAUAUAUGAUAGUUGUGGUGAUUAAAGUUGGGUCGGCUCAUAGGAGUACCCGCGAGUGAUUCCGAUGUUGGGGGCUGAAGGGGCAGGUGGCUCCAUCCCGGUAGAGGUGGGCCUGAGUUCCCGCAGGCCCCCGACUGUUACUUUGUGGUGGAGCAACAGGGCAGGUUGAGACCACCUAGGAGAGAGGUGGGCCUGGCCCUGGUCGGCGUCCGUGGUUAUUUCAGAAUAACACGCUUAACGAGAUCUUGGUAUUUGAUCUAAGUCUGGCUACUGGCCUAUACGCACUAACCAUCUACGCGGGGACAGUUAUGGGCACUCGACGUCGUGGUAUCAGCCGAAGCCUUCGUGACGUCAGCGACUGAGCGGCGCGCGCCGGGUUGGACCGCGUAACGCAACUUCCUUUGUAAUGGAGGUUGCUAGGUCUGCUCUCCGGCCACGUACGCAACGUGCAGGUGUGCAAUGGGCGAUGGGCCCAGACCCCUGCGCCAUAGGAUUUAGACCGGCGUGCUGACCUCUCUUUUGUGCCUAGGUAGGGCUGUGACGUGUUGAUCUUCCGAGGCCGGGCAUGACCCAAGAAAGUGUGUCCGGCCAAAUGGGAUCGAGCGUGUUGGGUUAUGUGGUGCACCCCUGUGGGGAAGUUGAUCUAUUCGAAUAGCCGUGUCCCUCGGUAAAAGGACGACCCGGAGUUGUACCUUGACCUUAUGACAACUAGAACCGGAUACUUAAUAAAACACACCCUUCCAAGUGCCAGAUACAACCGGUGAUCGCUCUCUCACAGGGCGACGAGGGGAGGAUCAUCGGUUAGGAUUAUGCUAUGCGAUGUUACUUGGUGAACUUACCAUCUACUCUCUUCUCCCGCUGCAAGAUGGAGGUUACCAGAAGUGUAAUCUUCGAAAGGACUAGCUAUCCCCCUCUUAUUCCGGCAUUCUGCAGUUCAGUCCACAUAUGAUAGCCUUAUUCCAGUUGAUACCAAUGCAUACAUAUGUAGUGUAGCUCCUUGCUUGCGAGUACUUUGGAUGAGUACUCACGGUUGCUUUGCUCCCUCCUUUCUCCCUUUCUAUACCCGAUUGCUGCGACCAGACGUUGGAGUCCAGGAGCCAGACGCCACCGCUGAUGACGACUACUACUACUCGGGAGGUGCCUACUACUACGUGCAGCCCGCUGACGACGACCAGGAGUAGUUUAGGAGGAUCCCAGGAAGGAGGCAUGCGCCUCUUUCGAUCUGUAUCCCAGUUUGUGCUAGCCUUCUUAAGGCAAACUUGUUUAACUUAUGUCUGUACUCAGAUAUUGUUGCUUCCGCUGACUCAUCUAUGAUCGUGCUCUUAUAUUCGAGCCCUCGAGGCCCCUGGCUUGUAAUAUGAUGUUUGUAUGACUUCUUUAUUUGUAGAGUUGUGUUGUGAUAUCUUCCCGUGAGUCCCUGAUCUUGAUCAUACACGUUUGCGUGUAUGAUUAGUGUACGAUUGAAUCGGGGGCGUCACAAGUUGGUAUCAGAGCCGACUGCCUAUAGGAAUCCCCUUCCACACUCCUUGGCCGAAGUUGAGUCUAGACAUUGCAAAACUUUUUACUAACAUGGUUGUGUGCCUUACGGGCCCACGUCGCCAUUUGGGUGGUAUUAGGAUCUUUUACUCCUCGUCUAUACUCUAGGACUCUGAUCUCUCUUCUAUUCGGGUUAAAUGAUUUUACUAAAUCUGACUCUAGGUUCUCGUACUACUUCUCCCGGAGAGCCCCUUAUCACAGAUGAUCGCCUACUGCACCAGAAGAUUUUGAAGAUACUCUUCGAUCGUUCUCGAGACCCUUGUGACCUCUGCCUUUUCAAUUCCCUACCAUCGAUAUAUCCAUAUGGAUAACGACAUACACUUGUUGUUCAUACAAUUACUCUGAGAUUCUCUAGUUGUUACAAGAUGCAUCGAAUUGCUCUCCGAUGUUUAAGAAUCCCUUGUACCACUGCCUUGUAGUUCCUUGCCGCAGAAAUUCCCCUAUGGACAAUUCCUCGGAAUUAUCGAGUAUCCACUCGCUCCCAGUUGUUCUUGUGUUCCACAAAAGACUUUGAAAUACUAUUUGAUCUUUCGAAAAUCCUCAACAGCCUGUUAUUCUUGGAAUUCUUGCGUACUUGCAUUCCAGUUAAUUCCAUUGGUCUAGCAAUUUACUUUAAAGACCUUUGUGAUUGUCAUUCUGAUCCUUUUGAUUCAGCAUGUGUGUGAAUGCACACAAUCAUCAGUUGUUCCCUGGAAUUUAUCCUUCCGACUCAGACGUCAUUUUAAACAUGAGAUGGAUCUCGACCAAUCAAAUUUUUCCAUCGAUUGUACCCCUAAGUCUAUUCAACUUAUCCAUCCCUAAUCAGAGCAUUGCUUCUGAUCCCUUGUCUUGGAAUUGAUAAUUCCUUUGCAUUUGAACUUUGAGUUAGUCAGUUGUUUCUAUAAACUGAUCUUCUUGCAUUCCUUCUUCCUCUGGUUGAGUACCGAUACUCAUAUCAGAUCCCUUAUGGACCACCAGAUCUUUUGUUGGAUUUUGUCCGACAUCGUCCUUCAUUUCAUUAAACAUUGUGAGCCUUUCAUAGGAUACAUAAUGCCUUUGGUAAAUUGUAUCCCCUGCUUUUGUCAACCAUGCUAUGCUCCCGAGCUUGAGUUAUUCGCUCCUGAAGUUUGUGGUAUAUGUUCCUAAGAGGCCAAGAUGGGUUGAACCUAUGCCUUUUCAAAUCUGUGUGAACCCAGAAAACUACUACGGGUCAUACUCUACUGGUGUUAUGUCAGAUAAAAUUUCAAUAUUACCACUAAUGUCAUUUUCAAAAUAUGAGAGGUGAAUGAAAGGUUAUGCGUUGAACAAGUGGGAGUCGACCUUGAACCCUGGGUUCAUGCCCAUGGACACGAUGUAGAUCUUAUCAUUAAAGCUUCUCUUAAAUUAAUUAUUCCCUUGGUAUAAGUUCAUCUUAUACCUGGGUUCUGGCCUUUUGCAAUCAUGGUUUCGACCAUGUUCUCCUCUAAAUACCAUUUCUUGUGCAAGUUUAAGCACUUGUCUUCUGCAGAGCAAUACCCUAGUCCAACCUCUACUUUAAUCUGUUGUCGAGUAUUACCCCCCGGUAUCUCGGGAUUGUCAAGGAACCGCAUAACUUCUUUUGAGCUCUUCAUUAAGUACUACAUUCGCACUGAUUCCAAUUUUUCACGGGCUCUGAUUUAUUAAACUCUCAAAGACACCGAUAACUAAACCGAGUUCGCACUACGGUUCAACAACUCUUAGUAUUCUUCUUUAUGUACGAGUUUGUACUCAACCAUGUCAUUCCUGGCCUGCUCGACUAUAUCAUUAUCGUGCCGAUUUUAACUGUGCUACAUGGUCCUUAUUCCCAAAGCACAACUUUCGAUGAUGAGCUAAGCUUAUGUCGAUUUUCCUCGUCAUAUCAUUUCUCCUUGAACAGCAAGCUUGAUUUCGAGUUUGUGUCAUACUCGUGGUCCCAAUAACCUUUCACUUCAUCAUUCCUUUGACUUGAUGUCAUCGCCGAUCGGUUACAUCUUCACGAAAUCUCUCGACAAUUGUGUCAUGAUCAUCAUCAGCAUUCUGAGGCCAUCCAAGAUAUCUAUUGAAUUCUUGAUGUGAAAUACCAUCCUUUGCCCUUGAUCAUUUGUGUUAUCAUCGACCACUUUAUUGCCUUCCGUUCAACACAAACUUGUCCGUGUUUUGUGUUAUACUUUGAGUUCCUUGCUAUCUAGCAAUUGUUCUUCUUUACCUUAGAGUAUUAUCAUAAUUUAUGUCAAAAUGUUGUGAGAAUUUCACCACCUCUUAAGAAAUUCUUGAUGCAGCGAUACUUCUCACCAUCACCAUUCUUUCUUGGUCCCCGUGUUGAUUCUAACCGGGAUGCGGUGAACGAUACUGUUUGGAUUCUGCCCUUCUAGCAACCCUACUGCUUUGAAAUUAAUGGUCGAUAGUUUCAUUCUAAGCCUAUUGCUUAUUGAAUCAUCAUUCAAACAUUUAUCGUGCUACCUAGUCCAGAUUUUCGGGUGCACUCUUCAACCAAUGUUUAGUUGUUUGUGUUCUCCUAGAUCAUACAUGAUUAUUCCGAUAAAUGAUAUCUCCGUGUUCACAUAAUUGUGGAAAUCCAUCUUUUGAAGAUCUCAAUCAAUUCUCACUGAGUUCAUCAGCUAGCUCCUCAACCUCUCCUUGGGUUAAUGGUGAACUCAUGAUUCGGAACUCGCUUCCAUAGUUCAAUUCCUGAUAAUCUUAUGACGUCAUCUCGACAUUUUGUGUUGCACAUUUCUUCUCAGUCAUCCUGAAUCUGAGUUAUCCUAACACCAAUCAGAUCCGAACCUCGGUCAGAUAUGAUGGUUGAAACAUAUUUCCAAGAGUUAUAACAUUGGUCUUCAUAUGACCCGGUAAGGUGAUGUCAUGCCUAGCACACCUGGCCGGAGGGUCUAUUGUUAUAGUUUCCUUUUUAGCAAGGUUAGCCAUUCUUCCAUGAGGAAAUUGUAAGACUUAUUCUACAAGCCGUUCCUGAUGGAUCCUUUGUGUUUCCAAAGUCUGAUCUUCACCUGAUGACCAUGUCAAUGCUAUCUCGAUGCAUGUCUAUGGUACUCCAAUGUUCAACAAGAACAUUUGAAGCCCAAUGCUAAAUAUUUCCUGCUCAAUUAUCCAAACACCGUUGUAUGGGUAAUGUCAGGAAAUUUCUCUUCCCUUACCUAAAGAGUUUUCUACAUUAUAUCUUGUCAUGGAUAUCAUACUCUACUUGUACUUGGAAAGGAUAUACCCCUUAAAUAUGUGUUUAAACACAUUUUCCUUUCCAUUGUUCUGUUUAAUCUGAUGAUCACAUUUCCUUUACAUUGGUUUGUUUAACCUUUUCGGUGAUCUAUAUGAUCUAAGCAGUAAUAUUCUUUUGCUUAUGUAAACGCCUGGGUGUACAAUCGUGUCGGUAAGACCAUGUUACUAUUGAUGUUGACAUUCCGGUAACCACCGAUGGACGAGAACUUUUCCUAUUGGUCCGCCUCGUUCAACGAGCAGGAAAAUGGUUCUCUUCAUCCCUCGCCCUUGGUACCGAUGUUGUUGCCGACAUAACUGGCAGGUUAUCCUCUGACAUGCCUUGCUUACAUGAUCGUGCGAGACGUCACCCCCCUUCCUACUUUUAACCCACAUGGUGGGCCCAUAACCCACAGUUCCACAGGAGCAAAACCUGACUCUCAUGAACACCCCUGUUUCUAAAGUUAUUCCUCAUGCUUGGCUUCGUAUGGAAGAUCACGAGCCACCUGCCUAGUGAUAUAAUGUGGUAUCAUACGCAUUACUUGUUCUCAUUGCUCUAAACCCCUUUCACCUUCUGAUUAGGCCAUCAAAUGAUUGCCUGCCCAUUGGAAACUUCUCAUGGUACCUUCUUACUUUACUCUCGAUAUGUUCUUAAGUAUCUAUUCGAGAAUUACUUUCUACCAUGUUCCCUGAGUUAUCUGUCGGAUAGUCAACCUUGUAAGGUCCGUUCUUCCGAAAUUACCCCUUCUCCUUUCGUAAGUACGACGAAAUUUCCGAAGAAAGGAUGAUGACUUCAUCAGGAUGACCUGAAGCAGAGGAAUAAAGACAUCGAUGUAAUGGAUCGACCUCUUCGAGAAGAGAAACUAAGACCAGGAAGAUCCGUUAGAAUUUCGUAACCAGAGCUUUCCCCCUUACUCCCCUCUUAAAUCUCGGGACGAGAUUUCUUGUAGUGGAGGAGAUUUAUGACACCCUGAUAGUUAAGCUACAGUAAACCCUUGCUAAUCAUGCCAUGUCAUUAUAAUUAAACUUUUCUAAACCUCACUUGUUUCAAAUUGAGAUCAAAUUUAAAUUCAAAAAACAAGUCAAAUUAUAAUUUCAUAAAAAUAGUGAAUUAAAAUUGUUCAUUGCAUAACAAUUAAUCACUAAGUAAUUUUCAUAUAAGAAGAAAGAUCUUUAGAAGUAAUUAGAUGCUCCUAACCUAUUUAAAACGGGGUUAACAACACCAAAUACGGCCUUUUCAAAAUUAACAAAAGGCUAGACAUUUUCCAGUUGACCCCAAACUUUGUGGACAUCCCCAUAAUAUUGCAGAGUAUUUAUGAGACAAGUCUCAUAUUUAUCAAAACUCUUCCUAGUAUUAAUAUAGAGUAAAAACGGAAAGAAAAAUAUAAAAUAGGAGAAAGGAAAAAUGAAUAAAAACUAAAACUUAAACAAAGAAAAAAACACUAGACCCCCCCCCCAAGUGGGCCGACUGGCCCAGUUGGCCAAAACCGGCCUAGCUGGGCGGCCCAGUCGCCCACCCCGAGCGCCCUAACCCUAGCGCGCCGCUCUACUCCUCUCGCACCACCACCCCACUCAUCUCGCACGACCCCCACUACCCCCACGAACCCCUCUCGCUCCCCCGUCUCCUUCCNNNNNNNNNNNNNNNNNNNNNNNNNNNNNNNNNNNNNNNNNNNNNNNNNNNNNNNNNNNNNNNNNNNNNNNNNNNNNNNNNNNNNNNNNNNNNNNNNNNNNNNNNNNNNNNNNNNNNNNNNNNNNNNNNNNNNNNNNNNNNNNNNNNNNNNNNNNNNNNNNNNNNNNNNNNNNNNNNNNNNNNNNNNNNNNAGGGAGGAGUGGAUCUACAUACCCUUGUAGAUCGCGCGCGGAAGCGUUCAAGAGAACGGGGUUGAUGGAGUCGUACUCGUCGUGAUCCAAAUCACCGAUGAUCCUAGCGCCGAACGGACGGCACCUCCGCGUUCAACACACGUACGGAGCAGCGACGUCUCCUCCUUCUUGAUCCAGCAAGGGGGGAGGAGAGGUUGAUGGAGAUCCAGCAGCACGAUGGCAUGGUGGAAGUAGCGGGAUUCCAACAGGGCUUCGCCAAGCGCUGCGGGAGGAGGGAGAUGUGUCAUGGGAGGGAGAGGGAGGCGCCAGGCCUUAGGUUAGGUUGCCCUCCCUUCCCCCCACUAUAUAUAGGGCCAAGGGAGAGGGGGAGGGCGCAGCCUUGCCCCUUCCUCCAAGGAAGGGUGCGGCCAAGGGGGGGAGGAGUCCAUCCUCCCCAAGGCACCUCGGAGGUGCCUUCCCCCUUUAGGACUCUCCCUUUUUCCUCUACUCUUGGCGCAUGGGCCUCUUGGGGCUGGUGCCCUUGGCCCAUAUAGGCCAAGGCGCACCUCCUACAGCCCAUGUGGCCCCCCGGGGCAGGUAGCCCCACCCGGUGGACCCCCGGGACCCUUCCAGUGGUCCCGGUACAAUACCGGUGACCCCGAAACUUGUCCCGAUGGCCGAAAUAGCACUUCCUAUAUAUAAUUCUUUACCUCCGGACCAUUCCGGAACUCCUCGUGACGUCCGGGAUCUCAUCCGGGACUCCGAACAACUUUCGGGUUACCGCAUACUAAUAUCUCUAUAACCCUAGCGUCACCGAACCUUAAGUGUGUAGACCCUACGGGUUCGGGAGACAUGCAGACAUGACCGAGAUGACUCUCCGGUCAAUAACCAACAGCGGGAUCUGGAUACCCACGUUGGCUCCCACAUGUUCCACGAUGAUCUCAUCGGAUGAACCACGAUGUCAAGGACUUAAUCAAUCCCGUAUACAAUUCCCUUUGUCUAGCGGUACGAUACUUGCCCGAGAUUCGAUCGUCGGUAUCCCGAUACCUUGUUCAAUCUCGUUACCGGCAAGUCUCUUUACUCGUUUCGUAACACAUCAUCCCGUGAUCAACUCCUUGAUCACAUUGUGCACAUUAUGAUGAUGUCCUACCGAGUGGGCCCAGAGAUACCUCUUCGUUUACACGGAGUGACAAAUCCCAGUCUCGAUUCGUGCCAACCCAACAGACACUUUCGGAGAUACCUGUAGUGUACCUUUAUAGCCACCCGGUUAUGUUGUGACGUUUGGCACACCUAAAGCACUCCUACGGUAUCCGGGAGUUGCAUAAUCUCAUGGUCUAAGGAAAUGAUACUUGACAUUAGAAAAGCUUUAGCAUACGAACUACAUGAUCUUGUGCUAGGCUUAGGAUUGGGUCUUUGUCCAUCACAUCAUUCUCCUAAUGAUGUGAUCCCGUUAUCAAUGACAUCCAAUGUCCAUGGUCAGGAAACCGUAACCAUCUAUUGAUCAACGAGCUAGUCAACUAGAGGCUUACUAGGGACAUGGUGUUGUCUAUGUAUCCACACAUGUAUCUGAGUUUCCUAUCAAUACAAUUCUAGCAUGGAUAAUAAACGAUUAUCAUGAACAAGGAAAUAUAAUAAUAACUAAUUUAUUAUUGCCUCUAGGGCAUAUUUCCAACAGUCUCCCACUUGCACUAGAGUCAAUAAUCCAGUUCACAUCGAUAUGUGAUUAACACUCAAGGUCACAUCCCCAUGUGACUAACACCCAAAGAGUUUACUAGAGUCAAUAAUCUAGUUCACAUUACCAUGUGAUUAACACUCGAUGAGUUCUAGGUUUGAACAUGUUAUGCUUGUGAGAGAUGUUAUAGUCAACGGGUCUGAAUCUUUCAGAUCCGUAUGUACUUCGCAAAUCUCUAUGUCGUCUUGUAGAUGCAGCUACUACACUAUAUUUGGAGCUAUUCCAAAUAACUGUUCUACUAUACGAAUCCAUUCUACUACUCAGAAUAAUCUGGAUUAGUGUCAAAGUUUGCAUUGGCGUAACCCUUUACGACGAACUCUUUUACCACCUCCAUAAUCGAGAAAAUUCCUUAGUCCACUAGUUACUAAGGAUAACUUUGACCGAUGUCCUGUGAUCCAUUCUUGGAUCACUCUUGUACCCCUUGACUAACUCAUGGCAAGGCACACUUCAGGUGCGGUACACAGCAUAGCAUACUGUAGAGAGCCUAUGAUAAAAGCAUAGGGGACGACCUUCGUCCUUCCUCUUUCUUCUGCCGUGGUCGAGCUUUAAGUCUUAAAUUCAUACCUUACAACUCAGGCAAGAACUCCUUCUUUGACUGAUCCAUCUUGAACACCUUCAAGAUCAUGUCAAGGUAUGUGCUCAUUUGAAAGUACCAUUAAGCGUUUUGAUCUAUCCUUAUAGAUCUUGAUGCUCAAUGUUCAAGUAGCUUAAUCCAGGCUUUCCAUUGAAAAACACUUUCCAAAUAACCCUAUAUGCUUUCCAGAAAUUCUACGUCAUUUCUGAUCAACAAUAUGUCAACAACAUAUAUUUAUCAGAAAUUCUAUAGUGCUCCCACUCACUUCUUUGGAAAUACAAUUUUCUCAUAAACUUUGUAUAAACCCAAAAUCUUUGAUCAUCAUCAAAGCAUACAUUCCAACUCCGAGAUGCUUACUCCAGUCCCUAGAAGGAUUGCUGGAGCUUUGCAUACUUAUUAGCAUCUUUCAGGAUUGACAAAACCUUCCGGUUGUAUCACAUACAACCUUUCCUCAAGAAAAUCGUCGAGGAAACAAUGUUUUGACAUCCUAUCUGCAAGAUUUCAUAAAUAGUGCAGUAAUUGCUAAUAUAAUUCCAACAAACUCUUAGCAUCGCUACGAGUGAGAAAGUCUCACCGCAGUCAACUCCUUGAACUUGUCGGAAAACAUCUUAACGACAAGUCGAGCUUUCUUAAUGGUGACAUUUACCAUCAUUGUCCGUCUUCCUUUUAAAGUCCAUCUGUACUCAAUAGCCUUACGACCAUCGAGCCGUUCUGCCAAAGUCUACACUUUUUUUUCAUACAUGGAUCCUCUCUCGGAUUUUAUGGCCUCGAGCCAUUUAUCGGAAUCCGGGCCCACCAUCGCUUCUCCAUAGCUCGUAGGUUCAUUGUUGUCUAGAAACAUGACUUCCAAGACAGGAUUACGUACCACUCUGAAGUAGAAUGCAUCCUUGUCAUCCCACGAGGUUUGGUAGUGACUUGAUCUGAAGUUUCAUGAUCACUAUCAUAAGCUUCCACUUCAAUUGGUGUAGGUGCCACAGGAACAACUUCAUGUGCCCUGCCACACACUAGUUGAAGAGAUGGUUCAAUAACCUCAUCAAGUCUCCACCAUCCUCCCACUCAAUUCUUUCGAGAGAAACUUUUCCUCGAGAAAGGACCCGAUUCUAGAAACAAUCCCUUAUUGUUUUCGGAUCUGAGACAGGAGGUAUACCCAACUGUUUUGGGUGUCCUAUGAAGAUGCAUUUAUCCGCUUUGGGUUCGAGCUUAUCAGCCUGAAACUUUUUCACAUAAGCGUCGCAGCCCCAAACUUUUUCACAUAAGCGUCGCAGCCCCAAACUUUUAAGGAAUAACAGCUUAGGUUUCUCUAAACCAUAGUUCAUACGGUGUCAUCUCAUCGGAAUUACGUGGUGCCCUAUUUAAAGCGAAUGUGGUUGUCUUUAAUGCCUAACCCAUAAACUAUCGUGGUAAUUCAAUAAGAGACAUCAUGGUAUGCAUCAUAUCCAAUAGGGUGCAGUUAUGAUGUUCGGACACACCAUCACACUACGGUGUUCCAGGCUGUAUUAGUUGUGAAACAAUUUCCACAAUGUCUUAAUUCUGUGCCAAACUCGUAAUUCAGAUAUUCAUCUCUAUGAUCAUAUCAUAGAUCUUUUAUCCUCUUGUCACGACGAUCUUUCAACUUCACCCUAAAAUUACUUGAACCUUUCAAUAAUUUAGACUCGUGAUUCAUCAAGUAAAUGUACUCAACAUCUACUCAAACCAUCUGUGAAGUAAGAACAUAACGAUGUCCACUACACGCCUCAGCACUCAUUGGACUGCACACAUCAAAAUGUAUUACUUCCAACAAGUUGCUUUCUAGUUCCAUUUUACUAAAAAACGAGGCUUUCAGUCAUCUUGCCCAUGUGGUAUGAUUUGCAUGUCUCAAGUGAUUCAAAAUCAAGUGAGUUCAAACGGUCCAUUUGCAUGGAAUUUCUUCAUGCAUAUACACCAAUAGACAUGGUUCGCAUGUCUCAAACUUUUCAAAAACGAGUGAGCCCAAAGAUCCAUCAACAUGGAGCUUCUUCAUGCGUUUUAUACCGAUAUGACUUACGUGGCAGUGCCACAAGUAGGUGGUACUAUCAUUACUAUCUUAUAUCUUUUGGCAUGAACAUGUGUAUCGCUACGAUCGAGAUUCAAUAAACCAUUCAUUUUAGGCGUAAGACCAUUGAAGGUAUUAUUCAAAUAAACAGAGUAACGAUUAUUCUCCUUAAAUGAAUAACCGUAUUGUGAUAGGCAUAAUCCAAUCAUGUCUAUGCUCAACGCAAACACCAAAUAACCAUUAUUUAGGUUUAACACCAAUCUCGAUGGUAGAGGGAGCGUGCGAUGCUUGAUCAUAUCAACAUUGGAAACACUUCCAACACAUAUCGUCAGCUCACCUUUAGCUAGUCUCCGUUUAUUGCGUAGCUCUUAUUUCGAGUUACUAACACUUAGCAACUGAACCGGUAUCUAAUACCCUGGUGCUACUAGGAGUACUAGUAAAGUACACAUUAACACAACGUAUAUCCAAUAUACUUCUAUCGACUUUGCCAGCCUUCUCAUCUACCAAGUAUCUAGGGUAAUUCUGCUCCAGUGGCUGUUCCUCUUAUUACAGAAGCACUUAGUCUCGGGUUUGGGUUCAACCUUGGGUCUCUUCACUAGAGCAGCAGAUGAAUUGCCGUUUCAUGAAGUAUCCCUUUGUUCCCUUGCCCUUCUUGAAACUAGUGGUUUCACCAACCAUCAACAAUUGAUGCUCCUUCUUGAUUUCUACUUUCGCGGUGUCAAACAUCGCGAAUAUCUCAAGGAUCAUCAUAUAUGUCCCUGAGAUAUCAUAGUUCAUCACGAAGCUCUAGCAGCUUGGUGGUAAUGACUUCGGAGAACCAUCACUAUUUCAUCUGGAAGAUCAACUCCCACUCGAUUCAAGCGAUUGUUGUACUCAGACAAUCUGAGCACAAGCACAACAAUUGAGUUUUUCUCCUUAGUUUGCAGGCUAAGAAAAUCGUCGGAGGUCUCAUACCUCUUGACGUGGGCACGAGCCUGAAAUCCCAAUUUCAGCCCUCGAAACAUCUCAUAUGUUUCGUGAUGUUUCAAAACGUCUUCGGUGCCUCAACUCUAAACCGUUUAACUGAACUAUCACGUAGUUAUCAAAAUGUGUAUGUCAGAUGUUCGCAACAUCCACAUACAACGUUUGAGGUUCAGCACACUGAGCGGUGCAUUAAGGACAUAAGCCUUCUAUGAAGAAAUGAGGACAAUCCUCAGUUUAUGGACCUAGUCCGCAUAAUUGCUACUAUCAACUUUCAACUAAAUUUUCUCUAGGAACAUAUCUAAACAGUAGAACUGAAGCGCGAGCUACGACAUAAUUUGCGAAGACCUUUUGACUAUGUUCAGGAUAAUUAAGUUCAUCUUAUGAACUCCCACUCAGACAGACAUCCCUCUAGUCAUCUAAGUGAUUACAUGAUCCGAGUCAACUAGGCCGUGUCCGAUCAUCACGUGAGACGGACUAGUCAACAUCGGUGAACAUCUUCAUGUUGAUCGUAUCUUCUAUACGACUCAUGCUCGACCUUUCGGUCUUCUGUUUUCUGAGGCCAUGUCUAUACACAUGCUAGGCUCGUCAAGUCAACCUAAGUGUUUGCAUGUGUAAAUCUGUCUUACACCCGUUGUAUGUGAACGUUUGGAUCAAACACCCGAUCAACACGUGGUGCAUUGAAACAACGAAUUGUCGCAACGGUGCACAAUUAGGGGGAACACUUUCUUGAAAUUUUUAAUGAGGGAUCAUCUUAUUUACUACCGUCGUUCUAAGUAAACAAGAUGUAUAAACAUGAUAAACAUCACAUGCAAUCAAAUAAUAGUGACAUGAUAUGGCCAAUAUCAUAUAGCUCCUUUGAUCUCCAUCUUGGGGCUCCAUGAUCAUCUUGUCACCAGCAUGACACCAUGAUCUCCAUCAUCAUGAUCUCCAUCAUCGUGUCUCCAUGAAGUUGUCACGUCAUCUAUUACUUCUACUACUACAGCUAACGGUUAGCAAUAAAGUAAAGUAAUUACAUGACGUUUAUGUUGACACGCAGGUCAUAAAUAAAUUAAGACAACUCCUAUGGCUCCUGCCGGUUGUCAUACUCAUCGACAUGCAAGGGUUUCUAGCAAGAACGUUUCUUACCUACGCAAAAACCACAACGUGAUAUGCCAAUUGCUAUUUACCCUUCAUAAGGACCCUUUUCAUCGAAUCCGAUCCGACUAAAGUGGGAGAGACAGACACCCGCUAGCCACCUUAUGCAACUAGUGCAUGUCAGUCGGUGGAACCAGUCUCACGUAAGAGUAUGUGUAAGGUCGGUCCGGACCGCUUCAUCCCACAAUGCCACCGAAUCAACAUUGGACUAGUAACGGCAAGCAUAUUGAACAAAAUCAACGCCCACAACUACUUUGUGUUCUACUCGUGCAUAGAAACUACGCAUAGACCUAGCUCAUGAUGCCACUGUUGGGGAACGUAGCAUAAAUUCAAAAUUUUCCUACGUGUCACCAAGAUCUAUCUAUGGAGUCAUCUAGCAACGAGGGAGGAGUGAAUCUACAUACCCUUGUAGAUCGCGCGCGGAAGCAUUCAAGAGAACGGGGUUGAUGGAGUCGUACUCGUCGUGAUCCAAAUCACCGAUGAUCCUAGCGCCGAACGGACGGCACCUCCGCGUUCAACACACGUACGGAGCAGCAACGUCUCCUCCUUCUUGAUCCAGCAAGGGGGGAGGAGAGGUUGAUGGAGAUCCAGCAGCACGACGGCGUGGUGGAAGUAGCGGGAUUCCAACAGGGCUUCGCCAAGCGCUGCGGGAGGAGGGAGAUGUGUCAUGGGAGGGAGAGGGAGGCGCCAGGCCUUAGGUUAGGUUGCCCUCCCUUCCCCCCACUAUAUAUAGGGCCAAGGGAGAGGGGGAGGGCGCAGCCUUGCCCCUUCCUCCAAGGAAGGGUGCGGCCAAGGGGGGGAGGAGUCCAUCCUCCCCAAGGCACCUCGGAGGUGCCUUCCCCCUUUAGGACUCUCCCUUUUUCCUCUACUCUUGGCGCAUGGGCCUCUUGGGGCUGGUGCCCUUGGCCCAUAUAGGCCAAGGCGCACCCCCUACAGCCCAUGUGGCCCCCCGGGGCAGGUAGUCCCACCCGGUGGACCCCCGGGACCCUUCCGGUGGUCCCGGUACAAUAUCGGUGACCCCGAAACUUGUCCCGAUGGCCGAAAUAGCACUUCCUAUAUAUAAUUCUUUACCUCCGGACCAUUCCGGAACUCCUCGUGAUGUCCGGGAUCUCAUCCGGGACUCUGAACAACUUUCGGGUUACCGCAUACUAAUAUCUCUAUAACCCUAGCGUCACCGAACCUUAAGUGUGUAGACCCUGCGGGUUCGGGAGACAUGCAGACAUGACCGAGAUGACUCUCCGGUCAAUAACCAACAGCGGGAUCUGGAUACCCAUGUUGGCUCCCACAUGUUCCACGAUGAUCUCAUCGGAUGAACCACGAUGUCAAGGACUUAAUCAAUCCCGUAUACAAUUCCCUUUGUCUAGCGGUAUGAUACUUGCCCGAGAUUCGAUCAUCGGUAUCCCGAUACCUUGUUCAAUCUCGUUACCGGCAAGUCUCUUUACUCGUUUCGUAACACAUCAUCCCGUGAUCAACUCCUUGAUCACAUUGUGCACAUUAUGAUGAUGUCCUACCGAGUGGGCCCAGAGAUACCUCUCCGUUUACACGGAGUGACAAAUCCCAGUCUCGAUUCGUGCCAACCCAACAGACACUUUCGGAGAUACCUGUAGUGUACCUUUAUAGCCACCCAGUUACGUUGUGACGUUUGGCACACCCAAAGCACUCCUACGGUAUACGGGAGUUGCACAAUCUCAUGGUCUAAGGAAAUGAUACUUGACAUUAGAAAAGCUUUAGCAUACGAACUACAUGAUCUUGUGCUAGGCUUAGGAUUGGGUCUUUGUCCAUCACAUCAUUCUCCUAAUGAUGUGAUCCCGUUAUCAAUGACAUCCAAUGUCCAUGGUCAGGAAACCGUAACCAUCUAUUGAUCAACGAGCUAGUCAACUAGAGGCUUACUAGGGACAUGGUGUUGUCUAUGUAUCCACACAUGUAUCUGAGUUUCCUAUCAAUACAAUUCUAGCAUGGAUAAUAAACGAUUAUCAUGAACAAGGAAAUAUAAUAAUAACUAAUUUAUUAUUGCCUCUAGGGCAUAUUUCCAACAGGCCUCUCCUCCUCCCUCGCACGGCACGGCCCCGUCGCCAUCGACGCCUGUAGUCCAGGCCCUUAUGCCCGCGGGCGCCCAGCACGCGCCUCCCCCUUUGCGCCCGCGCGCGCCCAGCACGCGCCUCCCCCUUUGUGCCCGCCGCCUACGCCGGCUCUCGCCGUUGCUAGCGCCGCUCGCCGUCCGCCUCUGCUAGUCCCUGCGGCCGUCACCGCGCCUGCCACCGCGCCCGCCCCCUGCAGCGCCAGCCGGUCGCGCUGCAUCGCGCGCCCGUUCAUGCUCGUGCCAUGCUCCUCUGCCUGCGCGCUCGGUUGCUGCGUGCUGCCAUUGCUGCUGCAGAGCCCACCCGCUCGUCCCUCCGUUGCCGGCGCGGAAAUUCCGACAAGAUCCCAUGCCAUCGCCGUCGUACCUGUGGAUGCCGGCACGUAGCGCUUCGAACCGGCCUCUGUGCCGCUGGCUAGCAGGCCCUGGUCAUUAGAUUAGGGCGCUAACCCACUAAUUACCACUAACAUGAACACUUAGUGGCACUAACAGAUGGGCCUAGGGUCUUUAAACACUAACAAAAGGAAUACCCUAAACGGUCACUGACAGUGGGGCCCCACCCCCUGAGAAUGUUAAAAUAAUAAUAAUAAUAAUAAUAAUAAUAAUGAAGAUUUAAAAUAAAGAUAAUAAUUAAAUUAAUUAAUUAGUCAAAUGAAUUAAUUAACUUAAUUAAUCAUGUUAAUUAAACUGAGACAAUGACAAAUGGGCCCCGUGUGCCAGGGUUGACCUAGUCAACUUGCUGACAUCAUGCUGAUGUCACGCAGACACAAUAAUUGCAUUUUCUAAUUAAUUUAAAUCUUUUAAUUCCAAAAUUGAUUUUAAUCCUUUUAAAAUUAAUAUAAAAUAAACCAUAGCUCAGAUGGAAAAACUUUGUACAUGAAAGUUGCUCAGAACGACGAGACGAACCCGGAUACGCAGCCGGUUCAUCCGCCACGCAUCCCUAGCAUAGCAAACACGCAACUUCCCCCUUCGGUUCAUUUGUCCGAAAACGCAAAACACCGGGAAUACUUUCCGGAUGUUUUCCCCCUUCACCGGUACCACCUCGUACCGCGUUAGGGCACACCUAGCAUCACGCUUUGUCAUGUCAUGCAUCGUCAUGCAUUUGUUUGCAUUAUAUUUAUUGUUUCUUCCCCCUCUUCUCUCGCUAGACACCGAGACCGACGCCGCUGCUACCCAGUACGAUUACGGUGUUGACGACCCCUCUCUCUUGCCAGAGCAACCAGGCAAGCCCCCCCCCCUUGAUCACCAGAUAUCGCCUACUCUACUCUCUAUACUGCUUGCAUUAGAGUAGUGUAGCAUGUUACUGCUUCCAGUUAAUCCUAUCCUGAUGCAUAGCCUGUCCUUGCUACUACUGUUGUUACCUUUACCUGCAAUCCUAAUGCUUAGUAUAGGAUGCUAGUUUACCAUCGGUGGCCCUACAUUCUUGUCUGUCUGCCAUGCUAUACUAUCAGGCCGUGAUCACUUGGGAGGUGGUCACGGGUAUAUACUUAUACAUAAUAUAUUAUACUUGUGGUGAUUAAAGUCGGGUCGGCUCGUAGGAGUACCCGCGAGUGAUUCCGAUGUUGGGGGCUGAAGGGGCAGGUGGCUCCAUCCCGGUAGAGGUGGGCCUGAUUUCCCGCAGGCCCCCGACUAUUACUUUGUGGCGGAGCGACAGGGCAGGUUGAGACCACCUAGGAGAGAGGUGGGCCUGGCCCUGGUCGGCGUCCGUGGUUAUUUCAGAAUAACACGCUUAACGAGAUCUUGGUAUUUGAUCUGAGUCUGUCUACUGGCCUAUACGCACUAACCAUCUACGCGGGGACAGUUAUGGGCACUCGACAUCGUGGUAUCAGCCGAAGCUUCGUGACGUCAGCGACUGAGCGGCGCGCGCAGGGUUGGACCGCGUAACGUAACUUCCUUUGUAAUGGAGGUUGCUAGGUCUGCUCUCCGGCCGCGUAUGCAACGUGCAGGUGUGCAAUGGGCGAUGGGCCCAGACCCCUGCGCCAUAGGAUUUAGACCGGCGUGCUGACCUCUCUGUUGUGCCUAGGUAGGGCUGCGACGUGUUGAUCUUCCGAGGUCGGGCAUGACCCAGGAAAGUGUGUCCGGCCAAAUGGGAUCGAGCGUGUUGGGUUAUAUGGUGCACCCCUGCAGGGAAGUUGAUCUAUUCGAAUAGUUGUGUCCUUCGGUAAAAGGACGACCCGGAGUUGUACCUUGACCUUAUGACAACUAGAACCGGAUACUUAAUAAAACACACCCUUCCAAGUGCCAGAUACAACCGGUGAUCGCUCUCUCACAGGGCGACGAGGGGAGGAUCAUCGGUUAGGAUUAUACUAUGCGAUGUUACUUGGUGAACUUACCAUCUACUCUCUUCUCCCGCUGCAAGAUGGAGGUUACGAGAAGUGUAGUAUUUGAAAGGACUAGCUAUCCCCCUCUUAUUCCGGCAUUCUGCAGUUCAGUCCACAUAUGAUAGCCUUAUUCCAGUUGAUACCAAUGCAUACAUAUGUAGUGUAGCUCCUUGCUUGCGAGUACUUUGGAUGAGUACUCACGGUUGCUUUGCUCCCUCCUUUCUCCCUUUCUAUACCUAAUUGCUGCGACCAGGCGUUGGAGUCCAGGAGCCAGACGCCACCGUUGAUGACGACUACUACUACUCGGGAGGUGCCUACUACUACGUGCAGCCCGCUGACGACGACCAGGAGUAGUUUAGGAGGAUCCCAGGCAGGAGGCAUGCGCCUCUUUCGAUCUGUAUCCCAGUUUGUGCUAGCCUUCUUAAAGCAAACUUGUUUAACUUAUGUCUGUACUCAAAUAUUGUUGCUUCCGCUGACUCGUCUAUGAUCGAGCUCUUGUAUUCGAGCCCUCGAGACCCCUGGCUUGUAAUAUGAUGUUUGUAUGACUUUUUUUAUUUGUAGAGUUGUGUUGUGAUAUCUUCCCGUGAGUCCUUGAUCUUGAUCGUACACGUUUGCAUGUAUGAUUAGUGUACGAUUGAAUCGGGGGCGUCACAGUUCCAAUCUCGAUUUGUUCUUGUCCGGUACCCUGCUCAGACCUGGUCGAAAGAUCAAAUGUGAGAGAUCAUAACUUGUUGUUUCAUCUUGCACAAUAUGAUCAUUGAGAGCGAACAGGAAGAGCUAGUGUUUAACACUGAACCAUACUACAGGCUGGGUCCUCCUGCCGAAGUUGAUCACCAGCUACCGGCAACCUGGACUGCCUACCUCAAUAUGCGUCAGGAGAUCCGAGACCCACAGGUGCAUCAACAACUGGAGUAGGAUCUGGUGGAGCAUCUAUGGAGGCUCAAGGGCGAUGCCUAGCUCGACGUGUGAUGAAAUAUGAGUUUUUAUUUGUUGAACUAUAUAAUCUGUAUUGAACUAUUUGAUUUCUAUUGAUUUUCUAUGAGAAACUAUGUGAUAAAAAAUUACUUACGUUGAGAAUUCACGCCGAACCACAUCGAAUAUGGGCCGAUUCGUGCCGAUAUCAGGCCAUUUUUUGCCAAAAGGCGGCCACAUUUACACCAAAAAUGGGCCGAUAUUGGCGCCUGGGGGCGGCGGUUGGGUGCCCAACCACCCCAGCGCUGAUUAUACCGCCGGCUCGCCCCCAGGCGGCGAUUUUUAUGCCUCCUGGGGGGGGGGCAACGGCUGAAGAUGCUCUUAGCUGGCCACUUUUUUAGAAAUAACUUGUUACUAGAGAUAAGAAUAAGACAGAAUCCAUUGUACAUCAUAUUUUUCUGUCAUCUCUAGAUUACGUGGCUGGAUUAAGAUAGAAGUGUCUUAUCAACCAUUGUACAUGCCCACCAAAGACAAUAAACAGAAAGCCCAUGUCGGAGUCAUUUUGAUGCAAUGUGUAUAAAAGCUAUUCAAGGAUAAAUAACAAUGUAAACGUCGAACAUAACCCAUGAGUGUGGAGAACCCUAGUACUUUGGGGCCUAACCCAUGUGUGUGGGCAGGGCAGGGCCCCAAAAAUCAAGGGGCCCCCAAACGUUGCCUCUGUGUGUCACCUGAAGGCUGCUGAAGCACUCAUUUUCAUCUUCUUGGGCCUGGUCCGCUCGAGGCCUCAAGCCAUACCCUGCGUGGAUCGAUCUGAGCGAUCAUAUCAUAAACGAAACGGCAGCCAGCGCAGUACGUGUACGUACGUUCCGUGACUUCCGCUGUUCCCUAUUCCGUAAUGGCUUCGCUUUCCAUCUCAUCCCUGCGAUCGAUCUUUUUGCUUCAGCGGCUCGACGGCGAUCGCUUUGCAGCCAGCAGAUGGGCGGAAGCAAAACUGCACUGGACUUGCCAGCGUCGGCCGCCGCCGCGCCGGCCGACACUGAUGCGGUGCCGCCGAACAGAAGACCAAGCAGUGCCCUAAGCUCCUCCUGUUCUUUUCAUCUAAUUUUGAUACAAACUGCAAAGUUUUAUUAAGAUUACACUAAAUAUGUUUUGGAACAAUUUUUGUCUAGUUGUUGAAGUGCAGAAAUUGUCAUAGUAGAUUCAAGAUUUUCAACGGUUGCUCGUCCCGUGGUCCAUGUCCAAAAUCAAGGUUCUAUCUGAUUCUUAUUAUUCAAGUCACAAGCCUAUAAUUCAUGUGCGUUCAUCAGUAUGCUUUAUUUUUUUUGUUCGUAAACAGAAACAAUCAUGCCUUCUAGUUCUAGAAGAAAGUAUGAUUUUGUGCCUUAAAGCGUAAGAAGAAACAGUUGUGAAAAUUUGCAUUGCUACUUGAGAAUUUUUCAAAAAUUGUACUAAAUAACAUAAGUUUAAAUUGUAUAAUUAAGUGCUUAUCUUGAGUUAUAUUAUAUGAUUUCUUUCAAAUGUUAGGGCCUCAUUUUACUUUUCGCACCGGGGCCCCAAAUUUCUGAAAACGGCCCUGUGUGGGGGGAACCCUACUACCCUAGUACUUUGGGAUAAGUAGAUCGAAUACGGUACCAAAAUCUAGAUUGGUUAAGAGCGCACAAAAGCCUGUUCUAGAAAGCAGGAUGACAGCAUUAUUCAUAUGAACAAAUACAUAGAAUGCAGGUGAAAGGGGGCAAAUUGUAAGGCGGUUCUAUAGAAACCAAGACAUGAUCCGAAUGUGAACAAAGUUCAACAGGGGGGUGAUCUCACAAGCCAUUGAACACUGUUAUUUUAUUGCUGAUUAGUGAGUGGUUGGCGAAGAAAAGUCAGAACUAGUGCACACACAAAAAAAGGCACAUCUCAGAACUGUAAUUCACGUGCCAACUCGGAAACUAUCUUUCCCGUGAUGCAGAGGCAAAUCCACUAAAGUAUCAUCAGUGGCAACAAUUCAGCAAGCAGCAACUCAUAGCAAUGCAGCAUAAACAACAUUUAUGCAUAGCAGGCAUGCUGGUCCUCUACUGAACCACCCAGUCUGAAGAUUGGUCCUCUACUGAGCAUUAGCAUUGUAACAUCUUAGGUUUCCCCCUGUUUUUCAGACGGCAGGACGAGUUCCUUGCCUGGCACAAUUCAUAUCAUACAGUUAUAGGUAUUACUGAACUCAGGGACGGCAACCUGAAGAAAUACAUACCGAUUUGAAGGGCAUAAAUGCAGCUGCUCCAGCUGACAUUUAUUUACCACAUCAAAGGUGUGAUCAGCUUCCGGUACACCACCAAAUUUAGCUUUCAAAACAGCGGUUGCAGACAGAACGGAAACAUUUAUUUGUUAUUCAAGAGACCCUACUUCUCAAUAAUUGAUGAGGGAUUACAGCUUACUCCUGAUAGAGGCUCCCAUCCAAUGUGAUCAAUGGAGGUGAAAUGAACUGCGAACGGAGCUUACCAACAACACUAGGAACAUAUGCCAUCUACAUAUCAAGUUAUUAGAAUGCAGAAAAUGUCUAGGAAAAAAGAACUUUACAGCUUGCACAUGAAAUGGUCUUGGAAGAAUCCACUAAAAGAAAUCAAAUUCAAGAUAAUUGUCUGGACCUUUCUCGGCUGACGGUGUUGCCUUCUGACUUGUCGAGGCUCCUGGCCGAGGGAUUUCAACUGGCUUGGGGAUAUCUGGAGGAGUAGCGCACCUUAUCAAUGCCCAGUUAACACCUUCAAAGAAUGGGUGCUGCUUUAUUUCUGUGGCUCCACGUUUGUACGCCAAUCGAUGCUGUGGCUCCUUGAUCAGCAACCCCCUUAUGAGAUCCCUUGCAGCAAAACCCACAACAGGUGAUUCUGGGAACCUGAGGGGCUGGCCAACAACAUUGAAUAGCGUUGCCCUGUUCCCUGAACCUUUGAAUGGAGUCUUGCCGAAAAGAAGUUCAUACAAGAAUAUGCCAAAAGUCCACCAGUCCACAGCACUCCCAUGCCCCUCACCCUUUAUGAUCUCAGGUGCCAAGUAUUCAUGAGUGCCAACGAAUGACAUAGACCUUGCAUCUGUGGGCUCUGCAACAAGCUCAGGGAGCGGUCUGACCUGGGUUGCCAUGUCUGCCUUUGCCUUCUUUUCCUUCUUCUCCCUCUUGGACUUGGAGGAGAAAAAGCGAGGAGAGAAGCAUGUGGUUGUCGUAACGCAAGCAGGCUGGAUACAGGCUGGCUCAAUGCACACCGGUUGUACACAAUAAGCUUGAUUGCCCUUUUGGUUAGGAUCUACACCAGGGUUGGAAGAUUUAAGAAGUGUAGGGCUCACAUCACAACGAAGGGACAAAUCAAAAUCUGACAGCAUGAUGUGGCCAUCUUCUCUCACAAGAACAUUCUCUGGCUUGAGGUCCCGAUAUAUGAUACCGAGCAUGUGCAGGUAUUCUAGAGCAAGAAGCACCUCUGCUACAUAAAACCUGUACAAAUAUUUUAAAGAUAAACAUGAGUUUGUACACUUAACACUGUUUGUUAGUACCUAAAACCAUCACAUGAUAAAGAAUGUUAUGUAAUUGCUGAACAUGUAGCGCGCCAAGCCUGUGCGCCAGGAAAUGUACCAUAGGCACAAGGUUGAGCUAGAGAUCAGGGUGCAAGUGGGACGGGUUGCGGGCAGCCCGCAUCCCGCGCUCUAACCCGCGAGCGCCCACACGGGAGACACGGGUCGUCGUAUGCGGGAUAGGCAGGCCGCCGUGGCGCCGCCAGCCCGCCAUCUAUACGCACGUACGCAUGUGUGCGCACUGAUAUGCAUGUAGUAUCAAAGUUUCUCACCGACUGAUACGAGCUGAUAUUUCUAUCUUCCGACUGCACGUAUUGCACGAGGAGGUCCUUCAGGUCAAGGCCAACGUUCAACGGGAAUAGCCAGCUCGACUGCGGUCACGGGAAUAAUGACGCAUGCGUAUAAAUAUACAUGGACACGGGCAAAUUGCAGGCACCGCCAGGACAUACGCAUAAACCCGCUUGACUUUUGCGUACAGCCGCGGGAGCCCACUUAUGAUGUGUUUAGCGGGGCUGCGUCGCGGGAUUGGCGGGCAGCCCGCGCCGCUUGCACCCUUAGCUAGAGAUAUGCCUUUUAUCUCUACUUUAGUUGCCACCUUUCAAUUAGCGAUUCGGUUGGUUAGUUCCAUAUUGUUUGUAUUUUUUGGGAUCUUUGAUCAGCUUCUCCCUAUAUCUAAUGGACUUGCCCAUGAGGAAUAGAUCAACCAAUCAAGAGCACUACAAUGAAUCAUCCCGGUCUUAAUCUCUCCUAUCCCUAGAAGCCACACUGUCCCUAACCUACUGGAAGUAGUUAAUCCGGCAUGAAAACAAGGCAACAUAUGUUAAGUAUCAAGAAUAGCACGAAAUGCGACAUAACUGUUUUCGUAAACAAAUGAUCGGAUAAAAUAAAUCCAGCUAUAUCAAGAAAAAUUAGGAGAUAAACUAUCAAAAGAGUCAUUUCAAGAAAGAGAAACAAGUUCCUUUUAAACCAUCCAUCUGUCUAACAGCAGAUAAUAGUGAAAAAUAGAGAGGAAAUGCAUUAAUCAUAAGAAACUCAACACUAACCACAAACAAUAUUAAUAAAAACCGCUGCAUACAGAAGUGGGGGAAAGGGAAACUCGCAGAAGACAUGAGUACAUGUGCAGUUGUAGUUCAAAAAGUGUUGAAAGUACACUACAUAGUACUCCCUCCGUCCCAUAAUGUAAGACGUUUUUUGACACUACAUUAGAGUCGAAAAACGUCUUACAUUAUGGGACAGAGGGAGUACAUCUCAGACAUAAUAAGGAACAACAACAAGAAAGCAUGAUGUCAAUAGGGCAGAAGGACAGAUUGUAACUUUGCAUAAAUCCUAAAAUACAAUUAAGAUUUGUAAUUGAGCAUGCAAUGUUGCCCUAGACCCUAGUUAGUACCUUGAAAGAUGAAUAGUGUAACUGAAUUAGGCAUCAGAUACACAUAUACAUAAGUGAAGAACGUACAAAACACAAUGGGUAUUACUACGCUGCAACAUUUUAUGUGGGUACAGAAAGUAACUCCCCAAACAGUAGGAAAAAUGAACACAAACAAUAUAAAAUACUGUAUAGAAAAAUAAAAAUGUUACAGACAUGCUGAAGGUAUUUUUUUCAUAUGCCUUUAUUCAGACAGUUGAUACGGCUUAACCAUUUAAAAUAUGCAGUUAUGUCCACUCCAAAGCAAGCUUCAUUAAAAUAGACUGAUAAAAGAAACAAAAAGUAUAUUCCACAGUACAGAAAACACUAGUCUCUCAUGAACAACGCACCCAACUGAAGAACGUUUCACUUAAGACUUCAAGUACAUUGCCAUAAAAAAAGUAAAUCUAUAUCACAUUACCUUAUCACAUUAUAUGUACCUCAAGGCCUAUGUUACCACAUACUCCCUCAGUUCCUGAGAACAAGGCAUACAUACUUUUUGCCAAAAAAUUCCUAGCCUAUAAUACCCUCGUUUAAUCACUACUUUUGCUGAACGGAUCACUUAGAUCACGGCUACAUUAAUUGCAUGCAGUUACAGCUCCUUUCAAGAUUGGCUCCACUAUUACCUCGCUCCUCGCGUCCAAAGAAUCGUUCCCGAACCCACAAGAGAGUAAUUUUCCAGGGGUAAGUUGGGAAGCUAAUUUUGACUGUGGGCUCUCCUUGGGGUGGGCGCUGAGAAAUUUACGCCCAACUCAUAGGAACGUAGGGAGUAUUGGACAUGGAUGUGUGGUCGGAUUAUUUAUAUAGAUUAGGGAUUCCAAAUCAAUGAUAGAGGUAGCUACAAAGCAUUUAUUUUAGCAUUACAACUUGUAGUGUUCGAGAGCAAAUAUACCCAGUUCAGAAGACAAAAGCCUAGUGUUAAUCAUAGUUUGGUUGACUACUCAGAUAAUGCAAGCACGGGAUAGGAGCUGAUAAAGGAGAAAUCACUACACAGUAAUCAAUGUUGUAUUUAACAGGUAAGAUCCCAGGAGUCUAAGUACCUCAAGUAAAAGAAGUGGCAUUUACAGAAGCUCGUCCAUUAGAGGCGCUCCAGAUAAUUUGGAGCAUUACUGCCACUUCUAGUGCUAACAAGCCUACUACCAACGACAAAUAAUACGUGCCUACAGAUUUUGUGAUCCCUAAGAUUUUAGAUAUAUGAAAUCGCUCUGAAAAUUAUGUUCUUCUAAAUCCAAAAUGAACCCAGCAACAGCAGCAAUUAAAAUUUCCAACAUUGCUUGCUAACAGUAAUAGAUAAGUUCCCUAGUUAAAGAAAAAUAUAGUUGUUAACCAUAGAGGCCAAAAAAAACACAAUACUGUUAAACCUAAUAAAAUACAAGAGGACCAUACAUUCCAUGAAAUUGAAAUCAACAAUUGAACAAUAAGAUAAAAGAUAUAAUUUGUCACCACAUCUUGAAAGUUGAAAGAUCUUCAAUUUAUUGUACUGACCCAGUUGUAUUAGUAGACAACUAGAUGAUUUAUAAGAACGGAUAAGGAUUGGUUGAUAAUGAGUGUGAUAACAUUUGCAUAUCUAUCAGUACAAUAAGUAAAUAAAUAAAUAAAGAGAGAGAAGACUCUUACUUGGCAGCUUGUUCGGGGAAAUACUUCCCAGGCUGUUUCUGCCUUAGGGUAUGCAGGUCCCCUCCAGGGCAAAACUCCAUCACCAAGCAUGAGAAUUUAUCAGUCUCAAAGUGGGUGUACAAAGUCGGAAGGAAAGGAUGGUCCAAGCACUGCAAUAUCUCCCUUUCAGUCUGGGCUCUCAGAAGCUUUUUGCGGCCAGCUAGAGACGCCUUGUCCAUGAUCUUCAUAGCAAAGUAGCAUUUCGUGCCACUAAGCUCUGACAAGUAAACACUGCCAAUGUCACCACAGCCAAGCCUCUUAAGCAGCCUGAAGUGACUCAAUCCUAGCGAACCUUCUUUGGUUCGGAUCACCUGAAUCGCCUCCCACCUUGAAUCAUUGGACUUGUGAGGCUUGCUAGCGCUGCUGCAUAUACUGCUACAGGUGCUAUCAUCACUGACAUCGCUGCCAGCGCUGGCCCGGUAAACGCUGCUCUUCCCGCUCUGGACCAAAUCGGCGUGGCCGCUGACCUUGGUGCUGCCGCUCGCCUUUGUCAGGCUGCUUGCACCGUCGCUGUACUUGGCAGAAACGGAGCUAUCCUUGACGCUCCCUCGCAGCGAGCUCUUCUCCGCAUCUUCGUCUUCGUCCAGUUUCACAGAGCCGUCAACAGAACUGCAGUCUUUAUCUUGUUCUUUCACUCCACUGGACGUGGCCACAUCACCUGGGGGAACUGCUCUCGGUGAGGCAGGCCCCGAUUUGCCUGCUCCCCCAAUUAGCUCCUCGGACUGCCUCCGAGAAGGCGCCGCCUCGGACGACUCGGCGGCGCUUUUACUGCAUUGCUUGUCAUCGACUAUCUCAGCAACGGCCUUGGACGCCAUCGCAACAGGGAGCCGACCAAGAAGCCCCUAACGGCGCCGCCAUGACCCUCCUCCCAUCGCCGCGGCGGUCGACCGAUCAAUCAGCGGCCGGAGCGGUGAAAUCGAGACCUAUCAUCACAAGGGUUCGCCCCGAAUUAGAUUCAGCGAAAGCGAUGCGGGUCAGCCGCCUAGCGAAACCGACGACGAAUCGGGAACCAAUAAUUGCCGAAUUAUUAGCCGGAUGGAUCUGGCCGAGAUCGAGAGGAUCCCCUCCUCGCGGGGGGGAGUCGGGCGGGGGGUGGGAGUGGGGAGGGUGGAGUCUGCUUACUGGUCAGCCGUCGCGCCGUGGGAGCUCGCCGCCAGCGGGGCUGGGGAGGGGAUCGAGGGGGGGGCGCUUCCUUCGGCUUCGGGGGAGGUGGCUGGCAGCGGAGGGGGGAGGACUGUGUGCCUGGCCCACUUGCCGGGCUUGAGUGAAAGUGAAGACUUUCCCCCUUCCGUUUACUGGAUCUGUGACACUUUUCAUCGUAAAAUAUUUAUACACUUCCUUGCCGCAUAAAUAUUUUUUCACUCUUUCGGAGAUGCUCACACAGACACACAUACCCAUUAUAAAAACACAUACGCGCACCAUAUCUUCGUGAGCAUCUCAAGAUACUGACCCGGCAUAUCAUGUUAAAAGUUAACAAAGUCAUAAUAUAGUCGAUGGGAAUGUCUCCUCCCAUCAAACGAAUAUCGCCGACGAAAGGACAUUUCCCUCUCUAAGUGAUUUUGAAGUAGAUGACAACGCAAUUUGUGGUCUAAUCGUGUGCUUGAGCAACACAGGUAUAUUUGAAAGUGGCGCAAGACAGUUAGAUACCCCUCUAAAAGGAAAAGAGCAAAGACAGUGUUUCGACAAUUUCAUUUCACCAAGACAACACCAACAUUAGAACGAGCGCAGCAGUCAACACUACCGCAAAGAGCCACCCCCUCCCUGAGUCGAAUCUUACUCCAAGACAAUGACUUCAAGAGGGAGCGCGACAUUGAGUGUCAUCCUAAAAGACUUAAAUCAAGGGUUUGCGUUGAAGCAAAAUGGGAGGGGCAACAAAAAUAGACCUCCAUAAUGCAUUUAGGAAGGCAGCGACACCCAAGGGCGUCACAGUCACUAACAUCGACCAAAGUCGAGCCAGACUUCAGCCGACAGCCUCACCAUCCCACACCCAAGACCGACUGAUCCACCUAAAGCACCCGUAAAUUGACCACCCGUCAUCUACAGACCUAACAAGCCCAAUCUAAAGGCAGAGGAGCCACGGCAGAUCGGCCACCACCAAUCCGGGUCAGAUAAGCCACCACCGAUACAGGGCUAAGUCAGGGCGUGAGGAGGGCCGGAGGCUAGCAACAAUAACUCCCAAGGAGUCGCGUUGCGCCACCUCGCACAAAUUCGUCGUCGUCGAGGGUCGAAGCCGAACCAAACAGAAGAGGGAGAGCAAGGUGACCGCAUGACAACACCCACGGUGCAAGGCGCGUCGGCGUUGCCGACGAAGUCCUCACCACCGAGUAGCACAUCUCAGGAAGGUGACCAAUGACGAGAGCUCGAGUUGUUCAAAUCUUCAAGAAAAAGCUUGAUGGGCACCGCCAUCGCUGUCCUUCGUACUAGAUUUGCUCGGUUGUGUCACUCGAUGGUAACAAGGAAGGAAGGAGGGACAACGUGGCUAAGGGUUUGCUACCAGAGCCGCCGUGGAGGCGACGCGGGAGUUGAAGUGGAAAGUAUGGAGUUAUGCAUGUAAGGUUAUGAUCUAUACGUAUCUAUACAUGUCUUUUUCAAUCGGACAUGGAGUAUUUGCUCUCGAGCUCAAAUGCUCCCUGGAGAACAGUAAAAUAUAAAAAAAUCAAAAAAAAUUUAUGGUAAACUUUGACAAAUGUUUUGUAUGCUUGCAAGUUUCAGCACGAAAUGAUAUUCGCGGAAGUCAUCGCAAAAAAGCAAAAUCGAUGUUCCAAAAAUGCUAGUUUUGAAAACAUUUUACAGUGCUGAUUUUGUUUUGUUUGUCACGCGUUACACGAAUGUCAUUUCGUGCUGAAAUUUUGUAAGAAUACAAAACACUUGUCAAAGUUACCACAAAAAAUUAGAAUUUUUAAAAAGUUAAAUAUAUUUUUUAUUUUACUGUUCAUCAAGGAGCAUUUGAGCUCGGGUGCAGAAUAGGACUUCCGUUUUCAAUUCCAAGAUUCUAGCGCGGGAGGGUGGCGCGAUCUCAGUAUAGACUAUGGUAAUAAUUAUGUUAGAUUAUGUACUAUCAAAAGUUGCUCGAUGUGUUUUUUGUGGUAGUAAAGUUACUCAAAGCUAUAAACAUUAUACUUAACAUCAUCUUAUGCGAGGAAGAUAUCAAAGUAGUUAGCUAGGAAACAUCCACGGCGGAGAAAGAUGGGUGAUAAAACAUAUUGUUACGCAAGUGGUAUAUUUAUUAAAUUAAUUAUUUUGUCACGGGUGCAGCAACAGCGCAUCACAAUCAACCAUGACUUGCAACUUACAAGGUCACAAGUUGCAUGCUUAGGCUCCCGAAUUAUUUGUACCAGCAUUCAUUCAACAGUGUUUGCUGCAUGCCCAAGCAGCCGCCCUCUUGAAUUAAUGGUCAUCCAUUCACACGUUGAAAGCAAUGUAUAUCCUACUCCCUGUGCACUCAGAAAGUAAGCAUUGGCAAGCCCCCUUAAAGAACAAACCUUACACGGUUGUUGAGCUCUUUAUAUUGGAUAUGAAUCCCUUGUAGUACUCAUGGACAAAUGCAAUGGAAGCAACGUGUACCAUUUAUUAGGAUCACCCUUGCACAUCUAAAUAUCUCAACUGUCAAAUCAGCAUCCAAAAUGUUGAACGAAAAAUAACAUAGGUCAGGUCAAUGGACGUGACUAAGAUUUUAGUGGGAGGUUAUGUUCCAACCGAUAACGAGUUGUAUGUGAUGAUUUCAUCGAUCUUGAAAUUUCACAUAUAGUACACUUAUUACGUGUGUCCUUUAAAAAAAGAAAACUCCAGUCUUCAACAUAACAAUACAUAAGAUCAGGUGCUGGGAAGAAAGAGUUAUGCCAUGAUGAGAUCCUAACCUGUGGAGUUUUAGCAAUGUGGGGAAGAUCUGUAACUACUCCCGGUUGAAAAGUGGGCUCUUUUCGUCUUUGAUUCACUAGGUUGCACGUAUAAUAUUGGAAAUUUUUAAGUAAGGUUUUUUCUUAAUCCCUGAACUUGUAAGGAUAGUUUGAUUCAGUCGCUGUCCUUUUUAUAUUCAAUUAUACUUAAUUUAUUGUAGUUAAAUGGAAGCAACUCAUUAAGCACUUCCGAGCAUAUAGAGAAAAAAAUAAACAUAUAGUUUGAUCAUUCUAGAAAUUAGUCAAGCACUGGGCCCCUCCUAAUCAAAGAUCAUACAUACAUAUAGAUGCCAAACAAGAACCUUGUUGGAUUUAGAAGGAGUAUUAGCAUAGAAUGGGAAGGAUGUGAAAUCGGUACUCAGCUCACACAUGAGGAAAAGAAGCAGUGAAGAUAAAACUUCAACGUAACACAAUAGUAUCAGCUCCGACACAGGAGCUCUAAGAAAAUAAACCUUGAUUCUAUGUGCUUUGGAUCCAACUACUCGUCAUGGCCUUUGUGAAGAGUAGAUUUUCUCUGUUGGUAGAGUUGCACUUCUCCUAGCACCCAUCACUGACCAUGUAGCAUCACCACCUCUGUUGGAUUUAGAAGGAGUAUUAGCAUAGAAUGGGAAGGAUGUGAAAUCGGUACUCAGCUCACACAUGAGGAAAAGAAGCAGUGAAGAUAAAACUUCAACGUAACACAAUAGUAUCAGCUCCGACACAGGAGCUCCAAGAAAAUAAACCUUGAUUCUCUGUGCUUUGGAUCCAACUACCCGUCAUGGCCUUUGUGAAGAGUAGAUUUUCUCUGUUGGUAGAGUUGCACUUCUCCUAGCACCCAUCACUGACCAUGUAGCAUCACCACCUCUGAAACCACCAGGAAAUCAAAUCUCAACUCCAGAAGGAUGCUAAGGUACCAAGGAUGCAUGGAAUAAUUAUUAUGAAAAGUUACAUUGUACAUUCCACGGAGAUUUUGCUGUCAAAACCUAUGACACAAAAUUAGUUAUAUGUGCGUGUGUUAGGGUAUGCUUGUAUGGGUCAAGAACUUUGUAUUAUUUUGUGAUUUGAAUACAAGCAUACUUCCCCACAAAGAAAUAGUACCUCACAAACAAAGUAAGAUAAAAAUAAAGUUACUCAGGAAAAGGGCAUCUAACACAAAAUUAGAACCAGGGAAAAAAACUACAAAUCUGUACAUAACCCAAAAGUCACUCAGGAAAAAGGCCAAAGAAAGAUUUCACGUCCACUAUAAGAAAAGACAAAUGAACUAAUUUUUUUUUCUGAAAGUUCAUGUUGUUAUCAAUAAGAAGACCAAAUCAUGUUGUGGGUAACCAAAUUCAACCUCAUGCGUUCGGCACUCAGGAGCUAUGCAUUCCAAAAUUACGUUGAUGUAGCAGAAAUGAAUGUAUUAACAUGGGUUAGUAUGAUAAAUAAGUUGCCUUGCCUAGCAAAUAUAAACUAAGAACAUUACUCAUGUGCUUAGCAUAUAUAUAUUCUUUAAGCUUAACUUCUGAAUGUAUUAAACUUUAACUACCUCUUCACAAAACAAAUACACCGUGUUAAGAAAGUUGUGAAGACCUUGUACCUGCAAGUAUAUUAUCAAAUACUAGAAGAAAUAAUCAAGUUUGUUGGAUAUCCAAAAAGAAAAUGCCAAUCAAUAGAACAGCAAGUUGCUAUGUUAUCAAAAUAACAAGAAUGGGCUUGAAAGUUCAGAGGGGGUGUAAAACAACUUUUUUUCAAUGUUUCAGCAUUGAAACUGGCAAGGAUGAGCUUGCAAGUACAGAGAUGAAAUACUACUCAAAAUUAAAGACGAAUGUCCCUUGCAGAAGGAAUCCACGAUGACUUGAAAAAUGAGGAAUACACACAAAUUUUGUUGUUGAUGGUACCAGCAUGUUCAGAGUUUGUGACAGCGAUGUUGAUGGACUGCACAUUCGACUCCUCAUUGAGAUUUCUACAGCACUGAAUCUGAAUGGUUUGGUCACACAAAAACACAUUUUAGCAACAUAUUUUAGGGGUUGUUUGGAUAGGUGGUACAUAGAAAACGAAUUCUCUAUAAACCAGGAACAGAGGCUAAUAGAAUAAAAUCUCGUUUGGAUGCUCUAACUAAUUUGCGUUUUUGGAAUACUUGGUUUUCGGAAACCUCAAAUCUGCGUUUAUAGAAAAACGACUAUUAGUCGUUUUUGUAAAAGCUUGAUUUGCAUAUACUCCACCGCAACUAAUCGGCGUCCUCCAACCUGCCACGGCAUGGCCGACGCCGCGUCACAUCUCCGCUGCCUGAUAUGAUACUCCUCGCGAUUCGUCCUCCAGCCUCGGCUAUGGCCAUGAACGCAUCGACAUGCCGCUGUGUGGUAGGGAUGCUCCUCGAGUAGUCGUGCUCGUCCUCCGGCCACGACAUGGCCGUCGCUGCGUUUGCGCCCAGGAUUCCGCUAGCUCGCGGCCGGAGCUAGGAUGAUGUAUCGACGCCAUCGGUGAUGUGCGUCACCUGUGGCAUGUCACUGGCUGGUCGGUGUAUAUAGAGACCAAAUACGGGAUGGCGGCCAGGAGCGCCCCGACAGCGACGGCACCCUCGGCGAGCUCCUGAAACCGCAUGGUCAGCAAGGGCGCGCGCGAGCUCAUGCUGGACAAGGACGACUGCACCUCCCUCGAGUCUCUCGACAUGUAUGGGGUACAUGGCACGUAGAACACCGAGACCUGGAGUACUUCAGGCGAGUACCCAACGCCCGCGAUGGUCGUAUACGUACUUGACUAGUAUGAGCAGAAGUGAAGCACGUACUGGCGGCUGCGCGUGGAGUCGUCCAAGGUCAGUCCAAGGGAAGGCGAGUAAUGGCGUUGAGGGACCGAGGACCGAAAACAGAGGAGGAAUGGAUGUUGGAGCUUGCGUACCGUCUCCAAUGGCCAAGUCGAGGAAGCAAGAGAGAAAGAGAAAGUCACGGCAAGAGUAUUUUAUCGAGGGAAGGUCACGGGAGGAGUCAGGACUCAAGAGUAAGCCAAACAUAUUUUUAAAUAAACUGGUUUUACAUAAAAUAAUUUGUAAAACCGAUUUUGCUAAACAUCAGCUAAAAACACGUUCUGUAUAAUCCCAUGGCUAAUCUUUGUUAGCCAAACGACCACUUAGCACAACACUUAAAACUUGUAAAAAGGGUUGUAAGCAUGUCAUUCAAGAACCAAAAAAACAUUGGAAUUGGCAACCUAGAAAUAUGUGUUUAUCAAGAAUAGACUGUUAGAGCAAUUGUGUCUUCUUGAUUACUCAUUUAUAUUUGUAGUGAAAGAAGCUUGCGUGAGUAAACUGUAAAUAAGACAGAACAUUGAAAUUGUUCUUUCGAUCAUUAUACACGACAAACGACAUGAGUGUACUUGUACCAUUCUGAUUCUACCUCUAUUUGAACUUCAUAUGCUGCAAGAAUACGUCAGUUAUUGAAGUAUUGGUUUACCUGAGAACAAGCAGAUUUGUGAUCAUACUGCGGCAUGGCAGAAAUAAAAUUAGUUAAGAACGUCGCAUUGAUUUACCUCGCUGUUGUAACCACAAUCGGAAGCGCCCCCAACCACAUGAAUGCUUUCAAAUUGCAGUUUCUUGCUACCCAGCAGCAUGCCGUCACCCCAAUUCGCCUGAAACAAAAAUUCUGCCUCUUUUUUUGCAGUAAUUCAAAGAGCUUUAUUAAAUCAAGGUGUUCCCAAGACAGUCAGCCAACAGGCUAGUCACUAGGAAGCUAGGUGUCUCAUCGAGCCAGCACUCAGUCACAUUCAGCAUGCAAGCAUGCUUUGCACACAAAUGUGCCGGAACGUUUGCUGAUCGAUUUACAUGAAGUACAUCAAAUAACGAAAAAUCGCUAACUAGCUUUCCAAUUUCUAGUAAGAUAGGGGCCACAAUUGAACGAGAAUUGUGACGAUUACUCCACAAUUGCACCAUCUCUAGGCAAUCCAUCUCCAUGAUGACAUGCGCGAGUCACGCAUUGCCAAAGCUUCCGCGAAGAGUGGGUCAGAAAUACCCACAUGUGGUUUACACCAAGCUCCCAGGAAUGCAGUGCUCGAGCACGCGACACCACCCGCACCACUGCAAUUUUGAGCGAAGUUGAUUGCCCCAUCCGUCGUGAUCUUAACAGUACCCGCAUCCAGAGGCCUCCAUCCAUAACCUGGGAGUAUUUUGGUAUUACUCCGUGGCAAUUCCAGCAAUGCAAGCGACUCCUUGAUGGAGCGCAAGGAAGUAGCAGGAUCCAGGCCCUUUUGGUCAUGUUUUAACCUGUUGCGUGAGUGCCAAAUAGUCGACAUGAUGAUGAUAAUUUUAGCUCGGUCCAUCUCUGCCAUCAUAGGAUCACAUAAAAUGCCCCUCGCCCAAGAGCUAGAGUGUAGUCUGGGCAAUCGUAUAUCAAACCAAGCAUAUGCUUCUUCCCAAAAACUCUGCCUCUCAAAAGUGUAACCAGAGAUCACACAACUGAAAAUACACACACACACACACACACAACAUCCUAGAAUCACCAGCAAGCACAUGGAUCCAACCCAGGGGAUGGGGUGGAAAAGGACCUCGAGCGGGGAUGCCACCAGGGACGAACGUGUUAGAAACGAACUAGAGGAGCGCAUAAGGGAGGUUUCGGAUGCGGCAUGCACCCUGAGAAGCAGCGGCGACGGCUCCCCGCGUCCUCGCCGGAUGAGGUGGCUCACACAUCUCCGACACACGAGCGAUGGGAUCAGGAGAAUUUUUUUCGAGCGGGAUCAGGAGAGCGAUGGGAUCGGGAGCAAGGAGGUUAGGGUGAGAGCCGUGGCCUCUGAACGGUGGAGAUGUUCUAGAUCUCCGUCUUUCGUGCUUAGUACUCUGGAAGAAGAGGCCUGCUGUAGCCGGCAAAGGUUCGCGGAGAGAGCAGCCUCGCCGGGAAAUCUGGUGCAGCGCCUGUUUUAAAGACGGCACCAACACGAGACGUGGAUUUAGAUCGAGGUAUGAGAGAUUACAUUUCUCCUCCCGAGUACAACUUUCAUGCAGAACAGGGCCCGUCAUUAACUUCGGCUUGCAAGUAGAAAUUUUAAGUGUACCAUAUUAAGUUUCAGAGGAUUCACAAAGAAACCGGUUCAGCUCUCAACCGGAGUAUGUUUUCAGAAUACCGGAAACAUCACCGUUGGCGUUAGAACUGACUUCCAUUAAAUCAGAAAACUGAUGCAUGCAUUUUUUUUUCAGCAACUACUUUCUUUCUCCCUGCUAUAAUAAUCUCACUCAGAGAUAGAAAGGAAUUUUGUUUUGAACAGAUUGAUGAACUUAUCAGUGUUGAGAGUAAAAAUCUGAAUUCAGGAUGACUCUAGCUCUAAUUUCAGUUUAAAAGACUGAAAUUGCUGCCGUUAUAUGAGGAAUGUUACGAUAGGCCAAUCACUAACAUCACAUUCACGCAAGGAGUAAAAUCCAACUUUAUCACAAGAACUCACAAGCAUAAGAUUCUCCCUGGCGGGCAGAUAAUUUAAAAGCUCAGACAAUAACCAUUGUACCAUGAUAGCAUGCGAUCUACUUCAACAAAGUCUUGCAUAACAAACACAGGGUGGGUAUCAUAAUUCAAAACUGUAGCCAAAUUCUACUACCAAACACGAUUGCAUAGAGGGGACUUCAACUGAUCAGAAUUCAGCAGGAACAGUUCCGGCAACCUGGUCCAGAUCACGCCUUCCCUGGGAGGUGAUGAGCCU
rnacentral:lncRNA from 1 species